UUCAACAUAACUUAAUUUAAAAUGCAUGAACCAAAGCUGCAUUACAAUAGAAGCCAUGAAACCAAGUUUCAUAUAGAAUGAUUAAAUGCAAGCCAUAGAAUCUCUCAAGCAACUUCCUACUACACAGAGGAUCCCAAAAUUUAUCACAUAUAAUAUAGGCAUUUUAAGCAAUUCUAGAGAAAUCAUAAUAAAUGUACUAGCAUGGAAAUCGUCAGAAUAAACAUUUAACAGAGAGCAUAAAUGCCACAAGUGAUGAGAAUUUCUCAUAACUAUAGCUAGGAUCAAACCACCAAUCGAAAUGCUUCGUGUUUCGCCGAACGGAGGUAUCCUAGCUUCUCUAGACCUACAGGAACAUUCAAAAACGGGGUUAUCCUAUAAUGAACGAAGAGCAAAAAGCUCAAUCAUAUAACCAGAACGGAAAAGGGCCAAAACUCAUCCUCAAGAGUAAAAAUAUCUCCUAAGCGCACAAGAGAGCUGGAUCGCUUCAAGGAAGUUGAAACAAAGAAUCUUAUUUCCAAAAAGCCUUGAUUCAAAACUGCCAAAAUUAAGAGCCCUAAAACUCCGUUACUAACGGUUCAUCUCAAAACAUGCAAAUAAAUGUCAAUUCCAGAGGGAGAGAUAAGUUGGGGUUGACCUCUAGAAGCUUCAAUCUAAGUGCUCUAAACUCUUGAAAUUCCUCAAGAUCUUCCGUCAACAAUUCACACAAGACAGCUCCCAACUUCACAAUGUGGAAAAGCAAAGAAAAGGAAAAGAAUGAGGAUCACACUUUAAAUCCCAACUAAAAAGGAGAUCGAAUCCAAAGGGGGUGAAAUGGAUCGGGUGCGCUACUCUUCUCCCUGUAGUGUGAAGGCCAGAAGGAGCAGCCUAGUGGGCGAUGGUGGUUGAUAUAAUCAGUCCUAAAUGACAAAAAACACCUAGCAUUGCAAAUGUCACUCAGAAAGAGCCUGACCCUUGUACGUACAUACGGCCACCCUGUACCGGUACAAGACUCCCACGAAAACCCAACCCCGAGCUCGGGUCGCGGCUUCAGCGCUCUGUAAUCGGUACAAACCCGUGGCUGUACCCGUACACAUCACAACUUGUACCGGUACAUGCCAUCAGCACUGUCGGUAUCACACAUCCAAAAAUGCAUAUCCGAGAAUUAUCCAAAAUCCGUUUUUCGAAGUUUUUGUACAGUCCUUUAAACUCACUUCUGAUGAGAGCCAUAGGUCGGAACUGUCAACCAGGACCCACUAGUAAAGUCUGGAAUUGUCAGCCANNNNNNNNNNNNNNNNNNNNNNNNNCCAGUGCAGUUGUCUGCGGCUUGCCUGUCUCGGAGGGGACAGGCGGGUUCCGAGAUUGUUGUGUAUAUUAAUUCGUUAAUCGUUCUCUUAACGUAUAUAUUAUGUUCCGAAUGAGCUCUCGUUCGUUGUUGCCUUCGCUUUCGAGAUUCGAUUUAUAUGUUAUGUGUACUAUAAACUAAAGAAAACUUGGUUUAGGUUCAUUUAUUAUUAUAAUGUAAGGUAAGUUGGUAGUAUAGAAAGAUGUAAAUCAGUAGGUGGUUUAUGUACUAACAAGAGUGGAAUGUAUGGAUUUAGUUGUUUUAUUUCAACUAUAUACAUAUUGUUUUUCCCUUACUGAUGUUUUACGUAUUUCAGGAGCCACCGGCGAUGGAUGCCGCGGUUUGGGAACGGAGCCAGGAGGCGGCGGGGCGAGCACGAUCCUGGACAUCCCAAUCACCACACUCUUGAUGUUGCUUCAAGGGUCAAACCCGACCAAAUUGGCGGGGAUUGGGGCGUGACAACGGCCCUCCACCAAGUAUGGAAAAAUUCGGAAUACAAAUCGAACACUCGAACCUCGCAAUUUGCAAAGGUCCAGCGUGCUACAAUCUAAGGUGUAGGGAGAGUUGAGAGAAGAGAAAUGAGGGAGAGAGAUGGUGGAGUGGCUAUAUAGGCUCUCUAUUGUAACAAAAUCCAGAAAAGUUCCUCUACUUUGCAACCUGUGCAAAGCCCGAACUGGGCAGAUUUCGCCCAGAGGGACCGGUGUCUCCCUGCUUGGGACCGGUCUCUCAGGUCCAUCCGGCAAAACCUGCUCUCGGGAAUCGGUCUCUUCCCGCAUGGGACCGGUCUCUCCCCACGAAAACGCGCUCGGGGACCGGUCUCAUCCGCCAGGGACCGGUUGCCUCGCAAACUGCGGCAACACUGUUCUAAGGGGACCGAUCUCUCCCAUCAGGGACUGGUCCCCGAGAGUAAAAACUCUAAGGACAAAGCUGAAUUUUCAGGAUUCGAACUUUUUAGGUCGAAACACCUUCUACAACCCUCCACAAAGCGUGGAAAAACUCGGAACACAUCCAAUCACUCGAACCUCGCAAUUUGCACAGGUCCAAUGUGUUACAUAAUACUGACAUCAUCAAAGACAAAAGAUGACAUAUAUAUAUAGGGUAUGCAACUGAGCAAAAUGAAACCACCUCGGGCGGUCUCUGUCUAUGGCGCGAUACCUUUACCGCGAUCGUCGGCAAGCUCACUCGGUCCCGGCUCUGUGGAAAUAGUGGGGUAAGAACUACAACAAAGUUUUCAGUGGGUUCGGCCGCCGACCUCGCCGACUUUCUCACUAGGUCUAAAUCAUGCAUAAUAGAAGAAUAGAGAUAGAUUGUAACACACUGGACCUUUGAGAAUUGCGAGGUUCAAGUGUUUGGUCUGUGUUCCGAGCUUUUUCAGAUAUUCUAGAGGGUCGUUGACAGUGUUCCGACCUAUGGCUUGCAUCCCGAGAAUCGAGGUUUUAAGCUUAGCGCCGAAGUCUCUCAAGUGAAGAUUGUUGGCUGCUCUCGGGUUGCAUUCUGCAGGGUUGUGUACCAGUACAACAUUGAAGUUGUACCGGAACAGGCGGUUGUACUAGUACAAUAUUGAGUCUGUAUCGGUACAGCCAGCAGCUUUCAGCCAACCCGAGGCUAGGGUUUGCGCAUACCCUGGCUUUGUACCGGUACACUUUUUCAUGUACCGGUACACAAUGCAGCUCGCAUACUGCUUUUUCUGGGAGGGUGUUUUUGCAAUUGUAGCUUCCCUACGCCACUAUCGAUUGCAAGAAUCGAACAGUAAUGUUUAGAGAGCCGGGGCAGGCGGAGGUUGUGUACCGCGGAUGCCAGAGUUCGCUGUUUGCAAUGACGAUUAGCUUCUCUCGAGCUAGACAGUUGAUCAGCAGAGGCUGCGUAGCCUAUUUGGCUACUGUUGUGUUGCGGGGUGAUGCAGACGCCCCUAGGAUUGAGGAUAUCCCCGUAGUAUGGGAGUUUGGAGAUGUAUUUCCAGCAGAGGUACCAGGCAUGCCACCGGAUAGGAAGAUUGAGUUUGUGGUAGAUCUCGUUCCCGGAACUACUCCAAUCUCAAAGGCGCCCUAUAGGAUGGCACCGGCAAAAUUGAAGGAGCUGAAGGCACAGUUGCAAGAUCUUUUAGAUAAGGAUUUUGUGCGACCGAGUGUGUCACCUUGGGGGGUACCGGUCUUGUUUGUCAGGAAGAAGGAUGGGUCAUUUCGCUUGUGUGUGGAUUAUCGUGAACUUAAUAAGGUCACGAUUAAUAACAAGUACCCGUUACCGAAGAUCGACGAUCUGUUUAAUCAGCUUCAGGGAUCGAGUGUGUACUCCAAGAUCGACUUGCAGUCGGGGUACCACCAGUUGAAGAUUACACCCGAUGAUGUGUUGAAGACGGCUUUUAGAACACGGUAUGGACAUUACGAGUUUACGGUUAUGCUGUUCGGGCUCACUAACGCCCCGGCAGCUUUUAUAGAUUUAAUGAACCAUGUUUUCAAGCCUUAUUUACACAGGUUCGUCGUGGUGUUCAUCGACGACAUUUUGGUUUAUUUUCGAAGUGAUGCGGAUCCCGAGAAACAUUUGAGGCUAGUACUUCAAGUGCUUCGGGAAAGGAAGCUUUAUGCCAAGUUGAAAAAGUGUGAGUUUUGGCUUAGAGAGGUGGCGUUUUUAGGCCAUUUGAUUUCAGGAUCAGGUAUAGCUGUGGAUCCUAGGAAGAUUGAAGCCAUCAAGGAUUGGCCGAGACCGACGAGUGUUACCGAGAUUCGGAGUUUUCUUGGCUUGGCCGGCUACUACCGACGGUUUGUCGAGGGAUUCGUAAAGUUAUCUACUCCCCUCACAAAGCUCACACAUAAAGGCACCAAGUUUGUUUGGAAUGAUGCGUGUGAAAGGAGCUUUCAAGAGUUGAAGCAGAAAUUGACAACCGCCUCGAUCCUAACCUUGCCAACUGCUGGAGCAAGGUAUGUGAUUUAUAGUGAUGCUUCUUUUAAUGGAUUUGCUGUGUCUUGAUGCAGGACGGGAAAGUGAUCGCGUAUGCAUCUCACAAGUUGAAGGAUUAUGAAAGAAACUACCCUACUCAUGAUUUGGAGUUUGCGGCCGUGGUCUUUGCAUUGAAGCUAUGGCGUCAUUACUUGUACGGCGAGCGAUGCGAAAUAUAUACGGAUCACAAGAGUUUAAAGUAUCUAUUCACUCAGAAGGAGUUGAACUUGAGGCAGCGCAGAUGGUUGGAGCUACUCAAGGAUUAUGACUUGACUAUCCUUUACCACCCGGGCAAGGCUAACGUGGUGGGGCAAGCGCUAAGUAGGAAAUCGACGGAAAACUUAGCGAUGCUUGUUGUUACUUAACCAUCGUUGAUCGAGCAUAUGAAGCGGUUGGAGUUGGAGGUGGUGGCACCUGAUAUACCCUUGAGACUGAUGACCUUGGUGGUGCAACCUACACUUUUGGAAAGGAUUAAAGAAAAGCAAUCUCACGAUGUGGAGUUGUAACGUAUAAGAGCUAAGAUGAUUGAUGGUUGCACCGGUGAGUUUACUGUGGACGGUGGUGGAUUGAUGCGAUUCUGCGGACGGCUAUGUGUGCUGACGGAAUUGGGUAUUAAAGAAGACAUUCUUCAAGAAGCAUAUUGUGCACCGUAUGCUAUACAUCUGAGAGGCACCAAGAUGUACAAGGACUUGAAGUUGCUUUAUUGGUGGCCCGAGAUGAAAAAGGAUGUUGGCGAGUUCGUUGCUAGAUGUCUAACUUGCCAACAGGUGAAAGCUGAGCACUGAGUUCCCGCGGGGAAGUUACAGAGCUUACCGAUUCUGGUGUGGAAAUGGGAGAAGAUCACCAUGGACUUUGUGAUGGGUUUGCCCUGCUCGCAAGCCGAGCAUGAUGCUAUUUGGGUGAUCGUGGAUAGGUUGACGAAAUCGGCACAUUUCAUAGCUAUCCACACUACUUGGACUGGUGAGAGACUCGCACAGGUUUACUUGGACGAGAUUAUGCGAUUGCACGAGGUACCUACUUCUAUAGUAUAGGAUCGAGACCCUCGUUUUGUAUCUCAUUUCUGGAGGAGCCUACAGGAUGCUUUGGGCACGCGCUUGAUUUUAGUACAUCUUUCCACCCUCAGAGUGACGGGCAGUCAGAGCGUACUAUACAGACUCUUGAGGAUAUGCUUCGAGCCUGUGUGAUUGACUUCCAGGGAGGAUGGUCACAGCAUCUACAGAUGGUAGAGUUUGCUUAUAACAACAGUUAUCAAGCAAGCAUCAAGAUGGCACCUUUCGAGGCACUCUAUGGACGGAAGUGUAGAUCGCCACUUCAUUGGAGUGAAGUUGGCGAGAGAUUGGCUUUAGGCCCAGAUGUGCUCCAGGAAGCAGAAGAUAAGGUUCGCGUUGCUCGGGAGCGACUGUUGACAGCCCAAAGUAAGCAGAGGAGUUAUGCUGAUAGGCGUCGACGAGACUUGGAGUUUCAGAUUGGUGAUCAUGUCUUCUUAAAAGUCUCGCCGACCAGAUGGAUUAGAAGAUUUGGGAUCCGGGGUAAGUUGAGCCCUCGAUACAUUGGACCGUAUGAGGUUUUGGAGCGUGUAGGCCCAGUAGCGUAUCGACUUGCUCAACCACCGAACCUAUCGGGUGUACACAAUGUAUUUCAUGUAUCGGUCCUUCGGAAGUACAUCCAUGAUCCAGCUCAUGUGCUUGAAGCGACGCCAUUGGAGCUGAAGGAGGAUUUUAGCUUUGAAGAACAACUCUUGAGGAUUUUGGCUCGUGAGGUGAAGAGAUUGCGGAACCGUAAGAUUCCCUAUGUGAAGGUGCUUUGGAGCAACCAUGAUAAGCGCGAGGCCACUUGGGAGUUGGAGAGCGCACUAUGGGAGCGCUAUCCCCAUCUCUUUCAGAUGGAGGCUUGAGGUACUUUACUUUUCGAAUUUCGCGGACGAAACUUCUUUUUAGGAGGGGUGAAUGUAACAUACUGGACCUUUGCAAAUUGCGAGGUUCGAGUGCUUGAGCUGUGCUUUGAGCUUUUUCAAAUUUUUUGGUGGGUUGUUGACAGUAUUCCGACCUAUGGCUCGUACCCCGAGAAUUGAGGUUUGAAGCUUGGCACCAAAACCCAAAAGAAUGGAUUUUUGGUCAACUCUCGGGUAGCUUUCAGCAGGGCUGUGUACCGGUACAGGUUGAUGGCUGUACCGGUACAACCAUCAACACUGGCAGCCUGCACGCCAACCCGAGGCUCGGGUUUGGCUGUUUCGCAGGUGUUGUACCGAUACACGGGCCCUUGUACCGGUACACAAUGCAAUGUGGGCUGGUUUUCGGGGAGGGGGUUAUUUGCAAUUGUUGCAAACCCUAUAUAGCUCACCCCAGCCCCUUGGAGAGCUCUUUCGAGCCCUAGACCAGUGGAGACAAGGUGAGAUCUCCUUUCUUUGGUUUCUUUCCCAUUUUUGAUGGAUUUGAGCUAGUUUUGAUCCUCCUCUUCCUCUCUUUCUUGCUCCUUGUUGGAUGUUCACCAUGUGGAAGCUUUAGUUGGAGCUGCGUAGCGGAGGAACUCCAAACCUUAGAGGACUUAGGCUUGGUUUGGGGCUUGUGAGGUUAGUUACGCCUUGAUUCUCCUUGGAUCAUAGUUUUGUUGUUUUACCUUAUGAAACCCUAGAUUUGGAAACCUAGGGUUUAUUUGGGGCUUUUUAAUUAGAAGCUUUUAGAGCUAAUCUAAUUGGAUUAGAACCUUGCUUUAGGUUGCUUUGGAAGGGAUUUAGCUUCCUUUUGAGCUUUGGAAAGGGAUUUCUCCACUAUAGGUGAGAUUUUGGCCCUUUUGUCUUGUUGGUUAAUGAUUGAGCUAGUACUUGUUCGUUUACUUCUUGUAGCUCACUUUUUGAUGCUUCUAGGGUGCUAGGAGAUUAGUGGACAUCUUCGUUAGAGCAAACGAAGGGUUGCGCGAAGUUCGGUGGGUUUGACCUAGCCUACAAUAUGAGAAAUUCUCAUAUUUGGUGAUUUAUGUUUCGUAAAAUGAAAAUUCAUGCAUCUUUAUGCUAGAUGUAUUUAUUGUGAAUUUUAGAAUGCUUAAAAUGCUUACGUUAUAUAUAAUGCAUUUUUGGACCCCUAUAUAGUAGAGAGUGGCAUGUGAGACUUAGACAUGUAUUUAGCAUUCUAGAUGUGACUCAAGAUCAUGUUCUAUAUAGUGAGAAUGAGAAGUGUAAUGUGCUUUUAGACAUAACUCUCAUGUUGGACAUAGGGUCAUGCAAAAUGCCAUAAAGAGGCUCAGGACUUGUGUUAUUAGCAAACUAUUGAGCCCAUGUCAUAAAGGGGCAUUGAGCUCGUCAUGUGCUUGGGACGAGUGAAACCUAGUGUCAUAAAGCGGCACUAGUGUUGGAACAAGAUUUGGACUUAGUAAAGCUAAGGUCAAUUACAUAGAAUUUAUUGGACGGUUGAACCUUCACAUUGAGACAUAAUGACUGUGUUCUUGCGACGAUGACUAUACUUGUUUGCCAUUUGUGCUCAUUCGCACAUGCUUGUGAGGGUCGCUCCCUACAAGUCGGCACUCCGGAGUUAGCCUACGCGACUUAUGCUCGCUCGUGCGGUAUCGAGAAACCUACGGGGUCGGGAGAGAUAGACUCAUUCCUAGAGUGGGAAUGCUGGGGUUACCACCGACACUUAGGUGGCACAAGCUAAAUUAUAUUUAUAUAGAUCCUAGAACAUGAAUAAACAAUGACAUUGAAUCGGAAAAUGACAAUCACUACUAGAUAGGCUUAGUAGGUUGAUUACGUUGACAUGCUUAUAGCAUAGUGUUGGGACAUCGGUAUAUACCUCAUAAUGCUCACCAUAGAGAUAGUGCCUCUAUAGCUUUAGCACGAAAAUAACCGCCACUAAUUCGAGAUCAUGUAUCGGGUAGUUCUUCUCACAGCUCUUCAAUUGGCGCGAAGCAUAUGCAAUGACUCGCCCAUUUUGCAUAAGAACACACCCGAGACCACUAUAGGAAGCAUCACUAUACACCACGUAACUCUCUCCCGGCGUUGGCAAAGCAAGUACCGGGGUAGACGUCAACUUCUCUUUUAGCUCUUGGAAGCUUUGGUCGCAACCGUCGCUCCAUACAAAUCUUACUCCUUUGUGCGUAAGGCGUGUGAGAGGAGUAGUCAGCUUCGCAAACCCCUCCACAAAACGUCGAUAAUAACCCGCCAAUCCGAGGAAACUGCGGACUUCCGCCACACUCGUCGGGCGAGGCCAAGCUCGAAUCGCCUCAAUCUUCCUCGGGUCUACCGAGACUCCGCUCCCGGAUAUCACAUGGCCUAAGAAGGUUACCUCCGAAAGCCAAAUCUCGCACUUCUUCAGUUUAGCAUAAAGCUUCUCGUUCCGGAGCAUUUGCAACACGGUUCUUAGAUGUUCCUGGUGUUCUUCUUCACUCCGCGAAUAGACUAGCACGUCGUCAAUAAACACUAUGACGCACUUGUCCAAUAGCGGUCGAAAGACCCGAUUCAUUAGGUCCAUAAAUGCUGCCGGGGCGUUCGUAAGCCCAAACGGCAUCACCGUAAACUCAUAGUAGCCGUACCGCGUACGAUACGCCGUUUUGUGCACAUCCUUCAGCCGGAUCUUCAACUGGUGAUAUCCCGACUGAAGGUCUAUCUUCGUGUAAUAUACCAGAUUUUGGUAUAAAAAUAAAAGUAAAUAAAAAUAGUGUGAGAUACUAUUUUUAUUUGGUUUUUGAGAAACAAAGUAUAAGUCUAUAAUGACUUGUGCUGAAAUCGGAAUGAAAACAGAAGAUUUAUAAUUUUCUGUUGAAAACGAGACAGAUAAAUUAGCAAAAAAUACAGAGUCUCAGAAAAUUAUGAAAAUUGGAGGAUAAGUCAGAAAUAUUUUUAUGAGGCUAGAUUUAAAGUUUCAUAUUUUUCUGACACCCGAAAGUUGAGAAAUAAAAUCCGAAAUCUAUCUGAUAAAGAUUACAGUUCGGUUUACAGUUUUCGGUGAGCCAAACGGCGGUCGAAACUGAACUUAAAAAUAUAUUUUGUCGGGUACGCGGGUUUUUAUAAAAGAAAACGAAUAUAUGUCUAAAUUUGAGCUCAAACGGAUACUCUGAGAGCUCCGGCGAAAUAUAUCAGAUUUUAAUGUGGUGUUUGGUUUUGCCCUUUGGGAGUGAAUAAGUGUUUUGUGCGAAGCUCAUAGGAGAGGAGUGGAGUUGUAUAAUUGUCGUUCUGGUUAUGGUAUAUUAUAGGACUUGGGUUCUUUCCUCUCAUUAUGUCACACUCACAAGCAACGAGAAAAAUCUCUUCUACAUAAAGAGAGGAUUGGAGAAGAAAAGAAAGAACAAUUGAAGCAAGCUUUGGAGAUGUGUGGGUAUGGUAGAGUAGCUUUGAAGUUGUACAGCUCUCUCUAAUGGUGGAAGCAGCUUUCCACAUAGUGGAUUUAGUUGAUGUGAAUGGUGGUCUAAGUGAGAAUCUUGGUAAUUUAAGCUAGGAUGUGUUUAUCCUUAAUACUUUAGUGUUCAAUAGCCCUCUAAUGUGUGAUUAGCAUGUUAAAUCGCAUUAUAAUUCGGUUAAUGGAGCACGUGUAGAGCGUAGGUUUAUAAUGAUGGAUCUCUAAGAGCUUUAAUUAUAUGCCUCUAAGAAUGGAUUUAGAGGGCAAUCCUUAGAUGCCUAAUAUGGAUGGCUAUUGCAUGAAUUAAGGAUCAUAUGACGAUUCUUGCCAAUAUGUGUAUCUUAGGGCUCAGAAAAUGGGGAUUUUGUAAUAGAUAGGGUGUGAUCUCGUUGCCUCCGUUACAGACCUAAUUGUAGGUAACACGAACGCAUUGUGAGUCGGUUCGCGAAUCUGACGAUGCCGUUACGAAGUUAUAAAGAAACGGAGUGUAGGGCUUCGGGAUCCGGUGGAGACUGGAGGGCGAAGGCGGCGUCGAAAAUCGUGGAGAUGGAUUUGACGCACGUGUAGCAUGUGCGAAGAGAUACUGCACUUGAAACGUUCGAACGGACGCUCUUGCUAGUUCGCUGUGAGAACGGCGCCCAACGCGGUGACGGGCCGGGUGCCGCGGAGCGUUGUUGUGAUGAGUGGACGACAAGCGAAUACGGAACGCAUAUUGAGGUGUUGUUUGCUCACGAGACAUUUAGGUCGCUUUCUGUGCAGGUAAUGUAUGUUUACUAUUGAUGCGAUCGGAUAAUGAGUAUGUGUAGGUUUUUUAGAAUGCAUGAUAAGUAUGCUAUUAGAAUGCAUGAUAAAGUAUGUUGAUUUAAGAUAUGCAUGAUAAAGAUAGAUGGCCCAAAUGAACUGCAUGAGUUGAUGUUAAUGUUACAUGUGCAUAUUAUAGAAUUGUAAACAGAUGCUCAAAAUGAAAGUAUGAGAUGAAAGACACAAUGUGACGUAAAGAAAAAUGAUAAUGGCUAAAGAUAAUGUAAAACAAUGUGAUGAUAAUAAAGAACACUAGAAAUUAGUGUGAGGCAAAAGAAUCAAUGUGACGUAAAGAAAAAUGAUAAUGGCUAAAGAUAAUGUAAAACAAUGUGAUGAUAAUAAAGAACACUAGAAAUUAGUGUGAGGCAAAAGAAUCAAUGUGACGUAAAGAAAAAUGAUAAUGGCUAAAGAUAAUGUAAAACAAUGUGAUGAUAAUAAUGUAAUGUUGCAUGAUGUGACACUACAAGAAAAUUGACAAUUAGUGGCAUAUAUAAAUGUUGCUAUAUGUCCAAGAAAUGCAUCUGAAUCUUUUAGCAACAUUUAAAGUUUAGUGUUGCUUAUGCCCAUGUUGCUGAAUCAUUUAGCAACAUAUACAAAAAUUGUUGCUAAUGUUGAGUAAUUAGCAACACUUAAUAAAUGUUGCUAUAGAUAAAUUUCAUAUGACAUUUUCAAAAUAAUUAUAUAUGUAUUGUAAUUAAUUCAUGCAUUAAUAAAUUCUCCUAAUUUUUUUUUGAAUUUUUUUAUUAUAAUUGAUAAUUAUAGUAUUUAAAUUAAUUUAAUUAANGUAUUGUAAUUAAUUCAUGCAUUAAUAAAUUCUCCUAAUUUUUUUUUGAAUUUUUUUAUUAUAAUUGAUAAUUAUAGUAUUUAAAUUAAUUUAAUACAAAAGGUAUCUAAUAAAAUGAUAGUAGUAUAAAUACUAUCAUAACAAAAUGAAAGCUUAAAUUGCUUCACGAACAUUUCUUCAAUUUGAACUUCUCAUGUUUCAUUCAGCUUUACUUGUGCUUAACCUGUAAAAAAGAGUACACAGAAAUUAAAUUUGAUCUGCAAAGUUAUAAAAUAUAGUAAGAAAUUUUUUUUAAAAAAAAUAGUAUUAUGUGCAUACAAAGGUAUAUGGCCAAGCCACCGUUACGCCUACGGCAUCUCCAAUGAGGAAUUUCUUCAUAAAAUUUUUUAAGAAAAAAAUGUAUCAGCAAACAGCAGCUUAACAGGCAUUAUAUAGCCCCAAAACCCUACUCACUUAAACCUCCUGAGUGUAACCCCAUAAUCUACUCAAGAAAAUUAGAGAAGAGCCAGAGGGUAAAGAACUAGGAAGCUACAAAAACAAAUCCAAAAAACUACUAGCAAAAUUUUGUUCCUAUUCAAUUUCAAAUUAAAGUAUUGAUUUCAAGCAAUACAUGUUUCACAAAGAAAUUUGUGUUGAAUAAGAAAUUACAAUUUUGUUUUCAUGCAAAAAUAAACAGUCAAGCCUCAACUACAAAAACUCCAAUAAAUGACAACACUUAAUAGCAUUUAUAUUAAGUAAAUAUUGUUCCCACAAGAAGCUAAUAACAUUGCCAUAUAGAAUUUACAUUGUUCAAAAGGAUAACACACACUAGAAAGUAGCAAUACUUGGUUUGCAAAACGGAUUAAAUAGCAUAAGUUCUCAGAGGCACGAUCAAUAGAAGAACAUAAUAAUAAUAAUAUUAAUGAUGAUGAUGAUGAUGAUGAUAAUAAUAAUAAUAAUAAUAAUUUUAGUGCAAAUAUUACCGAUAAUAUGGGUUUCUGGUAGGUUCCAUAAUGGUUCACAGAACCCAGCCAAGCAUGAAGUUAUUCUCCCCUCCGGCGGUUCUCGGAAUGGUUGCUUCAGGAGGAACAAAUUGGUGAUACCUGUAUGUGAAAACAAUUUUGCUAAAUUGGUUUGCUUCUGUAUGUUUCAGAAUAGAGAACUAUGCAUCUGUAAAUAAUUUGAGUAGAUUUCAAAUCAAGUAUUACAGCUCUUAGAGCAAUAUGGGUGAUACAGUUAUCCUAUUUGCAGAGUGGGUUCGCAUUCCAUGCCGCUCGACUGGGCGUGCUGCAUAUUGAAUGCAUUUCCACUCACAAUAACAUCAGAAGCCUAUGAUCCUUGAAUGGCUCUAAAAGCGCCACCUUCGGCCUCAAGCUAAAAGAAUAGGAUUCUGGCAAGUUAAAUUUGGAACAAAAGUAAAGGAAAAACAAAAAAAAAUCAAAACUCAAACGAUUUGUAUCUCUGCAGAAAAACCUUGUUUCUAAGCUGUUUAUUUAUUUCUCCCAGUUCACGUUCCUGCAAGUGUAAUAGAAACAGCAUUUAGCACCAGGAUCUUUUACUAGAAGGUCAUAUUUAAUAGAAAACAAGAAAUUCCUGUGGAACAUAAUGAUAUAAAUUACACAUAUUUCAUUUCGAAGGUCAUGCAAAGAGAGAAAUUUUGUGACUCAAUGGACACAUGUCAUUUUCUCUUUUCCUACAACCACAAAGGCUUGCAACACAUGUUAUUACAUCACAUGACCUUGUCUCUACUUUGAUAUAUUAGAACAUAAAGAAACAAAUGUUAAAAAAAAAAUCAUCAAAGAAAAGCAAUUAUUCUUAAACAUUUUGCAUAGAUUUCACAUUUCUAUUAUGAUUUGCUAUCAUGUAAUUACGUUAUUAUACGACAAUAUUUAAUAGAAGGUUCCUAGACACUUCGACGAAUCGUAACGCCACAUAAAAGUUCACACAGCAAAAUCUGUUCAUUGAACUUACAAUGGGCAAUCUAUGUACCUUCAACAGUGUAUCAAACAUUCAGGUAAAGAAUGUUUCAAAGUUCACCCAAAGUUGAAGACCUUAAAAUCUAAGCCAUAAGACUCGCAGAAAUCAAAACUCUGAAUUAAUUUCGCACUUUUUUCUCAUACUCUCUCCAAGAACAACAAAGAAGAUUCAAAAAACAAACAAUCCGUCAGGUAACUUGGGAAAAUAGAACCAAUAGAUUUGGAUACCUCGAGCUUGGAGAGUUGUGCUACGGCGGCGGAUUGGGCGACGAGGAAGAGGCAGCGGCGCCAAUUCGUUGGCCCAGGCCUUAGAGAGGGAGAGGGGAGCGGGGCCGAGGCUCUAUCAUUGAAAAAGAGUUUGAGCUUAACACAUGAUCCAAACAAACCUUACCAACUACAUUUCUGCAGAAGCAUAAGAUCUAAAGGAGAUCACUUCUUUUCCACAUAAAUCACACACAGCACAUGAUUAUGCCCACUCAAAUCACUAGAAACGAAAAGAAAUAUUGCUAGCAACUAACAGAUUAGCCCAACAGAGAGCAAGAGGCAACACACAAUGCACGAGAGAUUAAGAGAUAAAAACCUCGUCAACAACCGACUUCUUUACCUCCCCUUACCCUAAACCUCACUACGGCUAGGGUUUGGAUCGACGACGAAGAGCACCAACCCCGUCGUUGGCGUGUGAGGGCGGAGGGAGGCCGUCGAAGCGCCGCCGCGCUCGUGGAGGAGGAGGCCGAGGGCGACACCGUCGGCGGCAGAUCUUCUCGAAGCACUCGAGGCCGAGAAGAUCGGGAUCGAAGCUCGGAGAAGACGCUAUUAAAUUGCAUUUUCUCCGAGCUCGGAGGUCGGGGCCGAGAAGAUCGAGAUCAGAGGUGAAGGAGAGGAGGAGAGCUCGAGCUCGCAAAGAGGGGAAGGAGAGGGAGAGAAUGGGUCGCUCGCGAGCCCUAGAUCUCGAGCGAAUAAGGUCGCGAUGGAGACAGGGGGGGUUGGGUUCGGGUGGGUUGGUACAGGAUUCAAGUAAUUUAAUUUGUUGUAAUUUGAGUUUGGGUUAAUCUCUAAUAUCUUUUCCUAUUAAUGACUUAAACUACUAAAUAUAGUAUUAAUUUGUGGUUUUGAUUGAUUGAUCAAACUAACAACUUACAUUUAUAAUUAAAAUUAAAAAAAUUCUAUUUUCAAUUUAAAUUUAGAAUUAAAAUUAAUAAUACAAAUUUAAAUAUGUAAUUUACUAUAAUAUUUAUAUUUAAGUUAAAAUGCAUUACUAAAGUUAGUUUCAAAAUCAAAUUUAAAUUUGAACUUUAUAUUUAAAUUGUAAAUCGAAAUUUGAAUUCAAAUCUUAAACAGUUAUUAAAUUUAUAAUUUUAAUUCAUAUAUAAAUUUAUAAUUUGAUUUUAAAUUAUAAUAAUAUUAAUUUAAUUGCAUAUUAAUUCUUAUUGCGACAUAUAAUAAUAUAUGCUGGUAAUUAUAGCCUUUAGCAACAUUUAUUAUAUAAUGUUGCUGAAUUUAUAUAUUCAGCAACACUUUCAUUUGUGUGUUACUAAAAUAAAAUAAAUAGUAACAUAUACUUAAGUGUUGCUAAAAAAAUGUUGCUAAAUAUCAAUAUUGUUUGUAGUUCAGCCAUUAACUAGAUAGUUAUUCCAUCACCCUUUUCCCUAAUAUCAUUACUACUAUUAGGGUCAUUCAGUGAGGCACCGGUGGUACGCAACCUUGCUCUAUCCUCUUCUUCUCUCCCACAGCUUGAUCUCUAUAUAUAUUAUUACCAAGAACUUUCCUCCCCUAAUACUAGAUACGUUCUGUGAAUCUCUCUGAUGGAAUCAAUGGUAAUUCUGACACGAAAUACUAUGAGAGCUUAUCAUUGCUUAGUGCUUUCGUCCGCCUCUGAUAACUUCCCGAUCACCACUCCACUAUCGUCGCUCACCCUCCCCUAACGUUAGCUUCAAAGGGCAAAUUGAUGUAUUGGAAUUCCAUGUGUAAAUGCUUGUCUGUGGGUUCCAUUUUUAUAUCAUUGCCACCAAGAGUACGUCCAUUCUGAGUCAAACACCGACUCUAUUGUGAUUUAUCUCUACUUUAUCGAGACCUCUGCCCGGAGCCCAUUCAUGGGAGAAUAUCGCGAAAUCAUGUUCUCUAUUACCACCACGGCAGAAGUCUUUGGUGGUAUCCUCCAAAGUGUUGUAGCAAGGGUGUCUCGGCAAUAUGUUUGUGCAGAUUUUGGCCCAAAUUUGGUUGAAUUUGUUGCGAGCCACCGGUUAGGACAUUCGCUCUCUUUCUUUCUCAAGUAUUUCGGUGUAAGGCCACGUAUGUCCUUCAGAAGCAAUGUAUGACACUGACUUUAAGCAAAUUUGCAAAUUCAUUAGUGUUAGAAUAGUAUUUGGAGCUAUUCCUGGUAUUCUUGAGUGUCGUUGACUGUGUUCCGACCAAUUACUCGCGUCUUGAGGAGUGAGAGUUGGAACUCAGCACCAAAACCUUCAAACUGCAGGUUUAGUGGUCUUUUUGGGAUUGUAGCAACUCUAUAAAUAAUCCUACACCCCCAUUAGGGUUCCCUGUGCUAGGAACCAGUGGAGAGAAGAGGUAAGCUUUCUCCUCCUCUUCUCUUUGUGUUUUUCCUCUCUUUUGCUUGGGAUUUUGAGGAUUGAUCUCACAUUUUGCUUCUCUUCGCAUGUGUGUGGAUCUUGGAACCUUGGAGAAGCUUUGGAUUGAGGAUUGGAGCUUGUUUGAGGAUAGAUCUUCAACCCUAGCACCUUUCUAACUAAGUUUGGAGCUUAAAGAGAGGUUAGUAGUUUUGAUCUCUCCUUUGGAUCAUGCUUUGUUGGAUUUUUGAGAUGGAAACCUAGUUUUCGAAAAACUAGGGUUUUAUUUGGGGGUUUUUAGCCUUUGGGGUUGAAUUGAUAAGUGUAGAACUCUCUUUUAGGUUGGAUUUGAAGCUUUGUAACUUCGAUUGGGACUUUGAUUAAGUUCUUCUUGGAUAAAGGUAUUUUUCUACCUAUUUAGGCUUGAUUUUUAGGUAUUUUUAUAUGAUAUUUGUUCGAAGCUUGUAACCCUCUCAGAAAUUCUUUUAGGGUGCUAGAAGCUUGGUGGACAAUUUCGUUCGAAGGAACGAAAGGGUUCGAGGAGUAUCCGGUGAGUUUGACCUCACCAAAAUAGGUGAACUCGCUUUAUGUCUUCUCUAUGGUUAUUAGAUUUAGAUAGAUGUGUAUUCUCGCUUAAUAGGACAUGAUAGAAUAGAGUACAUAAAACAUAUGUGUUGCAUGUAGAAAUUUAUACUCUAUAUAGUAGAGAUGCAUAAUGUGGACUUGUAUUCUACAUGACAUAUGUUUGCUUUACUUACUAUGCAAUGAUGGAAAGCAUGUCAGAGAUAAACAAGGGACCUAUCUUGUGAACCCUACUUGGAUUGUGGAAUAAAUGUGAUUUAGCAAUUAGUUGCAUGAUAAUACUAAACUUGUUGUAGACAAGGUAAAUAUGACAUUGUGACAUAGAGCAUGUUAAGGGCAACAUGAAUCAAAGCUUGGUGCUUCUAACCUAGUUGAACAACUAGUACAUGACAUUGUAACAUUGCAUUUGAUCUAGUGCUCGAUAGUUGUAUUCCAUGUUUUAGACCUAAGGAAUGAGAUUCUAAUGCCUUGGGGCGAGUGAUAAGGAGGAUAAUUGUAUAUAACUAUUAUUGAAUUGAAUCACUUCCAUGAUAAUUGGUUUACUCCAUGUAGUGGAGGCAUUGGUAGAAAACAUAUGCAUGACAUGCAUUAUGAAUCUUGUGAAUAUCUUGUAAUACCUUUUGCAUUUGACAUAAGAAAGUGACCCCUUUAGUUAUAGUGGGAUAGGGUGUUGUCAACCCUUAAUUGAGACUUGAACAAGUAGUAAACUAUCCUAGAUAGGAUAAUGGCAAGUUAUACGUGCUCACAAAUUAGUGACUUAUGCUUAACAUAGUAAACAUGAACGUCAUGUAGUGACACUUGAGUUAGUAAAUGACUAAACCUUGGCAAUGUGAUACUAUAUUGGACCUUUAGGUCAUUGGUAUUUAUUCCAUAUUUUAGACAUGAUGACUGAGGAUUGGAUACUAUUGAUCAUGCUUGCAGGCCAUUGUACUCAUUCGCACAAGCUUGUGAGGGUCGCUCCCCACAAGCGGGCACUUCGAAGUUAGCCUAUGCGACACAAGCUCGCCUAUGCGGGAUUGAGCGUCGAAGUGGGAUACCGUGGGUGAGACUCAUUCUUAGGAUGGGAAUGUUGACUGCCAUGGGGUCAUUAGGCACAGCGCAAGCCGAACUAUACACGUGUAGAUCCAUGACGAGAUUGAACUUUGACACCUAAAGCAUAAUGUGGACACCAUUACUAGUUAGUGUAUAUUAGUUGGACUUGUGGACAUGCAUGAUAGUACAUGUUACUUGGACUUUAUAUUAGUCAUUCAUAGCAUCGACAAAUCUAGUGGUAGUAUAUCUACAGCUAUGUUGAUUAGUAUGGAUGCAUGGAUAGAAUAGCAUCAAAACAUAAUUUACUCUUUGUAGCAUUAUGGAAAUGAUGAACAUACAUGUAAACUGGCAUUGACAUAUAGUUGAUUAUGUGAGAUUAGAGUAUCAUGUAUGUCACGCCCUGGGGCCCAGCGGAAGCCCGCCCGGCGCGUGUACAGACCCGCCAUAUGCCUACAACAUAUAAGGCGUCUACAACAAUACGAUAAAUAAAAGAAGAGAUAAUAACAACUAGCAUGAUAUCAGAGCAUAAGUACUUCUAAUCUUUAAAGACAAGUAAAUAAUAAAAGAGCUAAACAACGAACAUAAACCAUAAAGUAGAGUAUACAACACAAGAUCCAGAAAAAUACAACUAAGUACAAAAGUGGUGGUCUCUAUACAUCGGGUACAAAACGCCACCCUUUCCAAAGAACCUUCACAUACGGGAUAUCGCGAUUCCGAAGUUUCUUCACCUCGCGAGCCAAAAUCUUCACAGUUUGCUCUUCUAAGCUCAAGUCUUCCCUCAGCUCCACUGGCAAGGCAUCCAAAAUAUGAGCCGGAUCGAAGAUAUACUUCCGGAGUACCGAAACAUGAAAUACAUCGCGCACUCCCGAUAGGCUCGGUGGUAAGGCAAGUCGAUACGUUACCAGGCCUACACGCUCCAAAAUCUCAUAAAGUCCAAUAAACUAGGGGCUCAACUUACCCCGAGUGUCAAAUCUUCUAAUUUCUUUUUGUCGGCGAGACCUUCAAAAAGACAUGAUCUCCAACUUGGAAUUCUAAAUCUCGUCGCCGCUUAUAAGUAUAGCUCUUUUGCCUGCUUUGAGCUGUCAACAAUCGCUCUCGAGCAAGGCGAACUUUAUUCUCAGCUUCCUAGAGCACAUCGGGGCCUAAAACCAAUCUCUUGCCAACUUCACUCCAAUGAAGAGGUGAUCUACACUUUCGUCCAUAAAGUGCUUCGAAAGGUGCCAUCUUGUUACUUGCUUGAUACCUAUUGUUAUAAGUAAACUCUGCCAUAGGUAAGUGCUGUGACCAUCCUCCCUGAAAGUCUUUCACACAGGCUCGAAGCAUAUCUUCCAGAGUCUGAAUAGUAUGCUCAGAUUGUCCAUUACUCUAAGGGUGGAAAGCAGUGCUGAAAUCCAGUCGAGUGCCUAAAGCAUCCUGCAGACUCCUCCAAAAGUGAGAUACAAAUCGGGGAUCUCGAUCAGAUACUAUUGAAGUAGGCACUCCAUGAAGUCGCACAAUCUCAUCAAGGUACACUUGUGCGAGUCUCUCACUUAUCCAAGUCGUGUGAAUAGGUAUAAAAUGAAUCGAUUUCGUCAACCUAUCCACGAUCACCCAAAUAGCAUCAUGUCCGGCCUUUGAGCGAGGCAAGCCCAUAACAAAGUCGAUGGUGAUCUUCUCCCACUUCCAAACGGGAAUAGGUAAACUCUGAAGUUUUCCCGCGGGUAAUCGAUGCUCAGCUUUUACCUGUUGACAAGUUAAACACCGAACUACAAACUCGCCAAUAUCCUUUUUAACUCCGGGCCACCAAUAAAGUAACUUCAAAUCCUUGUACAUCUUUGUACCUCCCAGAUGUAGAGCAUAGGGUGCACGGUGAGGUUCUAAAAGAAUAUCCUCNGAGACUCUGUUCGUGUGCAGGGGAAACCCUGUCCGUUCGGCGGUCUGUUGGCGUGCCCGAAUCCGACCAAAGAGGCGGGCUCGGGGCGUGACACUUCAAGUAUACCCGCGACCCUUGCAACUGAUCAAACAGGUCAACUAUUCUCGGCAACGGGUAUUUGUUCUUGAUUGUCACUUUAUUCAACUCGUGAUAAUCAACGCAGAGUCACAGUAUACUGUUCUUCUUCUUUACAAAUAGCACCGGAGCUCCCCACGGUGACACGCUCGGCCUCACAAAGCCUUUGUCGAGCAAAUCUUGCAACUGAGCCUUUAACUCUUUAAGCUCCGCCGGUGCCAUUCUAUACGGAGCCUUCGAGAUUGGCGCCGCUCCGGGAAUCAAGUCAAUAACGAACUCGAUCUCCCGAUCCGGUGGCAAUCCCGGUAACUCCGCCUGUCACGCCCCGCCCCGAAACCCCUACCAAUUUGGCUCGGUUCGGACGCGGCGAGCGGAUGCCGAACGGACAGCACCUCCCCUGUCCGCCCAAGGCUCAACAACAGGAAUGUGCACAAGAAUUUAUCCAUAAAUUCAAAUUCUAAACAUACACAUUCAACGGGGCACAAACAGUGCCAACAACUAAGAGCAAGUAAUCCACUAGAUAUACGAGUGAAAUAAAAAGAGUACCUUACUAACUAUUACAAUAGUUUUGCAUUCUUUUACAUUUACAUCUUUUCUCAAAAUGAAUACAUUUGAUCAUCCAAAAUACAUAGCUCUCAAACCUCACCUACAUGAAUCUCUUAAAUACAUAGGUGUGCUAAUGCAAAAGGAAAGCUACUAUACUACCACGGUCUCACUGCUCGGGCGCGAUGCCCUUGCCGCGGUCCUCUCUCGACAGCCCUGUACCUACCACUGGAAAUAGAGUGGGGUGAGAACUAUCUUCCAUAGUUCCCAGUGGGCUCGGCCGCCGACUCCGCCGGUCUCCCCACUAGGUCCAAGUGGGCACAAGUAACAACAAGUAGACAGAUAGAUAGAUAUAUGAAAACUGUAAAUGACAUAAUAGAAAAUCUAUGCUACUAUACCCAUAAUCAUGUGUAAUGAAUGCAUGCAUCAUAUAGUAAAGAUAUACUAUCAUGCUAACGAGAUCGAUCUAUAUUCGAUAAAUAAUGUUCAAUGACAACAUUAACUUUACAUUUACCCAAUCUAUGGUGAAACCCUUGGGUUCGCCCUCAACUGACCUUUCCAUCCCAAUUGGGUAGGGGAGCUCCAUGUGCCCCCAAACCCGGGACUAUCUCCGGACCUCCAUGUGAUCCCUAUUGCCCGACACUCCAGAGUACUCGACGACUAUCCUCUCUAUGUGAGGAUAUGGAUGGCUAUACCACCCCAAAUAACAGACUGUGAGCUAGAUCUAUCCUCUCCAAGUGAGGAUACCCUACGAACUAGGGUCAACAUCUCAAUCAAACUAGUCUAUGUCCUCUCCAUGUGAGGAUACCCUACAAACUAGGGCCAACAUCUCUCGGAACUCAUUUAUUCCGAUAGUCCUGCAAAACACUUUAGCUUUACUAAAUUCAUUAUUCACAAGGCAUUUUCUAAGGGAUUCCACCUAUCCCUAAGUCCAUAGACUUCUAGUGUCAAAUACACUACAUUAAUGCCACUCAAUAUGUUCUUUAAAUACUUAGAUGUCAUUUUCUAUGCCACCAAACACCCAUCGUGUCCAUCUCUUUUUUUUAGCACUAUAGGAUCCACGUUUCGACCCAAUCCUUAUCUAUCCAUUUUCACCAAGUAUUCCAUGUACACUAGGUUAACAUUAGAAGCAUAAGAAAAAGGCAUUACAAUGCAACAUACAAGAGAUGAGAUUAUGCUCUUCUAAGACAUAGAAAAGAGCCCGGUUGCUUCGGGAUGACACCCCCCACCUUUUCUCGUUGUAGAGGUUCUAGAAAUGCCUCUCGUCGAACAUUACGACGAAGUCUUGACCUCCUUGGUCCAAAACAAUGCUCAAUCGGCCUUAUCUUUCCGAUAGUUUUAAAUCCACUCGAUGAAUCGUAAUUCCGACGUCGCCUCCGCGUUUAGACACCUAGCAAUUAGGUUUACAAUGCCUCAAAUGAGAUCAAUCUCACACUUUACCAAAAACCCAUUUUUGGGUGCCCUAGGGUUCCAUUUUGUUGUUUGCACUUUAGAACCCUAGCUCUAGCUCUAAUCCACCAACAAGGGUGCUAGAGGUCCAUUUGACUCCAAUUCCAAAGCCCAAAACCCAAAAACCCUAAGUUCUAUAAGCUAGGGUUUAGUAGCUUACCUCUUGAGCUACACCAAUGAGAAGAGGAGAGGGAGGGAAAGAUGUCCAAGAUCUUCCUCUUGAUCUCCUUGAUCUUCUUUUUCUUCUCCUUUCUUCUCUUCCUUCCUUUCCUUCUCUUUUCUUCUUCUCUUUCUUUUCUUUCUAGAGAGAGAGAGAGCUAGAGAGUGUGAGAAAGAGGGAGAGGAAUGAGAGGCUAAGGGAGAGAGAGGGCCCAUAUGCCUCUCGAGAUGUUCUACUUUACUUUUACCUUAGUGGUAUAGUUUCCUUGAUUUUACUUGUUGAUAGAUUCUAGUAGUAUACUCGCUCUGAUAUUUCUAGAUACUUUUAUCCCUUACUCCUUUAUCGCUAUUGUUGUAGACGCCUUAUAUGUGCAGGUAUAUGGCGGGUCUGGGCAUGCUACCGGGAAGGCCUCUGCCGAUCUCGGGGCGCGACACCGAAGUACACCGCUUGAGGAGGAGCUACCACCCUCAAGCUGGAACUAAUGUGUGAGUACGAUCCAUUCCUCAAUUUGAGGAAGUAUAGCCAAACCUGUCUCAAUCACAAUAUCUUAAUGCCAAUGAUAGGUUACUACCAUAUCAUGUAUACCACUAUAUCUGAUACCACAAUGGUCCUGAUACCACAAUGGUUAAACCUUGUUUAGCCGUUCUCUUUUCCGAUACCAAUCAAGUCACUAUAGUCAAUGUCACCUUUGUUUACUAUUGUCAUAGUCUGUUCUCGCAUUCACAUACACAUAGGGUUCUUUCAUACAUGGUUCACAUGGUUCUUUAUCAAUUCACAUAUUCUUUAAGCAUCUAAAUGCAUUUCAACCAAGAACACAUAUCACACUACCCUAUAUGCAUGAAUGCUAACGCCAAUAUGCUCAAAGAAGGUAACAUAGACAUAGAGAGAAAUCCGGUGUUUCCGGACAGCGCCCCCCACCUUUAGUGAUACUAGGAUGUGAGCUGCGGCAAUCACGUGUUCAAUUUUCGUGAUUUUUAGACACCUACGCCGCGAGCUGCGGCAAUCUGUACCAAUUUGGCAUGUUUCUUCAAUAUCUUCGCGUACGCUCAUUGUAUCGCCGAAUCGAGCGCACCAACGCGUUCGUUGACCUACCAAUUAGGUUAAAAUGAGAUCAAACCCAAGUUUAGGCCUCAUAAAUACAAAACCCCAACUUUCACCCCCUAUAGGAUAUCAUCUUUUCAAAUCAAGUCCCUAGACUUGAAGAAUCUUGGGGAAAACCAUCUUAAGAGCUCCUAGAUGCUCAUACUAGAAGCAACACCAAAACCCUAACUCAAAAUCAUGGAAACUCACCUUAGAGUCCCAAGUUUUCCUUCAAAAGCUCUUCACAAGCUAGCCACCACCUUGGGAAGCUUCUUCUCCAAGCUUUUCUACUCCAAAGGUCCUCCUUGGUCCAAGCUCUAGAGAGAAGGAGAUGGAGAUGAGAGGUUUUUAGAGAGAGAGAGGGAGAUAUUCUUUUGUUUGGGUUGAGAGAAAUGAGGCUAACCCUAACCCACAUUCACUUAAACCAUCCCUCAUGCCAUAAUAGCACUUAAGCCCCUCUACUUUCCAUAAUCCAUGGCUGCCCGCACUAGGCAGAUUUCGCGUACGGGGUCCGGACCCUGAAGCUAAGGUCCAGACCCCGAGAGCAAUACCACUCCCAGUCAGCCCGCGCAGGGCAUUUCGCCCAUACAGGGUCCGGACCCUGCAGCUAGGGUCCGGACCCCGAGAGCAUGAUUUCUGGUACUUAGCCAAAUUUUCACAGGUUUGCUCUCAUGGGUCCAUAUACUCUAUACAAUGGCCCUAAUGAUCUUAGAACCCAUUGCGGACCGUUCCGACUUGUCCGACUCCACGUUCUGUUCGUUUCGACGGAACUCGGCAUGUCUUACAGGGAUUGAUAUAUUACACCCAUUGACUUAGAGCCAAGCAGGGUUGGUGAUUCCAUUCUCAGGCACCCAACAAUACAUGGCGAUUUCACAACUUAUGAACUAGAGGCAAAACAGAGGUAGCAAUUCUGUUCCCCGGCACCCAAUGAUACGUGGCGAUUCCGCAACUUAUGGACUUAUGAUCAAAUGGUGUAGCGAUUCUGUUACCUAAUAAUGCCUACAUGAACGUAGUGAUUCUGCAAAUGAUUGACUCAUAAUUGAGUCAGGUGACAUGUGAACAGGAUAAUGAGAUAGUAAGGAAAAAUAAAAAAAUAACUUACAUAUAUGAUUUCAUUAUCGUAUUUACUUGAGGCAUAAGCAUGGUUAUUAUUAUUAAUUACAUAUAAUAGAAUUUAUAUGCUUACAUAGUUGUAUGUAUAUACUGACAUGCUUAUUUUGCUUCCUUUGGAUCUGGUGUGUAACACCCCAAUAAUCUUACAUUGGUUGAGAAAAUAAUUCUGAUUAGAAUAUAUGAGGCCUACAUGCUAAUAUUAAUAAUUGGACUUAAACAUUUUGGGCCGGUGGUUUGGGCCCAACAAGUUAUUGUUGCUAGCGGGUCGGGUCGUUACAAUUGGUAUCAGAGCCAAAUACCAGCCGGAAGUGUUGAUAGUUAAAUGCUAUGCGGGGCAAAGUGCUACACCAACAGAUUUGAUGGGAGCCACCUCUUGAACUCGUUGGAGCCAUUUUUAAAAUCUCAUAUCACUUGGUAAUUUUGAUCUGCAUCUGUGAUCUGAUUUGGACCCGAUGAGGACAUCAAGGUCUAAAUAGGGGGACUCAUAACGCCCCAGUAGUUCCACAUCGGGUGGAAAAAUGAUACUGAUUAGAAUAUAUGAGGCCUACACGUUAGUAAUAAUAACUAGGCUUAAGCAUUUUGGACGGCGGUUUGGGCCAAUGAGUUAUUGUUGCUAGUGGGUCGAGCUAUUUCCUUGGAUAACUGUAUCCACUGGGAACUAUUUUUUAAUUCUCACACUCAUAUUUUACAGAUCCACACGUGAGCAUCGCGACAGCACGAGGAAAUGACAUAGCUCGAUAGUUUAACGUCCUGUCAUUGUGACAAAGAUUUAUGUACCCUAGAACAACGUAGCUUAAGGUAUAGAAAAGAUAAGAGAGAAAUUAUAGUAACAAUUUGAUUGUAUUUAAAAAGCAAUAAAUGUAAAUGUAAUUUGAAUAAAUUGUAAUAACAAUUUGAUUGUAUUUGAAAAGCAAAAAUUGUAAAUGUAAUUUGAACGAGAUAAAUGCUUGUAAUAGAGUAGUUAUUUUAUAUUUAUAAUACUUUUCUUAUACAAUCUGGUUACGAAUUCUGUUCCUAUUUAGAAUGUUUUGAAUUAUAUUGAUUGUGACGUCUUGGGCGGACAGAAAAAAUUCUACUCGUUCAACGGGUCUAGCGCCUGUGCCCGCGUGGGGCUUCUUCUACCUAUUUGGGGAAGGAACAGUAGGGCGUGACAUCCAAAAAGCUCUGCAACUGCAAAGUUCAAGAGUUUUCCUGGCUAAUCUCAUUACUGAGUAUCGAUAUUCUACUAUUUAGUAUCGAUGGAUACAUGCAUAAAUCUACAGCUUUCCAUAUUUUAAUUCUAAAAUUUUAUUUUCACUCCAAAAUCACUCUAACACCUUAAAUUCUACCAAACCUAUUUAAAUAGUUCCGAGUACUAAUUUUUAUUGAAAUUUUGCUAAUUUGUAAAAGUUAGGAGUACUAUAAAAAAAAGUUGUCCUAAAUUUACAACUCACUUUCAAUUAUAAUCCUACAAUAACCCCAAUUCAAUGGCUAUCUUUAUUCACUUGUCUCAUCACUUUAUUUUUAUUUACUAAAAAUUGAAAAGAAUUAAUAAGACUCUCAAUACUUUGGAUAACACGUUAUAGUAAAAAUAUAUUAACAGAUUGAGAUGACAAUAAACAUAAGGCAUAGAAAAAAGACAAAAAGAACAAAAAGGAGAAAGAGGGAAAAAAUUUUAAUAGAUAGAUGAUUAUGCCUCAAAGGAAGGAUAAUUUUGUAAGGUAUUAAAAAUUUAGAAGGAUUUAAAAAUUUAGAAAGAUGUAUAAUUUUUUUCAAAUUUAAGGCGAUAUAUCAAUUGUUGGUAUGUUUUUAAAGAAUGUGCUUGUAUUUAUCCGAUUUUUUAGUGCAAUAGUUUUCUCCUAAAAUUUUAUUCUAAAAAUAGACCUGUUAAUUUUUUAUUUAUAAAUAUGGUACUAUAAAAGCGGUGAAUCAUGUACCACCGCUUUCUUUCUUUUUCUCAUUUUUUUUUAUAUUUCUAUGAUUCUACUCCUAAUGAGAAGUUAUGAAUGCAGUGAAUCAUUCACCGCAUUUAGAGAUCUAUUUUUAUAAAUAUUUUUUUAAAAAAAAUAUUUUUAUAAUUAUAAAAAUCGUAUUUAUCCCCCGUUGUUAUUAUUAUUAUAAUAGAUAAUAGACGUUACGCUCGAGACUAUCCACAGCAACAUAUCGCCGAUUGCGGCAAGAAGUAGGAUCGAGCUACACGCGCGGGGUCGAGCUAUACGCGCGCGGGGAUCGGCGAAGGAGAUCGAGCAGAAAGAGAGGGUUGGGGGGGGGACGUAGUCGGGGUCGGGGGAGGAGUGCGAGUAGGAGGAGGAAGAAGAGAUGCGAGGUAGGAGAUGUGGAAGGAAGUCAGGGACAGGGAAACAGGUACUCUACUCCCCCUUUCUUUGGUCAGACGUCUCCGCUCCCGCCGCCUCGCCGCUCUCCAGCUCUCCAACCGCAAGGAGAUCGUCAGCCCCCACCACGGCGCCGUCAACUCCCUUCAGGUCAAGCCCCUCCCCUCUCUCUCUCUCUCUCUCUCUCUCUCUAUCUCUCUCUCUCUCUCUCUCUCUCUCUGAACUCCCGGAUCCAAUUUAGACUUGAUCGAAACAGCGAACCGAGCCGAGAGAGAGAAAAACGAAGAUGAUAUAGAUACAGUUCUAUCGUAUCGUGCGUUAGGGAUAAACGACUGCUUCAGGGAAACCGAACCUCCAAUAAAGAAAUAGUAGAGAGGGAGAGGGAUAGAGAGAGGAAGAGGGGGAGAGAGAGAGAGAGAGAGAGAGAGAGAGAGAGGAAGAAGAUAAUGUAGACAACUAAUUUUCUUCAUUAUUCAUCAAACCCUAAAAUAUACUUUUUUAUGUGCCCCAAGACCAUGUUUCUAAUUUAUUGGAAAUAUAGAAAAUAUCCUAAAUGGCUACUAUGAUUUUCCAUAUUAACAUCCUAAUCUAAGGACCGAUGUGACUCCACUGUCCUUGAAAACCACUAUGUCCAUAAGUUGGAAAAUCCAAAACAUGGUCUUGAAACUUUUGCCCGCCAGGUUACAGUUUGUUGAUCGAGCAACUGCUCCUAAUCUAGAAAAUCGAUUCCUUAAUCCCUUAAAUGUGUGUAGCCGCCUUUAUACAGUAAGGGGCGUGUACAUCUUUAAGAAGUCCCCAAAACCAAGGGUUUGGAGUCCUUGAUACCCAAGUUCCACGUCUUAAACCCCUUAGAGGAAGCAUAUGUGGAUCUAUCUUAAAUUGAGAAAUCUGCUAUAGUAAUAGGUAGGUUGGACCAUUUGCCACUCUUUGAUAUUUUGUCCCUAUUAGCCAGCAUGACGUCAAAAAGAUUUUCUUCACUUUAUUCGAAAUUGCAUCUUCUUCACGAAUGAGUUAUACAAGAAAGUCAUGAGUGUUCCCCAAAUCAAUGAGAACUGUGAUUGGUUGCUACUUUGUAUGUCCCUUGACUCCCUUCACCUGCAUUGUUUUAAGAGAUAAGGAAUUGAUGGUGACAUGGACAGAAACUUUUUGGGGGAAAAAGAAAAUGUUCCUAAGCCUAUUCUCUGUACCCUUUAGAUUGUCUUCUAUAAUCUUGUUGUAUGGUUGCUUUGACUUGCAUUAAUGCUAGGAACUAUUUUUUUAUCACGCUUGUUGCAAUUUGCAAAGGCUAUCUUUUCUUGCUUUUGCUUCAGUUGGUGUAAGGCAUUAAUGGGUGGAAGCAUCUAUUUAGAAGUUUAUAGUGUGACAUUGGACUGUCAAUUUCUUCCCCUCGAGAUGAGCAAGGUUUAUAGUGGCUGACAUAAAAGUGGAACAAAAGACUCAAAGAUCAUGGUUCAAUCUUUGUAUUUGUAGUAUAGUUGUAGGAAAUAGAGGGCUUGCAUUAAAAUCUAAGGUGGAAAUAUUCAUAGCUGAUGUAAAUUGUUGGCUAUCAAUCUUUGUAUUCAUGGUGGCAAUUUAAUUUUUGAUAUCACCGGUGAUGGCUCUCACCUUGGUCCCAAGCUUGGCGAAUAGAUAAUCAACAGCACCGGUGAAGGUCUUCACCUCCAUCUCAAGUUCGAAAAACGUGCAUCGGUAGCUUCCUUACCUACCAACUUUAUUUCCAUCCUCUUCAAUAGAUCCUUUUGUGAAUGGGUUAGGACCAUACAAAGAUUUUGUACCAAAUAAUAAGGUUCCACCAUAUUGAUAGGGAUGAAUGGAUGCUUCGAGGGGAUCGAACCUCCUAGAAAGAGAGAGUGGAGAGAUAGGGCGAGGAAGAGGGAGAGAGAAAAAGGAAGAAGAUUAUAGGAAAGACGGCUAAUUCCUUCAUUAUUCAUCAAAACCUAAAAAGUAGAUAUUUAUAUGCAUAGGCCAUAUUUCUAAUUUUUGGAAAUAAAGAAAGUACCUAAAAUGGCUAAUACAACUAUCCAUAAUAAAACGCUAAUCGUAGGACUCGUAUCAUUCUCAAUAUUAGUAGUGUUAAGCAAUAAUGAGAUCUUUGGAUUGACUGCUUGAUUUUAGGCUUUAUAGUGCUUUGCCAAUAUCUCUUCAUUAGGUAAGCUUAAGGAAUUCACUCAAACCUAUCAAUCUGGGGGUUAAUUUGAAUUAUGAUCUCAUCAUUAUAGGCGAUGAGAUAUUAUUAAGGAGAUUUCUAGAGUGUAUGUUCACUUAGGGCAUUGGCCUGCCUGUUUCCAAUCUGUAUCCGGUGAAAUCCAACUUUUUGCUUUCUUAGUUGCUAUUUCUUCUCGAUUUUGUAAUAAUAUUUGUUCACUAAGAACCUCUAUUAUAGAAAAGGAAAUGUUAUGGUGUUAAAAUAUAUAGAAGAGAAUCAGGAUGAUUGAGUACCUUGAAAAUGUCACACAAAUAACAUAGGCCCUCCAUUAUUAUCAAAAUGAAAAAGAACUUUCCAUACCAUAACAAUGAUGUAGAAACUUCUCGAUUUCUUAGACUGCUAUAACAUGUCGAUAGUUAGAGGUGGUUCACUGCUCAGAAUCAGUGGACCUAAUAAUGUAGAAGUAUCACUGCGAAUUAGUGUGGCUCAUGUUGGCCUGAGGCUUUACAGCACUCAACCUUCUAUUAAUAUUGAGGGGGCUUAUUUCUAUUAACUGAUGUUUAUUAAUUAAUAUGCUGGUUAACCUUAUCGCAGUGGCAUAAAAGCUGCUGUUAUGUUCAUAAAUGCUACUGCAGGCCUGGCAGGUAUCUGGUGGGCUACCAUAAAUGCAGCUAAGAUGCAUGUACUUUCUACUUACACUAAUAAAGAAUUAAUAUAGUUUUCGGUCAUGUCAAUUGACAACAUAAUCAGGUUGAUUUGACAGAAGGGCGAUAUCUGCUAUCCGGGGCAUCAGAUGGAUCUGCCGCCGUUUAUGAUAUCCAGCACACCACUGAUUAUGAUGGAGGCCUGAUAGCCAAGCAUAAGAACCUGUUUGUAGUUGACAAGCAACAUAAUCACGGCCAUAAAUUUGCUAUAUCAACUGCUAUAUGGUAUCCCAUUGAUACUGGGCUUUUUAUAACUGGGUCUUUUGACCAUCAUGUCAAAGUGUGGGAUACAAACAUGAUUCAAGUAGGUUUCAUUUUUGUUGAUUUAUCUCUUAUUUGCCUUUCCUGGGGAGUUUUGAUAGAGAUUUUCCAAAAAUUUGUUUGUAUUUUAUAGGUUGUCAUGGAUUUCAAAAUGCCUGGAAAGGUUUAUGGCACAGCAAUGUCUUCAAUAGCAACUGCUCAUAUGCUGAUUGCUACUGGAAGCGCAGACGUUCAAGUUCGUCUAUGCGAUAUUGCUUCUGGAGCGUUUACUCACACAUUAUCCGGUCAUCGCGGUUAGUUUCUUCUGGAACAAAAUGGGGCGCUUGAAUGCUUAAUACCAUGUGAGCCUAAUGAGUAGUCCUUCAGGUUUUUUCUUUAGGAGAUUAUAACAUUACCAAUGGAUAGCCAAUACCUAUGAUAUAAUGAUUAUUUGAAUAACCUGUGGAUUUUUUCUGGUUCUGGUCAUUUAUCAAUCGCUCAGUGAAAUUGUGCUCUUUAACUUUUUCUCUUGACUUCUUUUUCCCAUUUGACAAUUUGUUUUUCUCUGAACUUGGAGGAUAAAAAUACUGCAAAAUCAAAUCCCUUUCUUACUGAUUCCUUUUAUAUUUCAUUUUCCUUUUUGUAACUAUCAGUUAUCCACACGACAUUUAAAAUGUUCUGAAAUAUUGACCUAACUACAGUUUCAUCUUGCUCAUUAAUGACAGAUGGUGUUAUGUCAUUGGAAUGGUCUACCUCUAGUGAGUGGAUUCUAAUGACUGGGGGGUGUGAUGGUGCAAUACGCUUUUGGGAUAUUAGGCGUGCAGGAUGCUUCUGUGUUCUAGAUCAGUCACGGUCUCAGCUUGGGAGAAGGCCCCCUUUCUCUCAAGGCACGCCAAAGAGAGUAUGCUCCAUCUUCUUCCAUUUUUGUCUUAGUCAACUAAAAAUCACAAUAAAGAGAUAUUACAUACUUUCUGUUAGACUAUAGUCAUCUCAUGGUCAAAAUUACUUGGGGAUGUACUUAUCUGGAAACCAUUGAAACAGCUUGGUGUCAUCACAUCAAUGCCGACUUAAGCAGAAUUUGUCUAAAUAAGCUACAUGUGCUCAUGUCCUUUUCCGAAAGAUGAUGUCUUUCUUCUUUUACAUACUUGUGCUUUCUUGUUAUGAUGAAGAGCCAACUUGAAUUUCUGCUUGAUUUCAUUUGCAUCUAUGGUGCGAAAUGUAAUUUCCUCUUUUAUAUUUCUUGAAGGGGAUUCAGUCUCUUAAGUAACUAGCGACUCUGUACUAUAAUUCUGAUAAGGGUUCUUAAUGUACAAAAGGAUUGCCCUUGCCUCCCGAACUGUAUUGAGAAAACAUAUAUUUUUUAUAUUUUUUUGGGUUCUUUUAGAGUUUUUGUGAGAUAAAAAAGUUAUUAAUGGUUUUUUUUUAACUUAAAACAUGUAGAUCUUAUAAAUCUACAAACUUUUUGUUGUAAAUAGAGGGUCCUAUUGCAUGAUUAUACCAAUUUGUUUGGCAGUAAAAUGACUUUGACAAUUGCUUCCAUUUUCUUUUAUCAUUUUUUAUUUAGUGAUGGUGGUGUCUUCAUAUAAGUUUUUCUUCAAUUAUGACUAUAAUUUUGUCUUUGUGAGUGUGCUUUAUCAAGUUAAAAUUGUACUGUUGAUUUAUUAAGAUAUUUAUAAUUCUAUUCAUGCUAAAUUUUGUAAAAUAUUGACAUUUGGACUAUUUUUGAAGGUAUUAGAGGCAAUAAAACACUCUGGAACUAUUUUCUAUGAAAAACUAAUAAAGGAAUCCGUGCCGAAACAUGCCAAUGUGCUAGUAACAUGCCAUUGGCACAGAGGGCCAUGCCGACAUUGACACGGAGUGUGCCACCAUGCCGUGUCAUUGGCACAGCGGCACACCCUGUGCCACUUGCACAGCACCAAGGAUUCUCACAUUUUAUCAUCCACCAUGUAAGAUUUUUUUUUAAAUUCUGCUUGGGAGGAUUUGUUUUUCAAUGUGCCUCUCUUUUUCUCUUUCUUCUUAAGCAGGAUUUUAUAGCCUCGACAGUUUCAACAGGAAAAUCUUCUUUCGAAAAAACUCCUGUAUCUCAGAAAAGGAUGCCUGUUGGCAAUGGGAAGAAGCAACUAACAACAUCUCGGAAAAACCAAAAUGUAUCAGGAGGUCCUUCAACACAGAGAUUACAUCCCGGUAUGUCGUCCUCUCAUAAUCGUGCAACAGCUCAUUAUGGUGCUGUUACUGGACUCAGAGCCACUUCAGAUGGCAUGUAUCUUCUAAGCUCAGGUUAAGUUACUUUCUUUACUCUUCAAUCUAUUCUUUCAGGCCUGUUGGUUGCUUAAAUCAUGUCAUGUGCUUAUAAUAAUGCAAUACUCCUUUGAUUCGGGUUAAUCUAAAAGGCAACUUAUAAAAUUGGUUUAAUUUCAUUCGUACCUCUCAAUAGUUUGAAAAUACCAUAUUUACCUUCUUAGAACUUUGAAAUAUCACAGAUUCCCCAUAAAUUCCUUCUUGGAAAGGCAUCUAUGGAAAUUACGAGCACAUCUAUAGGUAAGUUUCUGACAAGGAAUUUGUGAUAUUUUCAAUUUUUGGAGCACGGCAUUGUAAUUAUGGGUUGCUAGAUAUAGUGUACGAAAUUUUUCCUACCAGAUCUGUCAGCUUCUUUCAUGAAAUAGAUAAUGCUGGUUGUUAAAGAGCUUCUUAUGUGUCAUGACCCCUUCAUUCCAAUGAUUAAUUAAGAGAAGAAUAAGACAGAGUGAGACCAGUAGAGGAACUGAGGAAGCAAGGGGUACUAAAGAUAUAGGGAAGGACUCCCAGCCAAUCUUCACAUUAUUCAUUACUUGCAUUUUAUAUUCAGAAGUAACAAAGAUAAGCUAUCUUCCUACUUCGCUAGUAGCAACCACCUCAUAUGCUAACAGCUAACCAAGCAACUCCCGCAAAAGACUCCAACUAACUAUAAAUUCUAAUCCAAACCACUGACUCCAACUAACGAGAAAUUCUUAUCUAGUGACUUCUCCAACAUAAACUCAAGACCCAUCAGGCAGCACAUUGUGCCCAUUUUAGCUAGUGACGUGAGUUGUAAUAUUAUGAUUCCGCUUCAGGUUCAGAUUCCCGUUUAAGGUUGUGGGAUAUUGAAUCAGGCUGUAACACUUUGGUCAACUUUGAAGCUAUGCGCCUCCAGACUAGCAAAGCCAUACAGCUAGCCGCCUUUCAAGAUUCAUCUCUUGUAUUUGUACCAUCCAUGGCGAGCGUAAAGGUUCCAUGGCUCUUUCUUAUCCGUGCUGUUUCUGUGUUUAUAUGCUGAUUAUCUAUAUGAUUUACUUGUUCUUGUUCUCUAUCUAUUUAGGCAUAUGAUAUGUGGUCUGGUACUAAUUUAGGGACCUUCCGUGGCCAUUAUGAACUGGUGAACUGUUGCUAUUUCAAUUUGCAGGAUCAGGUGAGCUUUGUAGCUUUCAUCCUUUGCAUCGUAUGAAUCAGAUGAAAUAGUUUGGAUUGAUCUUUAGGCCUAUCAAAUGUAGGAACUGUAUACUGGGAGCAACGAUCGACAGAUUCUUGUGUGGUCCCCAUCCAUUCCUGCAGUAACUGUAAUGGUGAGGCUUCUCCCUGCCUCUUUAACUUUCAUAAUGGAAAGUCGAGAUGCAUAUGAACUGUUACUGCUAUUCUAUCUCGGUAACUGUUAGGUUUUAUCAAGCAAAUCUAAAGUUGGAUUGUAGAGUGGGUUUUAAUCUUGACAGGGUAUCUUUUUAUGAUUUCCCUUUGAACUAGAGAAAUCAGUUCAAUGUUUUAAGAGAGAGAAGUGAAGAUGAACUCUUUGUCAGAUUCAGUAAUGCUCUAUUUUUAGCUCCGAUCAGAGUUUUACUCUGGAGAAGGGUGAACUUCUAAAGUUCACCUCAUUCUCAGUUAGUCCCAUAAAUAAAUAGCAAAUUUCACUUGUCACUCCUCUGAAAUAUGCAACUGUUCAGUGUUUCUGGUCAUUGUCCAUUGCUCAAACUCCAAGAGUGAAUGUUCUUAACAAGAAUAUAGGUUCACUAUUUCUUCCAGUAAUUAAAAAUCCUUAAUGCAUGAAUCGUGAGCGGCUCAAUAAUUUUCUCAACCCCUAACAUACAUGCAGGAAGAAGAUGACAAGAAAGGGCAGACUUUGUCAACAGACCGAGAUAACUGGAGUGACUAAGAAAACUUCUCGUCUUACAUGAAGAAGCUUCGAAUUUUCAUUCCCCAUUUGUAAAUAUGUUUGACUGACCCCCACCUAGCUUAACAUUAAUGCGAGUUUAUUAAUUAUCAAAUGUUUAGAGGAAAGAUGUACCUUGUAAUGUUCAGGGUGUCUACUAUCCACCUUGUCUUCUUGUUGUACAACAAAAUGGAGCUGAAAGAGACUGUCUCGUUGCACAUUUAUCUUUUCUUUUGAAGUUUUCAGGUGUCAUAUCUAUCAUCUUCUAUUUGAUUACUAUUGUUGUAGAGAUGUAUAACUGAUCUGAAUCAUGUUUUAUUUGUUUAGCUAAUCAGCAAAUGCCAAUAUAGUACGAGUGCUAAAAAUAUUCUGUCUAACUUUUUAUUUCUGCGUGUCCUUGUCACUAUUGCAUUACUUUCAAAACUUGAACUUUUUAUUAUAGCAAAGCUGUAGUAAUAAAUUACGUGAUUUUCGUCUGUGGUAAAUGCAAGCUCUCUUCAGAUGGGGAAUGCUGUAUGUAGUAUACCAGAUUUUUAAUAUAGAAACCAGUGUAAAUAAUAAUAGUAUGAAAUGUUAUUUUUGUUGGAUUUAGAGAAGUAAAAAAUAAUUCUAAAAUGAUUUGCAGUGAAAUUGGAAUAAAAAGAAAAAAGACUUGGAAAUUUUUUUUUUUAGGAACAUGACUUAUACUGCAGCUGAAAAAUUGACGGUGGUGAAAAAUUUUAAAAUUUUAAAAAGUUGUCGAAAUUAUUUGUUAGAUUUAAAGUUUUGUGUUAUUUGGAUCUCCGAGUAAUGAAAAUGAAGGAGGUUAAAUUUAAAGUUGUGUGUUAUUUGAAUCUUCGAGCAGUGAAAAUGAAGUCUAAUUAUAACCUCUUAAAGAUUUUAGUCGGUAGAAAUUUUGGUGACUUAAAAUGGUUUAAAAUUAAAAAGUUAAGAUAACUUAUUUCUGAUUAACUUUAAUUAGAUCUGUACGUUACAUUUGAGCGCAAAUGGAUACUAGACGUAUCUGCUCAGACUUGGACUUAUGUUAGAAAACUUUAGUUGUUAGGGACCUUUCAGCAUUUUGUGGCUUUUAAGUAGCGGUUGCCUACCAUGCGUCCGAGGAUGUUUAUCCUCUCCAUCUUCUUCUCCUUCGUGUACUCGAGAGAGAGAGAGAGAGAGAGAGCGUGCGAGAGGAGGGAUUGUAGGAGGUCCAAGAAGGCGACGAUUUUCUGUCGCAUCAGAUUAGAGGUUGCUAUUAAAAUAUUGCUCAUUGCAGCUAACGUAUAGCGACUCCUAUUUUCGAGCAACUACUCUCCUCAUCGGCCGAUUGGCUGCGCGGUGUCAACGUCUUCGAGGCGCCGAGUUGGGCAGGUCCGGUGUGUAGGGAUGGCGAGUGAGUUGGAUCGCCGGGUCACUGUGAGGAGCAGCGACGACUCGCUCGAGAUAUGCCUGGUCCUCAACGGCAUGUGGGAGACGAGCAAGAGGCUUAGAAAGGAAGCUGAUUGGAGCUUCCAAUCUUCAACCUCAACAGUUGAGCUUGGAUUUAGAACUUGGAUCAAAAUUACUAAUCUUCCCAGACUCCCUCUAACUUGUGGAAAUUGAGAGUAGCGUUUUAGUAUUCUAGUUUUUCAAAAACUAGCUAGGGUUUAUUUCGAGGAUUUUCAAAUGAGGCCUAUAGGGAUGGAAUUGAUGUGUUUAGAAUACUUUUAUAGGUUAGAAUUGUAGCCCCAUUAUCUUGGUUCUAAGGUCUAGCAAGAAUCUCUCGCCUUGAGGUAAUUUUUCAACUAUUUUUUUAAUGUGAUUUUCAGUAAAUUUUGGGAUGAGCUCUUUAAGAGGUUGCAAUAUUUUGGAAAUUUUUCCUUGGAUUAGGAGAGAAGAGGGGAUAAUUUUGAUUGAAAAAACAAACCGAUUUUUGCAACCAUUAUGUGGGUUCGGCCUAACCAAAAUUUGCCAACUCUCUCUACGUCUCUUUCUCCCUUGUUGAGCUUCUACUAUGUUUUAGCAUACUAGUUAGAACAUUUAAGAACGAAUUAGCAUAUGGUUCCAUGGUUAUUUGCAUGUUGAAAUCCAUACUCUAUAAUAAAGGCCAUAUGAUAUAUAAUGUAUGCACUUCAUUGUACUUGAACUUUAUUGUUAGUAGUACCAUUCAUUUGGUGGUGACAUAAGUUAUUUAUCUCCUCGAUAUGUUAUAGUUGAGGUGAGAUAUAUGCUGUCACACCUCGAUGUCGCCACUUUGGUCGGAUUCGGCGCGCCAACAAACCACCGAAUGGUCAGAAUUUUUUCUAUCCGUCCAAGACGUCACAAUCGGUACAAUUCAAGUAGUUCUAAAUAGGAACAGAAUUCAUGCACAGAUUGUAUAAGGAAGGCACAUAAAUAUAAAUACUACGCUAUUAUAAGCAUUCGUCACAUUUCAGAUUACAUUUACAUUCUUUCCUUCCAAAUACAAUCAACUUUAUUACAAUUUUGUUUCUUUUUUUUCUAUACCAUAAGCUAUGCUGACCCAGGGUACAUCUAUCCUCUAGUCUCAAGUAGUAGGGCGCUAUCUACCGAGCUACGGCCUUUUCUUGUGCCGCCGCACCGCUCAUGUGUGAACCUGAAAAACAUGGGGGUGAGAAUUAUAAAAAUAGUUCCCAGUGGGUACGGCCACCCAAAAGAAGAGCUCGACCCUCCAGAUUCUAAGAAGGUAACAUAAGCGAGUUAGUCCAAUAUAUAUAAACAUAUAAAUAUAAGCAGCUAACAAACAUCAUGCUUAUGGUUCAACUAAAUGGAAUAUAAAAUUCAUGCAAGUAGAUCUACCAUUUCUAUUUCACAACCCAUUGCAUUCACAAUCCGCUCCUAAGGUUCUUUUACCUUAACUAAGCUAUACCACCCGACUUAGUCUUGAGUUAAUCAUCAACGGACUACCGAUCACAUCCAGGUCUGAGGAUAGAAAUAUGUUGUGCACCUCAGUCUUCAAUCCACACACCAAGGUGCCCGAUGAGCGGCGAAAAAGCUCUGUACACCUGCGGUCAGGGAUCCCCCAGUGGGAGAGAAACAUGCCACAUACACCCGCAGCCGAGAUCCCUGAUAGGAAGAGGAACAUGCCACAUGCACCCUAGCGCAUGAAGAUUCUUCCGGUAGGAGAGGAACAGGCCAUAUGCACCCGUGGCCAAGAAUCUUCCAUAGACACAACUCUCGAAGUUCUUGCGGUGGGAGAAGGAAUAUGCUACAUGUACCCACGGCCAAGAACUCUCAACGAUCACAAGUCCUGUGAUUCUGGAAUCCACUUUCCAAAUAUCAAGGAUUCGUUACCUACCCUAAAUUGUGAACCUCUCUAGGUUUAUGUUCAUAUAUCCAACCUACGUUCAAUGACACCAGGUUCAAUGAUAUUCCAAUCCAAGUGGUCUUCCUACCAUUAUGUGUCACGUCCCGGGACCGCCUAUUUGGUCGGUUCAGGCGCGCGCAAAGAUCGCCAAACGGACAGAGUCUCCCCUGUCCGUCUAAGGCUAAACAAAACAUGUACAUUGAAUUUCACACAAGAAAUACAACAUGAUACAGUUCUGCACGAGGGCAUCACACAAGAGUGAGAAUUUAAACCUAACUAUUACAACAUUGGGCAUUCACAUUGUACUUACAUUUUUCCACUUAUAUAAUACAUGAACUCCUCAAAAUACAACUUUCGCUCUUUAAUACAUUUGCUUUCCAAAUUACAUUUACAUUCUUACUUAUACAUAGGGCAACCUAAACUGGGUGACCCUGCUUUCUAGGGCUCAACGCUCACGCCUCGAUCCGCUGCCGCUCCGCAAAUGGUGGCUCUGCAACAACAGGGGGUGAGAACUAAAAGAAGUUCCCAGUGGGUUCGGCCGCCGACCUCGCUGACUUUCCCACUAGGUCCAAUAAGGUAUAGUAAUACGAAAGGAAAUAGCAAUGCAAUAUAUAAGUAACUGAACAUGUAGUCUACCACUACUAAACAUACAACAUGCAACAAUGUCUAUUACUAUGCCUUACAAUAAGGAAUGAAUGUCAUGGUCCAAUAUGUUCAACAGUGUCCCUCACACACUCUUGACCCAAUUCAUUCUUGACCAAAUUGGGGCUUCUCACAAGACCAGCCCAACUCACCCCACUCAGCCUCAUAGAGACUAGCUACCGCUCCAUCACUCACUAUAGGCUACUCACGGGGAUAUUAUGAUUGACCCAUCACUCAACCUGUGAUCUCACUAUGCUCACUCUCUACAUAAGAUGCAAUAAUGCAAACUAGCACAUGAUACAAUAUGAUCAAUCAAUCUGUCUCUUUUCUCUUUGACCCAAUCAUACCGGCUAACCCAAAGGUUGAGCCCUAACUCACAACCUAAUCCCACAAAUGAGGAGCACCGCUACGACCUAUUGGGGACCGUCUACUGGGUAGCUACGUUAACCCACCUGAAGAACUCCGAAGACCAAUGCUUGGGUGGAGCAACCACCGCCAAGCUGACAGGCGUAAUGUGAGCAUAAUCCAAUCCUCUAAACUUGAGGAUACUCUACCAACUAAUGGUAACAAUAAUAGAGGACUACCAAUCCCUAGGAUGGUCUAGAGGAUCUAUUUCAAUCCUUCGCAUGCUCAAUAACAUCAUAGUACUAGAUGCGACGCUACAAAUGUAUUGACCCAAUCUUUUCCACAUACACUCGAGAGUUUACCCAACUCAUGUAGCGUGCAUCAAUGCGAUAUACAAACACCACACAAUGUGAACACAAGCAACUAUGCAAUGCUUCAUAAUGAUAUGGUAACUCAAUAUCAUGCCACAAUGCGAUGAUCCAAUUUCGUAUUCAUACUUGAGGCUUUUUCAAUUCAUGCCAUAUCCCUAUCAUGCACAACACAUUAUGCCCAAUCCAUGUUUCUAUCACAAUGUUCACAUUCAAUAUCACAAUGACAAACAAUGUAUCAUUUAUUUCAAUGUCCACAAUAUUUUCUAUGUCAAAUCCACUAGUUUGUUCUCUACUAGUUCAACAUGUCACUAGGGUUCAUGUGUCACUAAUUUUAUGCAUCCUAAGUUCCAAGUUAGUAUCACAAUUAUUUAUAUAUACAUCAUAGGAAACAUGCAAGUUUCUAUAACAAUAAAUAUUUGAACCCUACCAUGCACAAAUAAUACAUGUAUAUAUGCUCAACAAGAGGGAAUUAGACAUAGGGAGAAAUCCAACCAUUUCGGAUAGCACCACCCAUCUCGCUUCAUUACCAAUUGCUAGGAUUUCGAAGCAAUUCGAUUUCCGACGCCGAUUCGCCUUGACUCAUGCCUGACGAACCAAAUUCCGCAAAUCUCUCAAUCAGACGCCGUAAUCUCGUCGUAAUCCAAAACGAAGUUGUCCUUCGCGUCGAAUUAUCCUUUAAUUAAGGUUUUACAAGAUCAAUUUGAUUCAAAACCUCUUAGAGACAAGAGCCCCAUUUUCUAAGCCUAGGUUUCAAGUUCUACAAGGAUACUCUAAAUUUCAUGAUUAAACUUUAACCAAUCUAGUUUAGAAUCAUCUAGAGGUCCUACAUAUCUCAUUUACAAAAGAUUUAAUCUAAACCCUAGCUUAAAUCACAAAACUCACCAUGGCCACCUUGGGAAAGAAGCUUGAUCCACCAUUGGAGAGCUUGCUUCACCACCAAGCUUCUUCUCCAACUUAAUCUCCUCCAACUUCUUCUCUUUAAUGGAGAAAUUGUUAGAAAGAGAGCUAGGGGAGAGGGUGAUGUGAGCUUAGAGAGAGAGAGAGAGAGAGAGAAGACUCUCACACCUCUCUCUCUCUCUCUCUCUCUCUCUCUCUCUCUCUCUCUUGUGUUGGACCAAAACAAAGAGGAAAGAGCCACUUGUUACACAUAUAGCCCCUAACAAUUGCAACUUACAAUUUAGUCCAGUUCAGAAUCUGACACUUUUUGCCGGAGCCCUUCUGAAUGUCCGUUUGCGCCCAAAUUUGAUAGUCAUACUCGGUUAAAAUCAAUAAGAAGAACAUGAUCUUAACUUUUCAGUUUUGAACCAUUUUUUGUCACCGAAAAGUCUACCGACUAGAAUCUCUAGCAGUUAGCAGUCAGAUUUUGUUUUUCACUUUCCGGGUGUCGGAAUGAUAUGAAACUUUAAAUCUAGCAUCAAAAAAAUAAUUCUGACAUAUUCUUAAAAUUUCAUAAUUUUCUGACACUGUAAAUUUUCUGCUAAAAGAUCAGCCCCAUUUCUUACAGAAAAUUCUAAAUCUUCUGUUUUCAUUCCAAUUUCAGCAUAAGUCAUUUUCGACUUAUAUUUUACUUCUUUAAGUCCAAUAAAAAUAGUAUCUUACACUAUUUUUAUUUAUAUUUACUUUUAUAUUCAAAAUCCGGUACAUUACACUAUAUUUUCCAAUCUAAGUUCGAUGACACUAGGUUCAAUACCCAAUCACGUUCUUUCUUUACCCUAGUUGUCCACACCUAGGAUUCAUAAUUUCAUGGCAUCUAGUCCUUUGUUUCACACUUGUCGAGUUGUCUAAUUUUUCUAGAGUUCAGUGAUCCAUGUUCAGUAUCCACAUCUAGACAUAUAUAUACAUAUGUGUAUACAUAUGUAUAGAUAUGUAUAUAGAAUUGAGCUAGAAUACUUUUAUAAGUAUCGCCCCUUUUUUACUUCUAGGUUUCUAGCCCUUAGAUCUACUCCUUGAUUACUAAUAGCCUUUGGAUCAAAUACUAUUCCAGGUACCACCACCUACCACCACCUACCACCAUCAUCCCAACCUUAUAUUUCUCCAUUCAAGGGUUAAAAACUCAAAAGCACCAAUCUCUUGGUGCUUUUGAGAGUAUUCUAGCUCAACUCUAUAUAUAUAUAUAUAUAUAUAUAUAUAUAUAGGCCGUAGGGCUACUAUACUAUUAUGAGUAUUGGACCCCUCGUACUCAUAAGUUGUUUUCGAUGAUAGAACUUCCGAAUCAACAAUCCACUCCGUUAAAUAUGAUCUAGAGUAUUUGAAACUUCUAGAAAAAAAAUUUCAUAAAUUUUCGAAAUCAGAAUAAAGUCCAUCAAACGGACAUAAAAUGAACGAUCAAAAUCGAACGACAUCCUAAAAAAGAAUCAUCGGAUCAUUCAAUUCAAGAUCGGAGUUAUUGAUCUUUAUCUAGGUAGUGAAUAGAAUUUUCUAUCAAAAAUUCAACAAAUUCCAAUUCUUUUACACCGUUAAACUAGCAAGUAUCCCAUACCGGCCGUCAAAAAUUGUCAAAUUUGUGACCUCUUGAUCGUAAGGUAAAUGAUAUCGAAAAAUUAUAAAAUUUGACUUCUAAAAGUUUUAAAUGCUGUAAAUAACAUUUAACUGUAUGGNAUAUAGAUCAUAGAUACAGAUAGAUAUACAUAUACAUACGAAAACAUAUACAUAUGUAUAUAUACGAGGGCGAUCAUACAUGCAUACAUAGUAUAUAUGUAGACAGGAACAUAUAUAUAUAUAUAUAUAUACAUACAGGAUAGACAUACAUAUAUACAUACAUGUAUAAAUGCAUAAAUGCUAUACAUGUAUACAUGUAAAUAUGUAUACAUAUAUAUAGACAAAAAAUAUAUAUAGGGAUACAGGAUAGAUAUAUAUNAGUAGGGCUACUAUACUCUUAUGAGUAUUGGACCCUUCGUACUCAUAAGUUGUUUUCGAUGAUAGAACUUCCGAAUCGACGAUCCACUCCGUUAAAUAUGAUCUAGAGUAUUUGAAACUUUUAGAAAAUAAAUUUUAUAAUUUUUCGAAAUCAGAAUAAAGUCCAUCAAACGGACAUAAAAUGAACGAUCAAAAUCGAACGACAUCCUAAAAAUGGAUGAUUGGAUCAUUUAAUUUAAGAUCGGAGUUAUUGAUCUUUAUCUAGGUAGUGAAUAGAAUUUUCUAUCAAAAAUUCAACCUAUUCUAAUUCUUUUAUACUGUUAAACUAGCAAGUAUCCUUACCGGCCGUCAAAAAUUGUCAAUUUUGUGAGCUUUUGAUCGUAAGGUACAUGAUGUCGAAAAAUUAUGAAAUUUGAUUUCUAAAAGUUUUAAAUGUUUUAGAUAAUAUUUAACUGUAUGGAUCGUCGAUUUGGAAGCUUUAUCAUAGAAAACAACUUAUGAGUACGAGGACAAUCAUACUCAUAAGAGGAUAGUAGCCGGACUCUGUAUACGUAUAUAUNUAUAUAUAUAUAUAUACAUAUAUAUAUACAUAUAUAUAUGUAUACAUAUAUAUAUGUAUAUAUACAUGUAUAUACAUGUAUACAUGUAUAUAUGUAUACAUGUAUAUAUAUGUAUAUUUAUAUAUACAUACAUAUAUACAUACAUAUAUACAUACAUGUAUAUAUGUAUAUAUGUAUACAUGUAUACAUGUAUAUAUGUAUACAUAUAUAUAUACAAAAUAUAUAUAUAUGUAUACAUAUAUAUAUAUAUGNAACUAAAUUUCAGAUUUUUUUGACAUCAUUUGACUAGUGAUCAAAAGAUCUCAAAAUUGAUAAUUUUAAUGGCCGAUGUGGUGUGUUUGAGAGUUUAACGGUGUAAAACAAUCCAAAUCCGAUGAAAAUUUUAUAGAAAAUUCUUUUAACUAUUUAGAGUAAGAUCAAUAUAUCUGAUCUUGAAUUUAAAUCUUUUAUCAUCAUUUUUUAUGAGAUUUUUAUUUUCAGCCGUUCAAUUUUAGACUACUUGUUUGAUAGGUAAAUGGUAUAAAAAAAUUAUGAAAUUUAGUUUCUAAAUACUUUUAAUAGUGUAGAUCAAGUCUAAUGGAGCCGAUCGUCAAUUCGAAAGUCCGAACAUCGAAAACAACUUGGUAGCACGGAGCGCUCCGUGCUACCGAUAGUAUAGUAGCCUAGUUAGUUCUAUAUAUAGAGAGAGAGAGAGAGAGAGAGAGUUAAGCUAGAAUACUUCCAAAAGCAAAGGUGGUGUUUUUGAGUUUUUAGCCUUUGGAUGAAGAAAUGUGGGGUUGGGAUGAUGGUGGUAGGUGGUGGUAGGCGGUAGUAGGUGGAAUAGUGUUUAAUCCAAAGGCUAUUAAUAAUCAAGGAGUAGAUCCAAGGGCUAAAAACUUAGAAGCACCAAGGAGGUGGUGCUUCUAAAAAGUAUUCUAACUCAACUCUAUACAUAUAUGUAUGUGUAUAUUAUAUAUAUACAUACAUACAUAUAUAUAUACAUACAUACAUAUAUGUAUAUAUAUGUAUGUAUAUAUAUAUAUAUAUAUAUAUAUAUAUAUAUAUAUAUAUAUAUAUACAUACAUAUAUAUAUACAUACAUACAUAUAUACAUACAUACAUAUAUACAUACAUACAUAUGUAUACAUAUACAUACAUAUAUGUAUAUGUAUACAUAUAUAUAUAUACAUAUAUAUAUAUACAUAUAUAUAUAUACAUAUAUAUAUAUAUAAAUAUGUAUACAUACAUAUAUAUACAUAUAUAUAUAUAUAUGUAUACAUAUAUAUAUAUAUAUACAUAUAUAUAUAUAUACAUACAGAGCUAGGCUGGUAUACUAUCGGUAGCACGCUACCGAGUUGUUUUCAAUGAUGCUGCUUCCAAAUCGACGAUCGGCUCCGUUAGACUUGAUCUACACUAUUAAAAAUAUUUGGAAACUAAAUUUCAUAAUUUUUCGACAUCAUUUGGCUAGUGAUCAAAAGGUCUCAAAAUUGACAAUUUUAAUGGUAGAUGUGAUGCAUUUGUAAAUUUAACGGUGUAAAACAAUCCAAAUCAGAUGAAAUUUUUAUAAAAUUUUUUUUUUACUAUUUAGAGUAAGAUUAGUACAUCUGAUCUUAAAUUCAAGUCUUCUAUUAUCAUUUUUUAUGGGAUUUUUAUUUUUAGUCAUUUAUUUUUAAACUACUCGUUUGAUAGGUAAAUGAUAUUAAAAAAUUAUGAAAUUUAGUUUUCAAAUACUUUUAAUAAUGUAGAUCAAGUAUAACGGAGCCGAUCGUCGAUUUGGAAGCGGCAUCAUUGAAAACAACUUGGUAGUACGGCGGCCUCCGUGCUACCGAUAGUAUACCAACCUAGCUCUCUCUCUCUCUCUCUCUCUCUCUCUCUCUCUCUCUCUCUAUAUAUAUAUAUAUAUAUAUAUAUAUAUAUAUAUAUAUAGAGAGAGAGAGAGAGAGAGAGAGAGAGAGAGAGAGAGAGAGAGCUAGGCUACUAUACUAUCUAUAGUACCGAGCUCCGGUACUAUAAUGUUUGUUUUCGAUCUUAGGGCGUUCAAAUCAACGAUCCACACCGUUAAAACUGAUCUAGGGUAUUUAAAGUUUCUAAAAAUAAAAUUUUAUAUUUUUUCGACAUAGUUUAGUUUAUGAUCAAACUAUUUCAAAAUUGUCAAUUUUUAAUGGCUAUUAUGACGAGUUUGAAGUUUAACGGUGUAGAAGAAUCUAAAUUUCUUCAAAUUUUGAUAGAAAAUACUUUAAACUAUAUAGAUUAAGGUUAACAUUCUUGAUCUUGAAUUUAAAAGUUCUAUACUCAAAUUUUAAAGAUUAUUUAAUUUCCACCGUCCAUUUUGAUAUAAUUUAUUUACUAAGUAAACGAUAUCGAAAAAAACUAAAAUUUUAUUCCUAAGAAAUUCAUAUACCCUAGAUCAUAUUUAACGGUAUGGAUCGUUGAUUUGAACGCCCUAAGAUCAAAAACAAACACUAUAGUACCGGAGCUCGGUACUAUAGAUAGUAUAGUAGCCUAAUUCUAUAUAUAUAUAUAUAUAUAUAUAUAUAUAUAUAUAUAUAUGUGUGUUCUCACAUACCUAUAUCAUCAUAUAAUGGUAGGUAACAUCAUCUAGCAACAUAUGAUUUAGGCAUUCAUAUUUACAAUACAUUAACCUACCAUUAUAUACAUGCAUCAACAAUAAUACCAUCUACGGCAUACAUCUAAAAUGCUGCACGUGUCGAACCCGUUUUUCCAAAAAAUAAAAUUUUGUUGAAAAACACCGAAAGAAUACAAGUACUUAUGUGACGACGACGACGACGACGACGACGACAACAACAAUAAUAAUAAUAAUAAUAUGCUGCACAAGCAUUUAUAUAUGCACCCACAUAGGAUAAGCAACAAAUGCAUGCUACAAAAGAAUAAACAAAAUUAUGUAAAGCACAAAACUUUUUUUUUGUGUAUUCCAAAAAUAUUACAACACAUGAAUAAUAAAGUUUUUUUUACUACACAGGAAAAAAAAUCACCACAAAAAAGGGAUUUUUUUUUUAUAAUGAGCAAAAAUAAAAAAUACUGCCAGAGCACAGGUAGAGCCAAACUGCGGGGUCGCGCCUGCGUGUGCACUUGGCCGGGCCGAGUUCGAAAGAACGCCCGAAGGCUGAGGGGUUGCCCCCCAAGAGCGACAGGCCGGGCCCGGCCUGAAAGCCUGCCUGAACGCUGAGGACCUGUGCCCCCAAGUACGGCAGGCUGGGUCGGGCCCGCAAGCUCACUUGAGCCUUGCGGGGUGCGCCCUUAUGCGCGUAAGGCCAGGCCGGGCUCGCAAGCUUGCCCUAGCCCUGCAGGGCACGUCCCCGCGCGCGUGUCGAGCCAGACCCUAUGGGGUCACUCCCGCGCGCGCGGUGGGUUGGGCCGGGCCCGCCAGACCGCCCGCCGUGCGUGGGUGGCCCGCACGCCUGCAGCCAACUGGGCCCGCAUGCCCGUGCAUGUGGCGGGCUGAUCUGGGUCCGCAAGCCUAUGUGUGUUGUGUGGGUCUUCCCGCGAGCACAGCCCGCAAGCUUGCGCGCACGGCGCACGGGUUCUCUCCGUGCCCCCAGUGGGGCCGGGCCCGCGAGCCUGCAUGUGUGGCUGGCCUAGCCGAGCUACAAGCCCUCUAUCCUGCGCGCGUGGGUCCGUCCCUGCCGCGAGAGAGCGGGUUGGGCCAUGUCGCACAGGCUUGGGCCGGCCUUGCGCUCUUGCAGGGCACGCGAGUCCAUGCCUAUGGACCUGCAAUGGUUGCUUGUUCGCAACCCCUUUUAUUUAAUUUAAAUUGCGCAAAAUAGAAAAGAAAAAAUACAACUUAUGUUUUUAAAAAAUUUCGUAUGUCUCGUAAUCAAUUCAAAAGAAAAAAAUUAAAACUAUUUUAGUUUUUCCUUUUUUUUUGGGAUUUCACAUAGAAAACAAAAAAAAUUUUAGAACAAAUCUACAUAAAAAAAUUUUGAUUAACGAAGCAUGUGAUCUAAACACACACAUCAUAGGCAUGAUCAUAAGGUGAAAACAAGCAAGCAGCUCUGAUACCAAUUGUUGGAAUUAGAAGAUAGCAGAAACUUACAAACUGGAUAGCCAACGUAUCUAGAAAUCGGAAUCGGAUUAGGUUGCUUAUUUUACUAGCCUGUUUGGAUCGUCCUUGUCUCGAUGCUUUUAGAUCUCCCACGUAUCUCGCCUUCUCCCACGCCUACGCCUUGCGUCACAAAUCAGAUGCGACAGACACGGAUUGGAUGCAAGUCGUCGGAUAAGAUGGAUGUAAAUCAAAGAGGGCUGCCAGAGUCCUCUUCUAUAUCCACACUCAAAAGCCCCGGGAACGUAGAUGGAAAUCUCAGAGAGAAAGAAGAGAGAGAAGAAAGAGUAGAUUCUCCUCUAAAAUAUUUUGAAUUUCACAUAGAGAUUAGGAUUAGGAUAUCUAUAAUAGAUAUUCAUUAGGAGAUACGUUUCUUAACUGAUAAGAAAUGUAUAAUUCGUUCUUAUCCUUAAUUGUCACGCUCCGUGACCGCCAAUUUGGUCGGUUCGGGUACGUCCACAGACGCCGAACCAAUAGAACCUCCCCUGUCCGCCCAAAGCUCCACACAACAUCAACAAGUAUAGCAAUUCAUACAAGAGAAUUCGAGUAUAUAUGACUUGCACGAAGGCAACCAACCACAAGCUAGUGAAAGCACUACUACGAUUCCAUUCAUACAUGUAUCUUGAUUGCAGUUAACCAAAUACAAACUAUCCGCAUAUUACAUUCUUUUCUCUUCUUGAUACAUCACAUGUCCCUCAACAAAAGCAUAUGGAUUUACAACCUUUAUACAUGUAAAGUACCGAACUUCUACGAUUUUGAAGUUUCGGUGGGAACUUGCUCGAAAAGCUAUUGGAGCAGUUCCGGUGAAGUUCAGGGGCAUUCGGGUGUUUUCGGUACGCGUCGAGCAUGAAAAUGAAACUCGAAAAGCUAUGAUUGGACUUUGGCCGAAAUCCGGCAAAGCGUAGGUGAAAAGAUGGUUUAAACGCGCUCAAAAAUAUAUUUUGGGGGUCUCGAUACGAUUAGAGACGAAUCGGAGGCCCAACGAGCGAAAACGAAGCAAAACGGAGAAAAUGCUGAAAUUGCUGAAAAUUUGACUAAGUCCUGAAAUUCUGGGCUGGAGGGACUUACGGGGUCCGAACCCUCUAGCCAAGGUCCGGACCCUGAGCUCGAAAAUUGCCCAGUUUAAGUAGGGGCUGUUUGGUAAAUUAUGGGGGAUUGCUUUUAAAAAGGGGCUACACCCCUUCUUCUUCCUCCCUCAGCCCAAAAGCACCACACACACACAAAUGGGUAGUGAGAGAAGCUCAUCUCUCUCUCUAGCUUUCCCACCUUCCCUCUCUAGAUCUCUCUCCCAAAAUUGGAGGCUUGGUGGAGAAGGACCUUGGGAACGCGUUAGGAGCGACGGUUCGAGUCUUCGUGCGCCCGGUGGAGCGGCGUGCUUUCGACUCGGCGUUCGCAUUUUGGUAAGUAUUUAGGAUUUGGUUAAAUCAUUCAUGAAUAGCAUUCUAGAGAUCAUGCAUGUUUCUCCUUUAAUACUUGGGUUAUUUGGGAGAAAUGAGAAGUUAGGGCUUAGAAUGGGGGAUUUUGGGGUUUAUGGGUUUUGAUCUAAUUGAACCUUAUGGUUCUCUAAUUGAAGGUUAGAGAAGAGCCCCAGGUGAUUCUAGGUUGAGGAUCGGCGAGUGUUCAGUGAUCAAUUGCGAGAUCGAGCCAAACCAGAUCACGUGUGCCACGGGAGUCCGAUUGCAAGUGACUACAAGCAAUCGGAAAGCAUUACGAGGUGGGUUGUGCUUCACCGAAGUGAUUAGGUCACUUCCAUGUCAAAGUGAAGUGGUUUGUCAUUGAUGCAUGUAGCGGUAGUUAAUUACAUAUAUGAAUGCAUAGGUAGAUGCCAUGUAAUUGCAUGAGAUGAUAUGCAUAACUACCCUUGGAUGACAAAGAGUUAUGCAUGUUGUCAUAUGAUAGAAUAUGCUAGAUGGUAUAUGAAUGUUGACAUUGUGGAACAUGCUAGAUGAAAUUAUGCAUGUUGGCAAGUUAUAGAAUGUGCUAAAAAGUAUAUGCAUGUGUAAUUGUGACAUUGUGGUAUUAGCUAGAGACAUUGUGACAUUGUGGCAUUAGCUAGAGACAUUGUGACAUUGUGGCAUUAGCCAGAGGCAUUGUGAUUACUCAGUAUAUGAGGAUUGGGAGGUAUUUAUCCCGACUUGAUUACUACUAGUUGGUAGGGUAUCCUCGGGCUAGAGGAUUGGACCAUACUCACAUUCGUCUGUUUUGCUUGGUGGUGGUAGCUCCACCCAAGCUUGGUCUCCGGAGUACUUCAGGUAGGGGCAGACGUAGUUGUCCCGCAGACGGCCCCGGGUGAGAGUAGCGAACGUCUCCUCACGAUGCGGGAUUUGGUUGUGAGUCGGGGCUUAACCUUCGGGUGAGCCGGAAUGAUUGGGUAACAAGCAUAUGAGUGGAAUUGCAUCCCAGUUGAGUGGAUUUAAGGCCGAGGUGCAUGUGAGAUGUCCAUCACCUCGAGCCUGGCUGUACGCAAUAUUCCGCAGAUAAUUGACUUGAGGUCGAGUCUGGUGGUUAGCUUAGCUGAGGUAGAGGAAACCUUAAGAGCAAUUAGCCAAUGAUGUAAAAUGACAAGAUAUAUAAAUUGUGGAAAAGCUAUGGAUAGCGAGAUAGAAAGUAGAAUCAGAUGAUCUACUUAGCUUGUUGCAUUGUUGCAUACAUUACAUAUUGCAUGCCUUGAGGCAUACGCGUGUAUUUAAUACUUGCAUUAAAUAUCUCUGGAUAUCUGUUGGACUAACAUGUUUGCAGUGCCUCCUUUGGACCUUGUGGGUUGAGCUUCUCCUUUGGGUGGUCGUACCUACUGGGAACUAUAUUUAUAUAGUUUUCACCUCACAUUGUUUUGGGGGAUUUCAGGUUCACACGCGAGCUACACGGCGGCGCGAGGACAGGGCGUAGCUCCGUAGAUAGCGCCCUACCAUUGUGACCAGAGAAAACGGUACCCCGAAGUGGUCUAGCUUAGGGGUGGAAAUCAAAGAACAAAAUUGUAAUAAUUUGUAGUAAUGUUGAUUGUAUUUGGAAGUCGAAAUUGGAAUGUAAAAUAAAUGUAUAUGAAUGCUUGUAAUAGCAUAGUUGUAUUUAUGUUUUUGAUACUUCCUUAUGCAAUUCUUGCUUGAAUAGUACUGUUUCUGGUUGGAACCUCGUGUAUUGUAUUGAUUGCGACGCCUUGAACGUACAUGGGAGACUCUAUUCGUUCGGCAGUCUGUUGGCGUGCCCGAAUACGACCAAAGAGGCGGGUCCCGGGCUCUGACAAUACAUAACCAUUUACAUCACCAUUUUUCAUCAUAAACAAAAGAUGAUAAUAAACAGGGUACAAGCUAAACCCGGGAAGCCACUAUCUAGGGCACGAUGCCUUUGCCGCGAUCUUCGAUCGCCCCACUCGCGCUAGGAUCUACAAGGUUAGUGGUGUGAGAACUAGUGAUAGUUCCCAGUGGGUUCGACCGCCGACCCCGCCAACUUGCCCACUAGGUCUACUCAGGCAUAUGUAGAAAAAGAAGAGAUAGAUAGCAAACCAUACUAAUGCUACUACAAUGCCUGUACAAGAACUGAAUCAACAAGAAAUAUGCUCAUGAUGCAUACAUUUCAUUUUUACCUUUGCCAUUACCCAAUUCUCUUGGUUAACUCAUGGUUAACCUCAACUCACCAACCAAAUCCCAUUUUAUCAGGGAGAAUUCCGCUACAACUCGAUGGGACCGUCUACUGGAAAGAUUUCCGCUACAACCUAGUUGGUGACCACUCCGGAGCUCACUGCUUAAGGUGGAGCAACCACCCUCAAGCAUAUAGACCAACUGUGAGUAUAAUCCAUUUCUCAACUUUGAGGAUACCUUGCCACUAUUGCCACAAUGCUCAUAAGGUUCUACCUUGUCUAGCAUACCAUAUUUUCAGAUGCUAAUCAUACCCGCUAGUGUCAAUGUCACCUUUGUUUACUAAUGUCAUAGUCCAACAUCCAAAUUCAUACAUUUGUAGGGUUUCUAUACGUAGGGUCCAUUAUCAGUUCAUAUGUUCUUUUACAUUGAAAGCAUACAAGAGAUUCCCAACCCUAGCCACAUAUCACAAUAACCCUACCAUGCAUGAAUGCCACAAGUACACAUAUAUGCUCAAAAAGACGACAUAGACAUAAUGAGAAAUUCAAUGAUUUCGGAUAGCACCACCCACCUCGUAGUGAUGUCCAAAGACUACAACUCAAGCCUCACGAUUUAUGGUUACCAAUUUUCCUCGACCCACGACAAACGAAGCCAAAAUAGAGUUUUUCCCCAAUAUCUUGACGUAGACUCGUCGGAAUUCCAAUCCGAGUCUCCCAACGCGUCGGUUUAUCCACCAAUUAGGGCUACAAGAGAUCAAACUUAAGUUAGACCUCAAUUCCCCAAAAACCCUAAACUCAACCCUAGGGUUUCUAUCAUUACCAAAUACCCCAAAUUUCUUAGAGAUUCAUGAAUUAAUCUACCAUAACAUCUUCUAGAAACCACAACUAGAAGAGAUUAACCAAAUCCUAGCUCAUAACCACCAAAAAAACUCACCUCAAGUUCUAGCUUUCUCCACAAUCCCUUGCACAAGAGCUAGCUUCACCCCUAAGUAAGCCUUCUUCUCCACCAAGCUCCUCUCUUGGGGCAAACUCUAGUGAGAGAAUGAGAGAAAAGGAGAGAGUGGAGAGUCUUAGAGAGAGAAAGAGAAUUUUCUCUUAGGUCUCAUGUGAGGGAAAAUGAGGUUAAGGGCAUUAGAACCCACAUAUAAACCCUCCCAAUAGACAAUUACACUAAGGCCCCUCACCAAUAUGACAUUUUGGACCAACCCACGUUUUCAUGCGUACGGGGUCCGGACCUUGCACUCAGGGUCCGGACCCCGAGAGCAUUUCCAGCACAAAAAUUAGCUUGGAAUUUUUCAACUUGCUCUCCAAGGUCCCAACCACUCAUUUAAUGUAUUAUGAAGCACUCGGAAUAAUUAACGGACCUCUCCAUCUUGUUCAUCACCACCCUUCGGUCAAUUUGACCGAAGUUCGGUACAACCUAUUGGGGAUUCAGUAUGUUACAUUAACAUAUUAGGAUAAACCCCAAUCCAUAUCUUAUAUGGAUCGGGUUGAAUUACGACCCACCAAUGUGGACACACCACAUGGCAACAAAGCACUUUUUUGUGACGCAGAUAUGUCAGUUAUAAUUUGUUUCAAGUAUAUGUUAUAGUAAAUCGCUAACCAGUUAUCAAGUUUUUAUAUGUUAUUUUUAUAAAAAAUGAAUAGAUAUUUGCCGAUAAGUUUUUAUGAUUUUUACAUGCUUCAAUUAGAUGUUGUACUUUUUUUAAUUUUUGUAUUAUCUUAUGAUAAAGUUUAAUUUAUUCAGAUAAGAGCUGACUAUACCCGAAUUGAGCUAGAAUACUUUUAGAAGCACCAACCCCUUGGUGCUUCUAAAUUUCUAGCCCUUGGAUCCACUCCUUAAUUACUAAUAGCCUUUAGAGUCAAACACUAUUCCAACUACCACCACCUACCAUCAUCAUGUCAACCCUACAUCUCUCAAUCACUACUAGAAAAAUAGUCAUUAGUGGCAUUUAUUUAUGCUGCUAAAUGAUUAACAAAUGCUGCUAAAAGUUUUAGCAGCAUAUGACAUCAAAUACUACCUAUGCCAAUGUUGCUAAAAGUAUUAGCAGCAUUUAUUAUAAAAUGCCGCCAAUGUAAAUUAAUCUGUGUCAUUGGAACAUACCGCUAAAAGGGAUUAAAUGCUAAUUUUAAAUUAUUUAUUAGUGGCACAUAAAUAUAAUGCCGCUAAUACAAAUAUCUGAUAAAUUCAAUUUUUAAUUUUAAUUUUAAUUUUUUUGAAAUGCUACCGACUUUGCUGAAAAUGUGAAUCAACUAGGAUUCGAACUUGAGACCUCGAGUACCAACCACCAAGCCCUUUGCCACUUGCGCUAGCGACUAUUACUUAUGUAUAUUUUAAUUUUUUAAAUUUUAAGUCUUCUAUUUUAAAUUUUUAAAAUUUUAAAUUUUAAAAUUUUAAAUUUAGAUACUAAAUUUUAAGUUUUAACUUUCAAAUAUCAAAUUUUAAGUUUCAAAAUUAAUAGUUUUGAAUUUGAAAAUUUAAAUUUAAAAUGAAUUUAAAAAUUUAAAAUUUUAAAUUUUAAAAUUUUAGAAUUUAAAAUUUUAAAUAUAAAUUUUAAAAUUUUAAAAUUUAAAUUAUACGUUUAAUUUUUAAUAUUAUAUCUUUCGAAUUUUAAACUUUAAUUUUAAAAUUUUUAAUUCUAAAUAAAAAGGGAUAUAUUAAUAAUUAUAUAUUAACUAGUAAUGAUAUUUAGUAAUAAGUGCUGUUAGUUUAUUAUAUUUAGCGGCAUUUACUAAUUUAUGCUGCUAAUUUAUUCUAUUUUGCAGCAUUAAUAGUAAAUUGCUGCUAAAUAAUUAAAUCUUGCGGCAAUUAUCAAGUAAUGCUGCUAAAUAUAUUAAUUGAUUUAAAUAAAUAUUGUGGAGCAAGUAUUGCUGCAUUUAGCAAUAAGUGCUGCUACUUAUUACAUUUAGUGUUAUUUUUUAUAAAUGCUGAAAACUUCAGCGGCAUUCACUAAUUUAUGCUGCUAAUUUAUUCUAUUUUGUAACAUUAAUAGUAAAUUGCUGCUAAAUUAUUAAAUCUAGCGGCACUUAUUAAGUAAUGUUGUUAAAUAUAUUAAUUAACGUUAUUUAAAUAAAUACUGCAGAGUAAAUACCGUUAAAUCAUGAAUUUGUUGUAGUGCAUCCAAGGGCUAAAAACUUAAAAGCACCACCUCCUUGGUGCUUUUUGGAGUAUUCUAGCUCAACUCGACUAUACCCCAUACAAAAUUUUUCACGCUACUGUAUAAUAUAAAUCUACAACAUGCCUAGCUGAUCUUUGGGUGGGACUUGCUAAUUAAAAGAACUAAUAUUUAAUAAAAUUUCCUUCAAAUAUAUGUCACAGUAAAUUAGCAACUAGCUAUUAUAUGAAAUACCAAACUAUAAAUUCUUCUUAAAUAAUGCUGGAAUGUUUGUAACAUAUGUGAAAAUUGAAUUACCAUUACAUGAAGAUAUAGCUGAAAUUAUAAAGACAAAUAGUGGCAUAGAAAGUAAGGAAGAUGCUGCUUAGAUAGCUGUAAAGUGUGUAUAUAUAUAUAUAUAUAUAUAUAUAUAUAUAUAUAUAUAUAUAUAUAUAUAGAGUAGGGCUAGAAUACUUUUACAAGUAUCACCAAGUGAUACUUGUGUGUUUUAGCGCAUUGGAUCUACUUUUGAUUACUAAUAGCCUUUGGAUCAAAUACUAUUCCACCUACACCACCUACCACCACCUACCACCAUCAUCUCAACCUCACAUCUCUCCAUCUAAGGGCUAAAAACACGCAAGUAUCACUUGGUGUGAUACUUUUACAAGUAUUCUAGCUCUACUCUCUCUCUCUCUCUCUCUCUCUAUAUAUAUAUACUAUUAUAUAUAGAGAGAGAGAGAGAGAGAGAGAGAGAGAGAGAGAGAGAGAGAGAGAGACCUGUCCCCUUGGGAGAGACGCGCAGCUACUGGGAGAGCCCUCUGGGACUGGUCCUAAGUCGGGGAGACCGGUCCCCCAACCCGAAAUCUGCCUAGUUUGAGCAGUUCAAUAAAAUAAAAGCUGAGGGGCCUAUUUGCAUUUAUGCAACCCAAUGGUUAAGUUGAGGGCAAUGAGGGUUUUUCCUCUCAUUCUCUCCCUCACACACUCUAUCUCAUCUCUCUUUCUCUCUCUAGAAGACAAGAAGGAGAAGAAAAAGACAAGGAAAAGAAAGAAAAGAAAAAAGGAAAAGAAGAAGAAGAAAAUGAGAAAGAGGGUGAAGAAGAAGCUAAGGAGUGAAUCACCUCCUCUUCUUCCUCUUUGGAGCAACAUAGGAGCAGGCUUAGAGGUAAGUUUGAACCCUAUUCAUGGUAAAACCCUAGAAUGUGAACUAGUUGACCUAAAAAUGGUUUUAGUUGAGCCUAAUAAGUGUUUCAAGCUUUAUUUUGCUUGUUAAUGAGAUCAAAACCAUGGGUUGAGUGUGUGUGAUGAAGCUUAGAGGUGAGCUGCACCCCUCUCAUGGUGAAACCCUAAAAUGGGUUUUGAUUGAGCUAAGAAUGGUUCAAAUGGAACCUUUAGAUGAUUUGAAGCUUGCUUUUGCUUCUCUAAGAGAUCAAAAACCUAGUUUUGUAGUGGGAUGAGUUAGGGCACCCAAAUUUGGGGCUUUUGCUCGGGAGGAUUACAAAGUGUAAUUGACCCUCUAGAAACCUAAUUGGGGGUAUUUUCGACACGUUGGUGCGCUCGGAUUGAUGUUACGAAAAGCCAAUGUAAAGAUAUGAGCAAAAUGGCCUAAUAGGGCUUCGUUUUGCCGCAGGUGACGAACUAGGAGUCUAAAAAUCCCAAGGAAAUCGUUGUAGCAUCCUAGUACGCCUACGAGGUGGGUGGUGUGUCACGCCCCGAAGCCGCUACCAAUUUGGUCCGAUUCGGGCGCGUCGAACAGACGCCGAACGAACAGGACCUCUGCUGUCCGCCCAAGGCUAAGCAACCAGAUCACGUACAAUUAAGCACCCAGGAAUUUGCUUAAACAACAUACAUGAUCAAACACGAUGCACACAAGUGCAAUACAUCUAAGAGCAAGAACCACAAGUAAUAUACAAGUGUAUAAAGAGAGAUAGUCUAACUAUCACGAUCAUUCAACAUUUACAUCAUUUGAAUAUAUUACAUUUUCAUCUUCCAAAAUGUAAAUACAUGUUUGAUCCAAAAUAUAAGUAGCCUUCCCAUAACCAUCCAAAACAUGAUCUAGUACACGAGGGUACUCUAAUGCAUAAAGGAAAAGCUACAAACUAGGCUCACUUAGGGCGCUAUGCCCUUGCCGCGGUCCUCGCUCGGCUCUCCUCUGUGUGUACCUGUACCCCAAAACCACACGGGGUGAGAACUAUAUAAAUAUAGUUCCCAGUGGGUUCGGCCGCCGACGCCGCCGGUUUUCCCACUAGGUCUAAGCUGGCACAGAUAGAGAGAUAGAUAGAUAUACAAAGAUGAACUGCAACUACUCUAUCAUGCCAUCAAUGAUAAUAAUGCAUGCAACAACUACUAUCAUGCUAGUAUCAUGUCAUGAGUAUAUAAAGGUGCAUAGUAAUGUAAACUACAACGUACACUACGUCUACUCAAGGUAAUAAUGCAAGUCUGCUAUGCAUUUCAUGUUGAUUACCCAAUCCACUUGGUUAACACGAAGGUUAAACCCUCGACUCACUCUCAAUCUCAUAGGUGAGGAGAAACUGCACUCGCACACCGAGACCGUCUGCGGGACAACUACGUCUGCCCCUAGUGAAGUACUCCGGAGACUCGUGCCUCGGUGGAGCGACCACCGACAAGCAAAAACAGACUAGUGAGUAUGAUCCAAUCCUCGCAAGAGGAUACCCUGUCUACUAGGGUCAAUGUGCCUUUGCUGCACAAUCAUGAUAUAUAGUCAAUGUUGGGACUUCUACUAUCCCUAAGUUCAUGUCAAGUUUACUACACUAGACUCGAUGCCACUCGUUCGAUCAUUGUAGUAAGUUUUCUACUAGUUGACACGCCACUCGUCCACAUUUAGUGUUUCUACUACACUAGUUCAAUGCCACUCUACUGGGCUAUCAUAUGUCCAAGUUCAGCUCUUUAUGCCAUUAUAAGAUUUCCAUGUCACAUGACCCAGUCCUCAUGCUACCCUAGUUCGCGUGUUCGACUCAUAGUUACACUACUAAGAAGCAUGCAAGGGAAAGGAAAUAUACAUCUACUAAUCCUAUAAUGCAAUAUGAUCAACAUAUAUAUAACUUAGACAUAAAAGGAAACCCGGAUGCUUCGGGAUGACACCCCCCACCUUUUGUGUAUAAGGAGGCUCUAGAAAUGCGCUUCGACGUCCUUUACGACGAAGCCUCGGUGUUCUUGGUCCAAAUGAUGCUCAAUCGGCCUUAUUUGGCCGAUAGCUCUCGACCCGCUCGACGAAUCGAAAUUCUGACUUCGCCCCCGUGUUUCGUUACCUAGCAAUUAGGUUUACAAGGCCUCAAAUGAGAUCAAUCCUCUAUUUUCCCAAAAACCCCAUUUUUGGUGCCCUAGGGUUAGCAUCAAGCUAAACCCAUUUCAAAACCCUAGGUUCUAGCUUCAAUCCUACAAUUCAUGGUGCUAGGGAUCCAUUUGAUCCCAUCCAAAGAGCUAAAACCCAAAAACCCUAAAUUUUCCAAGCUAGGGUUAAAAGCUUACCUCUAGGUUGGCUUAAAAGAGAGAAGAGAGGAUGAGGGAGAAGUCCAAAAGCUUCCUCUUGUUGAUCUCCUUUUUCUUCUCCUUCCUUUUCUUCCUUCUUUUUCUUCUCCUUUCUUCUUCUCCUUCUUUUUCUCCUUCUUUUCUAGAGAGAGAAAGCAAGAGAGUAUGAGGGAGGGAGAGAGAGUGGACUGAGGGAGAGCGAGAGGGAGAGAGGGACUAAUAAGCCCUCUAAUGUAACAAUAUCCAGCUGGCCCCCUCUACUUUUCACCCUGUGCGCAGCCUUCACUGGGCGUUCUGCGCGCGGAGGGACCGGUCUCCCCGACUUGGGACCGGUCCCCGAGAGCUUCAGCUCGGGUCACGCGUUCGGGUACCGGUCUCUCCCAGAGAGACCGGUCCUCGGGAGACCGGUUCCUUCCUGAGAGACCGGUUCCCGAGAGUUAGGACUUCAGGACUUAGCCAAUUUUUGGCUUCUCAUGCUGGGAUCACGUUCGGGAACCGGUCCCUCACUAACAGGGACCGGUUGCCUCAAGCAACCCCGCAACACCAGCCGAUGGGACCGGUCCCUCCCUGCCAGGGAUCGGUCCCCGAGAGCAGUUUUGCUCCAGUGCAGAUCUCGCACUAGUUGCUCUUGUGGACUCGUUUCCAAUGCACUUUUGGUGAUUUUAAUAUCUUUGGCUUUUCCAAAGUACACCAACGCGACCCUUGGUCGACUCGGGAUGAAGUCAAAUCCUCGUAUUUCGAGAAUUCACUUCCUCACAUGGUGCUAUCCAAACUUGUUGGAAUUCCCUCUAUGCUUAAUGUGUCAUUUAAUUGAGCAUUUAUGUAUAUGUUGUUGCAUGCAUUGUAGGGUAAAAUGUGAUGAUAAUUAUGUAAAUGCUGCAUGAUGUGAGUACACGUGCAUUUCUAGUUGGUUGAGAACCUAUAACACCCUAUAUAUGCAUGAGAGGUAAUGUGAGAACUUAAUGAGAUAAAAGAACAAAGUAACACAAGAGCAUAGAUCGAGUGGCAUUCGAAAGUAUAUAGUCGACACUAGAGUUAGUGUGUGGCAUCAAAGAAUCAACGUGAUGAAAAGAACAAUGACAAUGGUUAAAGUUAAUGCAAAGUAUGGCAUAAAGAAUGAGUAAAGUUAAAGAACGAUGAUUGCUAGAGUUGGCAAAAUAAAGUGAUGUAAAGAACACUAAAGUUAGUGUAAAGACAAUGAUUGAACUAUAUAUCCUUAGAGUUAAGGAUCGAUCAUACUUGCUAUGAGUUCCGUGCUCGAGGGCGGUCGCUCCCCCUCGGGCGAUGCGCUCCGGAGUUUUGCAUCACGGGUUGGAGUAAACCCGAGGACUGUCUUAGUGGGAGGCAGCUGAGGGCCCAUGAUGAUGGACUUAAUGUGGGCAAGUUAAUGUGGCGAAACCCCUAAAUUAGCCGUGAGAUUAAAGAACAAGAACAAAGAGCAAAGAUUAAAGAAUAAAGAGUAAAGAAUAAAGAACUUGCAUACUUGCAUGAUUUAUAUUGAGCAUACUCUUGCUUUAUUGUUCAGGCAUAUUAGCAUCAUCAUUAUAGUUGGUUACUAUUCUGCUUAUCCUUUCUAUUAUGCCUGAGUUAGUCCUAGUGGGAAAGUCGGUGAGAUUGGGGCCGAACCUACUGGGAACUUUGUUGUAGUUCUCACCUCACUAUUCCACAGAGCCGGGACCGAGCGAGCCGGCGAGCGACCGCGGUAAAGAUAUCGCACCUUAGUCAGAGGCCACCAGAGUUGGGUUAUUUCACAUUUUGUUAGUAGCUACUCUAUGGUCAUCUUUUGUAUUUGAAGAUGUUUAAAACAAAGAAAGGAAAGAUUGUAAAGUUUAUUUGAGCAAAUAUGAUGUAAAAAAAAUGAUGCAAGUAAUGUAAAGAAUUAUGAAAAUGAGGUUAAAUGCAAUGUUUGUGAUCAAAAGUGAAUCAUAGUACUCAUAAUGUUUAGUUUCCUAUCUUUCACUCAUGGCUAUUGCUUACCCUCGUGUAAGCCAUUUGUGUAUGUUUCCGCUAGUGCACUUCUAUGUUGAAAUUGUACAGGUGAUGAGCUGCGGAUAGGGGAAACUCUGUCCAUUCGGCGUUUGUUUGACGUGCUCGGGUCGGCUCAAAUUGGUAUCGGUUCCGGGGCGUGACAAUAUAGGCCCUCUAGGGUUGAGUGAGUUAUUGGUUUAAUAGUAUAAUCUAACGGGAAAAAAUAGUCAAAAGGUUAAAUUUAAUAGUGGAAAACUUGAUAGCACCAAAUGUUUAGUGUUAUCGAUAGUAUCCUAGCCGGACUCUCUCUCUCUCUUUACUCUCACUCACUCUCUCUCUCUCUCUAUAUAUGAGUCCGGCUACUAUACUUUUAUGAGUAUUGGCUUCCUUAUACUCAUAAGUUUUCGGCCCUUAGAUUUAUUCCACUGAUCAUUUCCAUCCGUUAGAUCAUACUAUUCAACCAACUACCCACACAACCCUAGGGGACCACUAUCAUUUUAAGUGGGGACCACCAUCAUCCUAACCACACAUCCCAUCAAUCAACGGUUAAAAAUUUAUGAGUACAAGGGGGCCUAUACUCAUAAGAGUAUAGUAGCCCCAGCUAUAUANAUAUAUAUAUAUAUAUAUAUAUAUAUAUAUAUAUAGUAGGACUACUAUACUCUUAUGAGUAUAGAGUUCUUCGUACUCAUAAGUUGUUUUCGAUGUUGGGAUUUUCGAAUCGACGAUCCACACCGUUAAACAUGAUUUAGAGUAUUUAAAACUUCUAGAAAAUAAAUUUCGUAAUUUUUCGAAAUCAUUAUAAAGUCCAUCAAGCGGGUAUAAAAUGAAUGGUUGAAUUAAAUCGAACGGCAUCCUAAAAAUGGAUGAUCGGAUCCUUCAAUUUAAGAUCGGGGUUAUUGAUCUUUUAUUUAGGUAGUGAAUAGAAUUUUCUAUCAAAAAUUCAACCUAUUCCGAUUCUUUUUCACUGUUAAAUUAGCAACUAUCUCAUACCGGCCGUUAAAAAUUGUCAAUUUUGUAAGCUUUUGAUCAUAAGGUAAAUGAUAUCGAAAAGCUAUAAAAUUUAAUUUCUAGAAGUUUUAAAUACUCUAGAUAACGUUUAACGGUAUGGAUCGUCGAUUUGGAAACUCUAUUGUUAAAAACAACUUAUGAGUACGAAGGCGAUCGUACUCAUAAGAGUAUAAUAGCGCAAAGUUGAUGUUGUUGACAUUAACAACGAGGACAUGAUAUGCUACAAAUCAAUGUUUGAAUAUAUAAAUUAGUUUUUUUUUAUGCUUUGAUCCGGCAGAACAUCCAACUCAAUAGUAACUAAGAAAACUAGAAAAAGAGAAAUAAAAUUCAGAUAUGCAUCGAGUCUAGCGCAAACUCAACAAAAUCACAGCAUACAAUGAAAAUACUUAAAUGAAAUAUUAAGAGUUAGAAUAAAAAUAAUUGAUAAUAAGAAAAAAAUUAUAUUAUUUAAUUAUUAUUCUAUUUUGUAUUAUUUAAUAAAAACUAUAUUAAUAUAUUUUGCGGCUAAAUUUAAGCGCGGUUACAUCCCUAGGACCCCAGCGUAAUAGAUAGACGUUAUCAAAGAUGAGUUGUUGUUAAAGGCCGCGGAAGCAAAGAACCAUUUAGCAUAUACUCUCGAACACUCUCCGGGUCUCCCGUCUCGCACUGAGAUGUCGGCCUCCGCGGCCCAUGCCUGCCUCCCCCUCCGCGGCGACUGCGCCGCCGUGGGCUCGGCGUCGAGGACGAGCAGGCGCCGCAGCCGCCUCCCGCAAAGGGCUCGGAGUCCCGCCGUCCGGUGCGCGCGCGCGGCGGAGGAGACGGAGAGCGCGCCGCGGGUGGCGACGCUGCGCAGCGGCGGCGGCGGGGCCGACUCGCUGGUGAUCUGCCGCGUCCUGAACGGGAUGUGGCAGACGAGCGGCGCGUGGGGCCGCAUCGACCGCGAUGCCGCCGUCGACGCCAUGCUCCGCCACGCCGACGCCGGCCUCACCACCUUCGACAUGGCCGAUCACUGUAAACCCAUCCCAUCCCAUCCCAUCCCAUCCCAUUCCUCCUCUGCUUUUAUCACUCCGGAUUAUUAUAUUAUCCUGAAACCGUAUGAUUAUUAUUAUUAUUAUCCUGAAACCGUAUGGUGCUAAUAAUUUUGUGUUUUCUUAUUCUUCGUCCUCCGCCUCCCGUGACUCGUGCUGCUAAAUCUCUCGUACAUCCUUUCUAGAAUUUAGCUAUCGACAUUGUUUUCUUGGUUGGUCAUCCUUUGUUUGUUAUUAUAGUGGCGUGCCGUCCUGUUUUUCUCUCCCAUCCCGCCAAAGCAACUUUGAUAAUCUUACGAGUGUCCGCUUUCUAGUCCUCACUUCAUGCGUGCAUAUGCGCCCCCUGAGAUUACAAGCUGUGAAUCGAAUGCUCUCUGUGAUAGGAGUGUGAACCGGCGAGCGGAAUAUAAGUCAGAUCAUCUUUCUUGGAAAUUUUUUGUGUUGUUUCACAUUAGCAUUUCGGCCAACGUUAUAGCGGCGUGCAUUUUUGUCGUCUCCUGUUUCACAGAAUUAAUAUCAAUGAUCUAGCUAGUUCCUGGUUCUCCAGGAUUGGAAGUUGUAGGCGGAACAUUCUCAGAAACACAAGUCUGAAUCGGCGGAGAGCAUAUAUAUUUUUGAUUUCCUUUUUGACCUUUAAGGCUUAGAAUUGUAAUCUGCGGUCGAUUUUGAACGUUUUUUUUAAUGAAAGUGGAUUUGAUUUGGCAGAUGGUCCUGCAGAGGAUUUGUAUGGCAUUUUUAUUAACAAGGUCCGGCGAGAGCGUCCACCGGAGUUGCUUGAAGAGAUCAAGGGGUAAAUUGACUCAUUUCAUAUAACACUAUUUUCAUCCCUCAUGUUAUAUUGGAUAACUGCUCAGUUCUAUUAUGUUCACUGACAUAUUAGGUUGCAGUAAUAGGGUUGAGUGUCUUACUCAACCCAGCUUUGAUUUCGUGCUAGGUGCUAAAUGAAUUCUCCGUCGAAUCAGCAGGGAUAUAUUCUCGUUUGAAUUGUAUUUUGCAGCUUAGGGUUAGAUUUUAUUCCAGGAUUAAAAACAAAUCCAAUAAUAAAAUGGGAAUUUUAGUAGUAUGGGUGACAGCUGACUUGUCUCAAAUCUCAGCUUUUUUAUGGGUGAAAUCUGACUUGUUGGGGAUUUAGAAAACUCCAAAUUAUCUACACUCCCUUUUUAUCCUCUCUCUCUGCUCUCUCUUUCUCUCACCUUCCCUACCUCUCUUCUCUCCCCAACUUCAAGCAGUGGUGACAGAGAACGGUUCGUUGGGCUCGAGUCCGAGUCAAGUCGGAAUUGACUACGGCAAACUUUACGUAAUAAUAGUUCGAUGAAUUAUAGAAUUUAACUAGAAUUUCAUUUUUAUGUGAUAUUUUGUUUGUUUUAUCCGAUCAAGAUUUUAUUUGUAAUCUUGUUAGAUUUGAUUUGAGAUUCGGUUAGGAUUUAGUAAAUCAGGAUAGUUGUAGUUGGAUUUGGUUUCUUUUUCUUAUCACAUUAGGUAAUUUAGGGUUUUGAAACUUUAUAAAUAUGAGGAAUUGGCCUCAUUAUAAUUUAUGGUGGUUUUGAAAAUUAAGAAAAAUUUUGUUUGGAAAAAUUUUCUUGCAAACUAUUCUUUUGUGUGAGGCAAACAGACCAACCUGCGGGAUGCCUCUCAAUUCCAUCCGUACGGAAUUGGCCGUAAGUAAGACGCAGCCCUAUUUUUUUUUUUUUUCUUUCUUCCGUCAUUACCACAAAGGCUGUGGCCAACUUGAUCAGAAGAAAAGAAGAAAGAAAAAACUUCAAAUGUGCGACAUUGACGCCAUCAAAGCCCUAACACUGCCUUCCCUCCGAUCGAGCCGUUGCAGCAACACUUGCGCCGUCAUCUCCAUGUGAGCUUCUCUACGCCAGCGUGCUAUUAACGACUCCUUCGGCUUUUGUUUCGUUUCUGCAACUACUCUAACCCUAACCCUAAUCUAUCCUCCAUUAUCUUUUUCGAAAACCUAACCCUAAUUAUUUUCGUUCUAUUAGAUUAGAUGUUCCAAUCGAGGAAGCAAUCGAGAAAGAUAAACAAUUCACGAUUGAGAGUGUAAGAAGGGCAAAAGAGUAUACACUCUUGGGUUGUAUUAACCAAGAUAUAUAGUAUAAGGGAUUGUUUUACUAUGGUAAUAAUGACUAUUAUAGUAAGAGUAUAACUGGGAUUACAUACUAUAUAGUUCUACUCUAUAGAAGGCAAUAAUCCUACUGGGAUUACAUACUAUAUAGUCCUACUCUAUAGAAGGCAAUAAUCCUACUCUAUAAAAGGCAAUAAUACACGGUAUCCUAAUGUCGAUAAACUAAACAAAUAUAUCGUAACACCCAUCGCAAGCUAAGCAUCCGGUGGUCAAAUGCGAAGAUUGAGCCACAAUAUCGAAAACCGAGAGGGUGACAAAGGUUCGGUGAUAAUGUCGGCAAGUUGCUUGUUAGAAGGGAUAUAGAUUAAGGCCAAUAUCACCAGACUGGAUUUUUUCUGCAAUAACUGAUGGUCAAGUUCAAUGUGCUUCGUGUGAGCAUGGAGAACAGAAUUGGCCGCAAGGUAGGUGGUGCUGAGAUUAUCGCAAUAAAUACUGAUAGAGCACCAUAAGAAAACAUGAAGGUCACGAAGGAGACGACGAAUCCAGACUGUCUCAGCAAGUGUGUAAGCUACAGCAUGAUAUUCUGCUUCAGAACUGGAACGAGAGAUGGUGGAUUGUUUCUUAGCAGGCCAGGAGAUAAGAUUUGGCCCAAGAAAAAUGCAAUAUCCAGAAGUAGAGCGACGUGUAUCCGGACAACCAGCCCAAUCAGCAUCAGCGAAGGCCAUAAGAGAAGGAUUGUCGCAGUGAAAUAUAGAAACGCCAUAAGACAGCGUCCUCCGAAUAUAACGUAGAAUACGCUUGACCGCUUGCAUGUGCGGUUCACGAGGUGCAUGCAGAUACUGGGCAACAGUGUUGACGGCAUAUGAAACGUCCGGUUUGGUGAAAGUGAGAUACUUGAGAACACCAACUAUCUGACGAUAAGUAUAUGGAUCCUCAAGAAAACGCCCCUCAUAAGAAAAGAAACGAGACGCCGGCGAAAGAGGAAUACAAACGGGCUUAUUGUCAAGAAACCCAUCUCGUUGACGCAGUUGAUGCGCAUAUUUUUGCUAAGAUAGAUGAAGACCAAAGGGGAAGCGAUGAACCUCAAUACCCAAAAAAUAAUGCAGCGGUCCGAGAUCCUUCAUGGGAAAUUCGCGGUGUAAAGUGACAAUAAGACCAUCGAGAAGAGAUGAGGAGCUGCCGGUGACAAUAAUAUUAUCAACAUACAAGAGGAGAACAAGAGUGCCAGACAACUAGACAAGGAAUGACAAACAAAUAUCGAGGGAUCAGCAGUGCUGCCAACAAAACCAAUCUCAGAAAAAAAGGAAGUAAAGCGUUGGAACCAAGCCCGAGGAGCUUGUUUGAGACCAUAUAUCGCUUUGCGUAGACGGCAAACGUGACUGGGAAGCGAAGGAUGUAUAAAGCCAAGUAGUUGAUCCAUAUAAACCUCCUUAGAGAGUGUCAUGAAGAAAGACAUUCUUCACGUCAAGUUGUCGGAGAGACCAUCCAGAGGGGAGAGCGACCAAAAGAUCAGUACGGAUAGUGGUCGACUUGACAACCGAAGAAAAAGUCUCAUCAAAAUCAAUGCCUUUUUGCUGUUUGUAACCCUGAGCCACUAGUUGAGCUUUGAGACGCUCAAAAGAGCCAUCCGCCUUUUGGUUGACUUUGUAGACCCAUUUACAGCCAAUAAAAUUGACGAAAGAAGGAGCAUGAACAAGCUCCCAAAUAUCAUCAGUGAGCAAUGCAUCAAAUUCUUCAGCCAUAGGAGCACACCAACCUGCAUCCUGAAAAGCUUCAUGAAAAGUGCUAGGCUCAGUAGGAAGAGUAGUAAGAGCAGAAACCAGAAAGAAAGUAGACCUGGCAAAACUCUUAGUCAUGGAUCGAGUAAGCAUAGAGUGUGUUUGGAUUGGUAAAGAAGGCUCAGAAGGCGGAGGCGAAGGUAGCCAGUUAGAUGUGAAAGGCGUCAACUCAAUAGGAGAAAGGGAAGCUGUAGCAGUAGUAGGUUGGAGGGUGUGUCGUCUGGUAUACACUCGAAGUUCAGGUUGACCAGCAAUAGUGGCAGCAUGUUCAUCACUAACCUGUCUGGCAUCAUGAUUCAAGGUAGAAGGAAAAGUUGAUACAGUCUCAAACGGUGAAACAGGUGUAUUUGAACCAACAUCCGUAGAAGGGCGUGUGAAGGAAAAACCAGAGAUGGCAUCAAUAGUAGAAGGACUUUCGCCCAGUAAGGGAGGAUUAGAAAGAAAAUGUUGAAACAUUUGAAAGUUUAAGGUAGUGGAGGAAGGUGAGGAAGAAAAUUUAGAAAGACAAGAAUAAGGAAAAACAGUUUCAACAAAAGUAACAUGGCGAGAAAUAAAAACUUUACCAGUGCUUGGAUAGAGGCAGUGAAAGUGUCACGCCCCGAGCCCGCCACUUUGGUCAGAUUCAAGCACGCCGACAGACCGCCGAACGGACAGAGUUUUCCCUGUACCGCAGACAGAGUCUCCCCUGUACGUCCAAGGCAUCGCAAUCAACACAAUGUACUAAGUUCCAACUAGGAACUCAUUUCAAUCAAAGAUUGCAUAAGUAUCGAAAACAUAAAACUACUUGCUAUUACAAGCAUUCACUUUACAUAUGUUUUACAUCACAAUUUUCUUUUACAUUCAACUUCCGAAUACAAUCCAGUAAUUACAAUUAUUACAAGUUUGAUACAUUUGUAUUCUUUUCACUGUCUAUACCCCUAGCUAGCCGACUGGGGUACUUCUAUCUCUGGUCUCUGGGGUAGGGCGCUAUCUACGGAGCUACGUCCUUGCCUCGCGCUGCCGCGCUGCUCACGUGUGUACCUGUACCCCUAAAAACAAUACGGGGGUGAGAACUAUUAUCCAUAGUUCCCAGUGGGCACGGUCACCCAAGGGAAAAGCUCGACCAAUAGAUCCGAGGAGGCACUGCAACAUGUUAGUCCAACAGAUAUCUAUGCAAUUAUUGAAAUACAUGUUUUGCCUCACAAUAUGCAAUAUGAAAUUCAUGCAACUAUGCAAGUAGAUUAAAUGAUUUUACUCUCUAUCAUUUGCCAUUCUUAACUAUUUGCAAUUCUUUCUUAUUAACCACUAUUUCUUCUUAGCUAUUCUCAACCCUUAGCUAUUCUUUAUUAUUUGCUAUUCCUUAACAUUAGCCGUUCUUUAUUCUGUAUUCUUAGUCAUAUUAUGCUCAUUGGCCAUUCUUUCCUAAGGUUACUCUUACCUUAGCCACACUAUGCCACUCGACUCGGUCUUGAGUCAAUCAACUGCGGAUAAUCCGCGCUCUGUUCGGCUCGAGGUGAAGGAACUCUCACAAGCACCUUAGCCAACCACAGCCCACCGCGGUCUAUGACCUAGACACCCGGCGGGGAAAUCGUCGCACAUGCCGCGACGAUGGUUCGAGUCAACCAACGGUAUGAUCCACAAACCGGCUCAACCGGUAUAAUCCACAAACCAGCUUACCCAUCCGGCGGCGAAAUCGUCGAACACGCCACGCCGAUGGUAUAGCCCCGGGCGGCGAAAUCGUCGCACGUGCCCCACACCCCUCUCGGUGUGAUCCAUAAGCUCUGAGAUUCCGGAAUCCAUUUCCACAUAACUCAAGGGUUGGUCUUANCAUCACAAUUUCUUUUUACAUUCAACUUCCGAAUACAAUCCAGUAAUUACAAUUAUUACAAGUUUGAUACAUUUGUAUUCUUUUCACUGUCUAUACCCCUAGCUAGCCGACUGGGGUACUUCUAUCUCUGGUCUCUGAGGUAGGGCGCUAUCUACGGAGCUACGUCCUUGCCUCGCGCUGCCGCGCCGCUCACGUGUGUACCUGUACCCCCAAAAAUAAUACGGGGGUGAGAACUAUUGUCCAUAGUUCCCAGUGGGUACGACCAUCCAAGGGAAAAGCUCGACCAAUAGGUCCGAAGAGGCACUGCAACAUGUUAGUCCAACAGAUAUCUAUGCAAUUAUUGAAAUACAUGUUAUGCCUCACAAUAUGCAAUAUGAAAUUCAUGCAACUAUGCAAGUAGAUUAAAUGAUUUUACUCUCUAUCAUUUGCCAUUCUUAACUACUUGCAAUUCUUUCUUAUUAACCACUCUUUCUUCUUAGCUAUUCUCAACCCUUAGUUAUUCUUUAUUAUUUGCCAUUCCUUAACAUUAGCCGUUCUUUAUUCUGUAUUCUUAGUCAUACUAUGCUCAUUGGCCAUUCUUUCCUAAGGUUACUCUUACCUUAGCCACACUAUGCCACUCGACUUGGUCUUGAGUCAAUCAACUGCGGAUAAUCUGCGCUCUGUCCGGCUCGAGGUAAAGGAACUUUCACAAGCACCUCAGCCAAUCACAGCCCACCGCGGUCCAUGACCUAGCCACCCGGCGGCGAAAUCGUCGCACACGCCACGACGAUGGUUCGAGUCAACCAACGGUAUGAUCCACAAACCGGCUCAACCGGUAUAAUCCACAAACCGGCUCACCCAUCCGGCGGCGAAAUCGUCGCACACGCCACGCCGAUGGUAUAGCCCUGGGCGGCGAAAUCGUCGCACGUGCCCCACACCCCUUUCGGUGUGAUCCAUAAGCUCUGGGAUUCCAGAAUCCAUUUCCACAUAACUCAAGGGUUGGUCUUCACCCUAUAGUAUCGACCUACCUAGGUCCAUUGUCCUUUCCAUCCUAGGUCCUAUUGACUCUAGGUUUAAUGCUUUUAUCACAUAACCUAGGUUUACUUUAACUCUAGAUUCAAUCUCAACCUAUGUUCUCUAACAUUAGGUUUAAUGCCAUUCUUGGUUAACCUAUGUUUGCUAACACUAGGUUUAAUAUUACUCUUGUUCAACCUAUGUCCUUGACACUAGGUUCAAUGCCACUCGAUCUAUAUGUAUAUAUAUGUCCACAUGCACAUGUCAUUUAACAUAGUUCUUUAUAUGUCAACUUGCAUUAACCAUCACAUCAUCAUGCAUUUUUUAGCAUUAUCCACAUGCAUCCAUUUAGCAUUUCUAUAUCAUGCUUAUCAUAUAUUCACUUAGCAUUCUUACAUUAGCAUUUCUAUAACAUGCAACGUGCAUUCAACUAGCAUUAAUCAAUGCAUUUAUCUAGCAUUUCUAUACUAUGUCAUUCAUGCAUUCAUUGGUAGCCCAUAUAGCAUUCAUCUCAUGCAUUCACAUACUCUAACAUUAGCUACCACUAUAUGCAUCAAUGAUAAACACUUAUCUUAGACAUACAGGUGACCUUGUCGCUUCGGUAAACUCAACCCACCUCAAUUCGCACUCCGAUUGUUUGUAGUCACUUGCAGUCGGCCUCCCGUGGCACCCGUGACCCGGUUCGGCCCAAACUCUCGCGCGACCACCUGAACGGCCACCAAUCCACGAUCCGGAAAUUCUGGAGUUUAUAUCUCGACACCACGAUGCUCCGUAUCCGAUCUCGUGAUUUUUAGACGUCUAUUCCGCAUGCUGCGGCUAUCUGUACGAAAAGCGAUGUUUCGUCAAUAACUUUGCGUACACUCGUCGGAUUGUCGAACCGAGUGCACCAACGCGUUCGUUAUACCCCUAAUUAGGUUUCCACAUGGUCAAAAUAGAUCAAAACCCCGUAUGAGCAAAACCCCUCUCUGGGAUGCCCUAACAUGACAUUUGCUCAAAAUCGCCGAUUUGAUCUAUAAAGCUAAGCAAAGCUAGCUUAGAAUUCCUCUAGAAAUUCUCUAGUAUCAUUUCCAAGCCAUUCUACUCAUCUCUAGGGCAACAAAAGAUAACCCUAGCUUUUCACCAUGAGAGAGCUUUGAGAAACCAUGGAUUUCAUGGUGCUCAUGCCUCAAAAGAGCUUCUAAGCUUGCAAGAAAGUCCAAAAUACUAAACCUUAGGGUAAAAAUCUAAACCCUAGAUGUAUUCUUGCAUGAGAGCUCACCUUAGCCCGAGCUUUCCAAAUCCACCUUGUAGGAGAGCCUCGACACCCUUCAAAAGCUCCAAUCUCCACUUAAUCUCCUCCAAAUCCACCCCUUCUCCACCUUGGUAGAGGGUUUCUAGAGAGAGAGAGAGAGAGGGAGAGAAAUGAGUGUAGGAGGGGCUGCUGUGAAGGAGAGGGUGUUUGGGGUUAUAUAUAGUGUGCUAUAAUUGCAACUAGGCCCCCCAAACAUUCUAUUUUGCAACAGGUCAAAAUCUGCUGCCAGAGCCAAAGUGUACCGGUACACGGGAUUUUGUACCGGUACAUUCUCGCGCAGAGGCAAACCCGAGAGCAACUCUCUCGAUUUUGUAGCAUUUGUACCGGUACACUUUCAAUGCUGUACCGGUACACAUUGCUGUAUCGGUACACUCUCAGUGUUGUACCGGUACACAUUGCCCAGAAUGCUGUUUUGGCUCCGACUCGACUUUACUUCGCGUCGGUCGAUGCCAAAACCUUUCUAACACCUUUAGAACCCAUUAUUAACUCUUCCAACCUUGUUGGAAUGUUAAUUGGACUUUGUCCAUCCAUUUUUCUCGCACACUUUAGCCAAUUUGGCUAAAGUCCAUUAUUCUUCACCGAGUUUCGAUAUGUUACAUUCUCCACCCCUUAAAAGAAUUUCGUCCGCAAAAUUUAAACCACACCUCAAUUCGAUUUAUAGAACAAUUUGAGGGUUCCAAUGCACUUUCGCACUCCAGGAUGGCCUUUCUUUCAUCGGAUCAUCCAAAGGCCCACUACGGAGGAUGUGAGGCUAGUUUCACUCACAUUUGCUUAGCACAUCAUCGAAAGUGCAUUACGAUUCCCGCGAGUCUUGGUGGCAGCGCGAGUCGAUACUCGACGACUCUACACGCUCCAACAUCACUCGCAACUAGCUUGCAAAGAACUUUUCUUUGCAUUUCUCACCUCAUGUCAGGACACACCCCGAUUCGAUCACCGGCAUUGCUUAAAAGCAAUAUCAUGGGUGCAUCGCCCAAUCGCGAAUGCUCCAAUCCUAUCUGGACCUUGCUCUACCAAGAGAUGGCAUACCUCGGCACAUCUCCAAUUCAAUCCUCAAAAGAGCAUUACUCUCCAAACCACGUGGCUAUUCACCAUCCAAGCGUCUCCUGGAGACCACUUUAUCUUUUCUCUCAUAAGCCACGGCCAAUACCAAUUGUUCUGACUACGAACUCACACGAAUCACUCGUUCGUGUCUCCAUGCCGAAUUCAUCGACAAAGCUAUCGGCCAAACCGCUUACCUCGGCUUCCUCAACUCCACAGGUGAUCUACAGAUCACCAACCCUACGUAGGCCUACCGCCUAGACCUGACUUGCUACACGCGACGUCUCUCGCUCGCAAGCGCAGACCCAAUCACAAUCGGGCGAAAUUCUUACUUGGGAAUUCGCACACACUCCAACCAGGAGUGCUCAAGAUCCCAAACCACGUCAAGUCCACGGGUUGGGUUACUACACACUCGGUGUAUUCUCGAUCUCAUGAUCCAUCACGUGGCAUUCCACGUCCCCGGGUCUAAGCUCGGACUACCACCUUGACCAAAAACUCUCGCCCUACCCGUAGGUACCGGGCCACUUCCACUCGUAGCUGACUGCGCCUGCCCAAUGGGCCCAGGCUCCACAGUCCAUAAAUGGUCCAGGCACGGGUCGUCCCCAAGCACUACCGGCCAACGUCGUCUCACACGACAUACUCACCCGAGCAAUACACGUACCACUAUCGGCUCCUAAGCACCUAGUGCGAGCCACCAGCCCCACGAGUGAUCCAUGGCCCGCUUCAUAUUUUGCCAUGCCGAAGUGCUACUGCCAUCUCACUCAUCCGGCUGAAUUGAAACCGCACUCUACGAGUACCCACACUCGAGCGCUCUGCACGCCUCUCUAGCGUUCCACACUAAAUCCAGCAUUAGGCAACCUUGCCUAUGCACGCCAACUACACGGGUUCAACUGCCUACCUCACAUCGAGGCACUAUUAGGCCCACGUGCCCGUAUUUGGCCACUAACCGGCCAUCCUCUCAACAACGAUUCCACUUUCACUGUUCGAUCUAACGAAACGAUAUUCGAAACUCUCGGAGUAUUCGGGUAUCCUCAAACAUCAUGGCUCAAUUCUCGCAAUAUACUAAUUAUUGCCUUGAGAGUCGCUUCACCAUUUCAUCCUCCUCGCGAGUCUCAUUCUCGUCCAAGAAUCAUUGCUAGCAAUUUGCUAGUGCCAUCUAAUUCUCUACCUGCUCCAGCAGGCGCUACACUCGCCGCAUAAGCAUGCCCAGGUAUCUACACCUACCCAUCCACUUGGUCCCUACUAUACUAAUGCAUAAUAGUAGCAACUGACCACAUGAUAAGUGCAUGCAAUGCAUCAACUUGAGAUUAUGCAAAAGUAUAUGCUUGCCUAAUUAACUCAUACCUGCCCUGAUGUCAUCAGCAGCAGCAGGUUCCACAACUCGAGCUGCGAAUCCACGGCCACCUGGCGCCCGUCGCGAACCCUCUGGUUGCAUCGUCCUUAGCGGCCGCUCUCCCGACCAUGCUGCAGGUGGCACACCUGCAGACUGUCCCAGAGAGGAAUUGGCCGUCGCCAGCAUCAAAGCCCGGCCUUCACCUUGCGGACACUCGUCCCGCAUAUGGCCCGGCAGCCCACACUUGAAGCAUUUGCCUUCUUGCUGCCCACACUGUUGUGGGAAAUAAAGGCCCCCACAAAUAACACAUCUUGCCGAGAACCGAAUGCGGUAUGUCCCCGGAGCUCGAGAUCGCGAGCGCGAACUCGCUGAAGUCCAUUGGGAACUUGACUGACCAGCGGAUCCACUCGUUGGUCGUCCUUUCCCCUUCUCCUUGUAAUACGACUUGCGUUCCUCCUGUAUAAACGUGUUGCCUUGUUCUAUCCACAAGGCCCGAUCCAGAACUUCGGCAAAAGUCUGCAACUCAAGUAUAAGCACAGGCUUGUAAAGAUCCGGCCGAAGUCCACGCAUGAAGCAGUCAGCCUUAUCCUUGUCAUCCCGUACCACGCUCGGGAUACAAUGCACGAUACGAGAAAACUCCCGCUCGUAUUGCCUGACUGAGCGGUCUUCUUGCCGUAGCUUCCGGAACCUUUCCUGAAGCUUCCUUUUCUUACUGUCGGGGAAGUAAGUCGAGAACAGCAUUCCCCGAAACUCCUCCCAAGUCAUAGGAGGGAGACUAGGUGAUCGAUCUCGCUUGACGCCUUUCCACCACACCUUCGCCGACUGUUUCAAGUAGUGCACGGCUAGGUGUACCUUGUCUCGCUCCACCGUGUACAGAUCUCCGAAGAGUGUUUCCAUGGAAUCAAUCCACAUCUCUACGAUCCACGAUUCUGCAUCCUCUCCAUCAAAGGUAGGCGGAUCAAAUUUCUUGAAAGCCAUGAGGACCCCCAAAACUCGCUCCCUCUUCGCCUCCACCUCUGAACCAAUAAAGGUCGGAUCGCCCGACCCCGACAGAAACGCCUCCGCCGCAACUCCCGGCCGUCCGCGACGAGCCGCAGCCGGUGCAGUCACCAGCUGAUCCACCGUUUCUUGAAGCCUCUUCAUGCGCUCCUCUUGGCGCAUGGCAGCUUCCUGCUAACGCUGCACCACAUUAGCUUGUUGCCUCAUCAUUCCCACGAGUGUGGCCAACUGAUCACAAAGCUCUUGAGUCUCCGCUCGCGUCGGUUUGCUCGGGAACACCACUCGUUCCAUCCCGUGCCGAUCUAGAUGAAGAUCGCCUACGCGGUGCCAUCGUUCCUUGAAACACGAUAACUCGAUCAGUUCUCGAGCCAAAGGGUUGAACACGAGACACUAACAAUGACUCUAAAAGUCAAUCGAGCGAAAGUCACGCAAAGGCGUCUAUUCACAUCACUCGGUUUCAUGUUGUGUAUACCCAACAUGAACACGCUCGGUUGAGAAUAAACCACAUCUCGAGUCCACCUCUAAUAUCCGUCUUAGAGGUUCAUGACGCGACCAAAUCCAUAAUCCUUUCGCCACAAGUCACAUUUCCUCGUCUCUCAUGAGCCUUAACCUCUAUGGUUUCACCAUCCUAGGGUCUCCUACGUUCACAUAAACCAUCCCCAUUCUCUACUUUAUGCUCCGAUACCAUCUUAUCUGUCACGCCCCUAGUCCGCCACUUUGGUCGGAUUAGGGCACGCCGACAGACCGCCGAACGGACAGGGUUUUCCUGUACCGCGAACAGAGUCUCCCCUAUACAUCCAAGGUGUCGCAAUCAACACAAUGUACUAAGUUCCAACCAGGAAUACAUUUCAAUCAAAGAUUGCAAAAGGAAGUAUCAAAAACAUAAAACUACUUGCUAUUACAAGCAUUCACUUUACAUAUGUUUUACAUCACAAUUUCCUUUUACAUUCAACUUCCGAAUAUAAUCUAGUCAUUACAAUUAUUACAAGUUUGAUACAUUUGUAUUCUUUUCAUUGUCUAUACCCCCGGCAAAACUCUUAGUCAUGGAUCGAGUAAGCAUAGAGUGUGUUUGGAUUGGUAAAGAAGGCUCAGAAGGCGGAGGCGAAGGUAGCCAGUCAGAUGUGAAAUGCGUCAACUCAAUAGGAGAAGGGGAAGCUGUAGCAGUAGUAGGUUGGAGGGUGUGUCGUCUGGUAUACACUCGAAGUUCAGGUUGACCAGCAAUAGUGGCAGCAUGUUCAUCACUAACCUGUGUGGCAUCAUGAUUCAAGGUAGAAGGAAAAGUUGAUACAGUCUCAGACGGUGAAACAGGUGUAUUUGAACCAACAUCCGUAGAAGGGCGUGUGAAGGAAAAACCAGAGAUGGCAUCAAUAGUAGAAGGACUUUCGCCCAGUAAGGGAGGAUUAGAAAGAAAAUGUUGAAACAUUUGAAAGUUUAAGGUAGUGGAGGAAGGUGAGGAAGAAAAUUUAGAAAGACAAGAAUAAGGAAAAACAGUUUCAACAAAAAGUAACAUGGCGAGAAAUAAAAACUUUACCAGUGCUUGGAUAGAGGCAGUGAAAGUGUCACGCCCCGAGCCCGCCACUUUGGUCGGAUUUGGGUACGCCGACAGACCGCCGAACGGACAGGGUUUCCCCUGUACCGCGGGCAGAGUCUCCCCUGUACGUCCAAGGCGUCGCAAUCAACACAAUGUACUAAGUUCCAACCAGGAACACAUUUCAAUCAAAGAUUGCAUAAGGAAGUAUCAAAAACAUAAAACUACUUGCUAUUACAAGCAUUCACUUUACAUAUGUUUUACAUCACAAUUUCUUUUUACAUUCAACUUCCGAAUACAAUCCAGUAAUUACAAUUAUUACAAGUUUGAUACAUUUGUAUUCUUUUCACUGUCUAUACCCCUAGCUAGCCGACUGGGGUACUUCUAUCUCUGGUCUCUGAGGUAGGGCGCUAUCUACGGAGCUACGUCCUUGCCUCGCGCUGCCGCGCCGCUCACGUGUGUACCUGUACCCCCAAAAAUAAUACGGGGGUGAGAACUAUUGUCCAUAGUUCCCAGUGGGUACGACCAUCCAAGGGAAAAGCUCGACCAAUAGGUCCGAAGAGGCACUGCAACAUGUUAGUCCAACAGAUAUCUAUGCAAUUAUUGAAAUACAUGUUAUGCCUCACAAUAUGCAAUAUGAAAUUCAUGCAACUAUGCAAGUAGAUUAAAUGAUUUUACUCUCUAUCAUUUGCCAUUCUUAACUACUUGCAAUUCUUUCUUAUUAACCACUCUUUCUUCUUAGCUAUUCUCAACCCUUAGUUAUUCUUUAUUAUUUGCCAUUCCUUAACAUUAGCCGUUCUUUAUUCUGUAUUCUUAGUCAUACUAUGCUCAUUGGCCAUUCUUUCCUAAGGUUACUCUUACCUUAGCCACACUAUGCCACUCGACUUGGUCUUGAGUCAAUCAACUGCGGAUAAUCUGCGCUCUGUCCGGCUCGAGGUAAAGGAACUUUCACAAGCACCUCAGCCAAUCACAGCCCACCGCGGUCCAUGACCUAGCCACCCGGCGGCGAAAUCGUCGCACACGCCACGACGAUGGUUCGAGUCAACCAACGGUAUGAUCCACAAACCGGCUCAACCGGUAUAAUCCACAAACCGGCUCACCCAUCCGGCGGCGAAAUCGUCGCACACGCCACGCCGAUGGUAUAGCCCUGGGCGGCGAAAUCGUCGCACGUGCCCCACACCCCUUUCGGUGUGAUCCAUAAGCUCUGGGAUUCCAGAAUCCAUUUCCACAUAACUCAAGGGUUGGUCUUCACCCUAUAGUAUCGACCUACCUAGGUCCAUUGUCCUUUCCAUCCUAGGUCCUAUUGACUCUAGGUUUAAUGCUUUUAUCACAUAACCUAGGUUUACUUUAACUCUAGAUUCAAUCUCAACCUAUGUUCUCUAACAUUAGGUUUAAUGCCAUUCUUGGUUAACCUAUGUUUGCUAACACUAGGUUUAAUAUUACUCUUGUUCAACCUAUGUCCUUGACACUAGGUUCAAUGCCACUCGAUCUAUAUGUAUAUAUAUGUCCACAUGCACAUGUCAUUUAACAUAGUUCUUUAUAUGUCAACUUGCAUUAACCAUCACAUCAUCAUGCAUUUCUUAGCAUUAUCCACAUGCAUCCAUUUAGCAUUUCUAUAUCAUGCUUAUCAUAUAUUCACUUAGCAUUCUUACAUUAGCAUUUCUAUAACAUGCAACGUGCAUUCAACUAGCAUUAAUCAAUGCAUUUAUCUAGCAUUUCUAUACUAUGUCAUUCAUGCAUUCAUUGGUAGCCCAUAUAGCAUUCAUCUCAUGCAUUCACAUACUCUAACAUUAGCUACCACUAUAUGCAUCAAUGAUAAACACUUAUCUUAGACAUACAGGUGACCUUGUCGCUUCGGUAAACUCAACCCACCUCAAUUCGCACUCCGAUUGUUUGUAGUCACUUGCAGUCGGCCUCCCGUGGCACCCGUGACCCGGUUCGGCCCAAACUCUCGCGCGACCACCUGAACGGCCACCAAUCCACGAUCCGGAAAUUCUGGAGUUUAUAUCUCGACACCACGAUGCUCCGUAUCCGAUCUCGUGAUUUUUAGACGUCUAUUCCGCGUGCUGCGGCUAUCUGUACGAAAAGCGAUGUUUCGUCAAUAACUUUGCGUACACUCGUCGGAUUGUCGAACCGAGUGCACCAACGCGUUCGUUAUACCCCUAAUUAGGUUUCCACAUGGUCAAAAUAGAUCAAAACCCCGUAUGAGCAAAACCCCUCUCUGGGAUGCCCUAACAUGACAUUUGCUCAAAAUCGCCGAUUUGAUCUAUAAAGCUAAGCAAAGCUAGCUUAGAAUUCCUCUAGAAAUUCUCUAGUAUCAUUUCCAAGCCAUUCUACUCAUCUCUAGGGCAACAAAAGAUAACCCUAGCUUUUCACCAUGAGAGAGCUUUGAGAAACCAUGGAUUUCAUGGUGCUCAUGCCUCAAAAGAGCUUCUAAGCUUGCAAGAAAGUCCAAAAUACUAAACCUUAGGGUAAAAAUCUAAACCCUAGAUGUAUUCUUGCAUGAGAGCUCACCUUAGCCCGAGCUUUCCAAAUCCACCUUGUAGGAGAGCCUCGACACCCUUCAAAAGCUCCAAUCUCCACUUAAUCUCCUCCAAAUCCACCCCUUCUCCACCUUGGUAGAGGGUUUCUAGAGAGAGAGAGAGAGAGGGAGAGAAAUGAGUGUAGGAGGGGCUGCUGUGAAGGAGAGGGUGUUUGGGGUUAUAUAUAGUGUGCUAUAAUUGCAACUAGGCCCCCCAAACAUUCUAUUUUGCAACAGGUCAAAAUCUGCUGCCAGAGCCAAAGUGUACCGAUACACGGGAUUUUGUACCGGUAUAUUCUCGCGCUGAGGCAAACCCGAGAGCAGCUCUCUCGGUUUUGUAGCAUUUGUACCGGUGCACUUUCAAUGCUGUACCGGUACACAUUGCUGUAUCGGUACACUCUCAGUGCUGUACCGGUACACAUUGCCCAGAGUGCUGUUUUGGCUCCGACUCGACUUUACUUCACGCCGGUCGAUGCCAAAACCUUUCUAACACCUUUAGAACCCAUUAUUAACUCUUCCAACCUUGUUGGAAUGUUAAUUGGACUUUGUCCAUCCAUUUCUCUCGCACACUUUAGCCAAUUUGGCUAAAGUCCAUUAUUCUUCACCGAGUUUCGAUAUGUUACAGAAAGUCUUUAUAUUUGUCAGAAAGGCCCAAGAAGACACAAGGAAGUGAUCGGGGAGAGAGCUUGUGAUCUGCAAUGUCCUGAACAUCGGGAUAACACAAACAUCCAAAGACUGAUAAGUUGUAAGUCAGGAGAAGCACAACCAUGGAGAAUGUCGUAUGCUGAUAACGCAUUUGAAACAGUAAGACACGGGAGUUGAUCUACAAGAAAAACAAUAGUUUGAAUGGCAUCAACCCAAAAACGAGUAAGCAAACCAGCUUGAAAUAGUAGACUUCUAACAAUGUUAGAUAAAUGCCUAUAUUUUUUCUCUACAAGGCCAUUUUGUUGAGGAGUGUAAGGACAAGAAAGUCGGUGAAUAAUUUUAUUUUGUGAACAAAGAGUAGAAAACUUGUCAUUUAUAAAUUUCGUGCCAUUGUCAGAUUGAAAAAUUUUUAUUGAGUGUGUGAAAUAUGUUUUCAAUUAUCAUCUUGAACUCGAGAAAUUUGUUAAAAACCUUAUGUUUAAAUUUUAAAAGAUAAAACCAAGAAAAUGUAAAAUAAUCAUCGAUAAAAAUAACAUAAUAUUUGUAUUCAGAAACCGAGAGCACAGAUGAUUGCCAUAUAUCAGAAUGAACAAUAUGAAAAGAAAAAACAGACUGAAAUUCUGAAUCAUGAAAUGAGAGUUUAACAUGUUUUUCCAUAUUAUAAGUAUUGCAGAUAGAUAAUUUCAGCGCAGAAUUAGAAACAAUUUUAUUAUUUUUAAUAAAUAUAGAAAGAACAGGAAGACUAGGAUCGCCUAACCGUCUAUGCCAAACAUCUCCACUAAAUCUAGAUGCAACAAGAGCUAGUUGUUACUUAUUCCCUACACUUGCAAGUUUAGAAGAAAUUGGAUAAAAUGAUGGUCCCGAGCUAGGACAUUGAAGAAGCUCCUUCCCUGUUUCCUUGUCCUUCACAGAAAAACCAGUGGAGUCAAAUUCAAAAAGAGAAUUAUUAUCAUGACAAAACUUACACACUGAAAGUAAAUUUCUCUUAAUAGCAGGAAUAAUAAAAACAUUUUUAAGAGCAAAGGAGUUAGAAGAUGUAUUCGAUUGAGUUUUACCUGUCUGAGUAAUACCAAGUAAAUUUUCAUUACAAACAAGAAUUUUUUCAUGCCCAUUAUAAGUUUUAGAGGAUGAGAGAAUAUUAGAGUUUGCAGUCAUAUGAUUUGACCCUCCGGUAUCAGGAUAUCAGACCUCCUCACUGGGUUCGUGAAGGUUCAUAACAGCAAAGGUCUGAGGAACAUCAUCGACAACGGAAGAAUGAUUAAACCGUUGUCUGCACUGAAGAGCAAAAUGAUUGAACUUUCCAUAGAUCUGACAUUGUAUGCCAGACUUCGGAAUGUACAGUUGUUGAUUUGGAGUGUAAGAUUGUUGAGGAUAAUUAGGUUGAGACUGUGGGUAGGUUCCAGGAGAACCACGACCAAAGUUGUGUCUACCACGCUGUCCUCGGCCUCCAUGAUAUCUACACCUCCACGGCCUCCACGAUUACCACGUCCACGAUUGGCAUAAAGAGCUUCACCGUCAAUAGUGGAAAUAGCAGAGGACGUCGUCAUACUAGUAUGAUGUUGGACUUCUGUUUCUUUUUGCAUCCAGAGUAAACGAAGUUGUUUAAAUGUGGGCUUAUUUUUGUGUGUGUUUAGAGCACUAACAAAACCUCAAUAUUCUUCUGGUAGCCCUAGAAGAACAGUCAUGACCAAAUUAUGGUCUGACUCAGUUUCACCAAUCGCCUGAAGAGCAUCACUAAUUGACUUGAUCUUUUGCAUGCUCAUGCUCAUGCUCAUUGAGCCUUUCUUGGUGCUUCUCAAUUCAGACUUUAGAGAAAAAGUCGUUGAAGCAGUCUUAUCAAGAAAAUAUACUCCAAUAAUUCUCCAAGCAUCAUAUGCAGUUUUAGGUGAGCUAAAAGUAACCAUUUGUAAUAUGCUAAGGGAUAAAGUGGCAUUGAUCCAUGAAAGUAUAGUGGUAUCUUUCAUUUUCCAACUUAAAUAUUCCAGGAUUUAUAACCAUCUUCUUAUCAACAGUAUCGAUAGUCUGAUAAGGCACAACACCAGUUCUGUCCACAUGUGAUGUAACACUAAAAUUUUCUAGAACAUUAAGAAAGACUUGUUUCCACUCAAGAUAUGUGGAAUCAGUGAGUUCUAGUGGUAUGAGAGUUUUGAUGUUAACAAUUGGCAAAUUUAAGGUAAAAGAAGACAUGUUUGCCACUUUAAGAGAAGGAUCUACCGCUAGAUAUGAAAGAAGAAUAAAUCGGAAUGUAGUGGUUGAGAAAAAGGAAGAACCUGGUUUCUAUUGAACUAGCUAUACCGAGUGCACAAGAGAGGAACCACUUAUCACCAAGCAAGAACGGCUGCACCAAGGAAAGGACUGAGUGACAUGAGCAACCAGCGAGUGGCAGUAGAAUAGUCCGAGCAGGACCAAAGGAGCAAAGAGGAAUCACACUGAGGCUGAAAAUACUAUAGUAUAAGUACUGUAGCACUAAUAUAGCACCAGCACUGUAGCAUCACUGUAGUGGCACUGUAGCAGUGCUGUAGUUAUGAUAUUGUAGCAGUACUGUAGUGAGAGAUAGAAGUCCAAGGAUAAGGGGGGAUAGAACACCAAAAAGAAAAGAACACCUAUGGGAGAAGGUGAUACUUGUAGUGGAUGGCGGCUAUGGAUUGAUAUCCUAAAUUAGAGUUCCCACUCUGAUACCAUGUAAGAAGGGCAAAAGAGCAUACCCUCUUGGGCUGUAUUAACGAAUAUUUAUAGUACAAGAGAUUGUCUUACUAUGGUAAUAAUGACUACUAUAGUAAGGGUAUAACUAGAAUUACAUACUUUAUAAUCCUACUCUAUAGAAGGUAAUAAUAUACAGUAUCCUAAUAUAAAUAAACUAAACAAAUAUAUCGUAACAGAGAGAUUUGGGAUCGCCCUGUUAACGCGUACUCAUUCGAAUCUAUUCUGUGAGCGUUCGACAAUACAAGAUUUCGUAUCACAUUUUCUUAUUUAAAUUCGAAUUUCAUAUAUUUGUUAGAAUUUUCUAUCUAUUCUAGUUGUCGAAUAUUAUUUAUUUUGGAACUUCGAAACAAGUCUUAAAAUGAUGUGUUAUUUGAUUAGUAUCAUCUAGAUUAGGUUUUGCCUUUCAUCGUUUAUUUUGCAACGAACUAAUCUAUUGCAUGUCGAGUACUUGUUCAUCUAGGUUUUCACCCUGACUACUCGAUUAGGAUUGAAAUUUAGGGACCCAUCACCUGAAAACACAACAACGGCCUUAACCAUAUUUUAGAAAAAUUAAGUUGUAUAUCCAUCGAUUUGCAAGACAUCAAAGAUUGGGUCACAGUUCUAGAGACAACUCAUGAGCUACUGUCUCAGACUCAAAAUAAUACUGUUCAGGGAGUCCAACAAACUAGUAAAGGAUCUGUGGUUUGCACACUGCCACCUUGACAUCCUGCACUGAGGAAACACGACGCACGCCAAAUUGGCUUAAAAUGAUUAUGAUGACGCAACUUCAAAAAUUAAAUUAGAUGUUCCUGACUUUGAUGGAAAACUUGACUCUAAAGCUUUUUCUGAUUGGCUAUUUUAUAUGGACCAAUUUUCGACUGGUAUGAUAUAUCAAAACACCAUUGAAUAAGAUUUACAAAAAUGAAACUAACUGGUGCGGCUAGACAAUAUUGGAUUGGAAUUGAGUGACAACUUCAGUGGUUAGGUCAUGAGCCUAUCACUUUGUGGGCAGAUAUGAAGGCCAAACUUAAGGAAAAAAACAACGGCUUUAUGAACAAUUAAUUUCCUUACACUAGAGUUAACUUUUGGUAACUGAUUACAUGACCUAGUUUGAUGGGUUGACACUCCGAUGUGAUCUUAGGGAGGAUGAAGAAAUGACCCGUGCCUGAUUUCAUACUGGUUUAGGUGAGGAUUUACAGCGAGAAAUUAUACCACAUAUGGCUAAAACCAAUAGAACAAACUUUUCAACUAGCCCUAAAAUAUUAGUAGUGGUACCUGAAGCCACCAACUAAAAAGUUCACUUCUCAAGCCGGGGAGUCGAAUCCUACAACGUGGUAUGAUAGAAACUGGCAAACCUCUGCUUCAAAUACUCACAUCUCAAAACCUAGUGCAUCAACCCAGGAAUUUAAAGGAAAGUAUAUAGCUACUACCAACACCUCAUCUGUGUGUUUUAAGGUUAUGUUUGGUUCAGGAAUAAGCUAUUUUUGGUUUUUCGUGGGAUAGGUAUUAUUAGUGGGAUAUAGAGGGAUUAGAACAAUUUUAUGUUUGGAUAAAAAUUGGGUUAUUUAGAGGGAUAAGAAAAAUCACAUUUGGAUGUUUAGAUUAGAAUAGCAGGAAUAAGAUCAAUUAUAGUUGUAAAAUAAUAAUAUUUUAUUUAAAUAAUAAGCAUGUUAAUUACUAAUAAAAUAAUAUUUUAACAAGUUAAUUAAUUAAUUAACUUGGAAUAUUGUAUAAGAUGAUGGAGAAACAGGGUUUUUUAGUGUAAUAGUCUUUUCCUAAACAUUUAUUCUAAAAAUAAGUUUAUUAAAUUUUUAUUUAUAAAUAUAGUCUUAUAAAAGCGGUGAAUCAUUCACCGCUUUUAAAAGCUGUGAAUCAUUCACCGCUUUCUUUAUUUUUUUCAUUUUUUUCUAUAUUUUUAUAAUAAUAAAAGCGGUGAAUGGUUUACCGCUUUUAUUUUUUUUCUACUCCUAAUGAGAAGUUAUAAAUGCGGUGAAUCAUUCACCGCAUUUAUAGAACUAUUUUUAUAAUUAUUUUUUUAACAAAAUUAUUUUUAUAAUUAUAAAAAUUAAUAAGAUUAUUUAUAAAAAAAAUUCGAGAAACAUGUUAAUUAUUAAUAAAAUAAUAUUUUAACAUGUUAAUUAAUUAAUUAAAUAGAAAUAUGUAUAAGAUGAUAGAGAAGCAUGGUAAUUAGUAAAUUAAUUAUAAAAAAUAAAUAAAUGCGUUAACUAAUUAAUUAAUUAUACAUUUAGUUAAUAAAUUAAGUAGAUAAGUGAAAAUAUUAAUUAUUUAAUUAAUAUAAAUAUUAGUAAUAAUUUGAAUAAACAUAUUAAAUUAGUUUAUUAUUUAAUUAGCUGAAUGAUUAUAAAAAAAUUAUUUGUUAUUAUUUAAUUAAAUAUAUAUCAAUUUAAUAAGUCAAGUGGUUAAUAGAUAUUAAAUAAGUUAAUAAUUAGUUAUUAAUUAGCAAUAUUUUAUAAUUAUUAGAAACUUAUUAAUAGAAAAUAAUAUUUAAGAACUUGAUUUGUUAAGAAUAUAAUAUACUAAUUAUUAUAGUUUAAUAAAUAAGUCAAUAUUUAAAGGGGAGAAUAAAUGACAAGAGUAGCUAUUCCAUCGGGAUGCAAGAAUAGUAAUUCUCUUCUCUUAACGAGUUAUUCUAGAAUAACCUGUUAAUAGAGGAAUAGCUUUUUGUCAUCCCAUUUGGUAGAAUAAGGGGGAUAAACACCUUUAUUUCCUGUUUAUCCCCCAACUAAACAGGCCCUAAGGUUUGUAAAUUAAGUCAUUAUGAACGUGACUGUCCUAAAAGAAACUUGGUUAUCAAACAGAUUAAGGAUGACCUAGAGGAGGUUGAACAUGUAGCUAAUGAGGUUGCUAGUGACAUAGGAUUUUCUUGAUGAAGGCUAACUUAUACAAGUAAUGCAUUAUGUUCUAGCUACUCCAAAAGAGGAAGAGGAUUGGAGACGCACGUCUAUAUUUCAAACUUACAUGAAACACGAUGACAAAAGUUAUAAAGUUAUUAUUGAUAGAUGAGAGUUGCACAAACGUAGUCUCUAAGGCGACCCUUGAUAGGAUGAAGUUAAAACCCGCGCACCCAUACAAAGUAGAUUGGGUCAAUGAAACCACCAUACCCGUUACACAUAGAUGUUUGGUCCCUCUACGUUUUGCCACCUAUAAGUAUCACGUUUAGUGUGACGUUCUUCCUUUGGACUUUGCUCAUCUACUCUUAGGAUGACCAUGGAUUUAUGAUGGGGAUCUUAUACAUUUCGGAAAACUUAAUAUAUACACUUUCAUUCACAAUGGACCAAAGAUAAUUUUAAAAUCGUCUAAACCACAUCCGCAUAAACCCCACUCAAUGCAUUGCAUGCAUCAAGUUCCACUAGUGUGCCUCGAACAAACAAACAACUCCAUCUUUUGACCAAGAAGCAUAUUGCUCGUCGUUUAAAAUUUAUUCUCAAACCAAUUGGCCCUUCAAACUUUCCAUUUAAUGCAAAUGCAUUUUCAUUGCAUAAUCAAGACUAUUAUUUUGGGGAUAUAAAACAAAUAAUUUUCGGCAAUAAAACUUAUAAGAAUUUCUUAAUGAACUGAUGCGAGAAAACGAAGUUAAAAGAAAUAUAAUGAUUGCGGAUAUUAUGUCCGAAAAGUGUUUGCGCGAAAUUGAUAAGAAAUUGUUUGCGGAUAUUAUCUCCGAAAAGCAUUUAUGCGAAAUUGAUAAGAAAUUGUUCACAUAUGGAUUUUUUCUAAAUUUCUUGAGAAAGUUGAAUUCAUUAUUUUUUUGGUGGAUCUUUUCCUUGAUUUUAUAUUCAGCUUUAUUUUCAUUAUUCCUAACAAAACUAUAUGUAAAUCCAUAUAAUUCCCUUUAUUUGAUCAAUGAACCAGUACCUCAUUUUUUGACCCUUUUCUCUAGAUCUAUAAUAAUGUUGCAGGAAGAGAAGGAAAAGAUGGAGGAGUAUUAUGAUAGCAGUCUGUUGUUAUGAACUUACGCGAAAUCGCUUGUCAAGCCUGUGCAACGAUCUCCUUCCUUCGCAAAGUGUGCAAGCCUGUCUCUCUACUUGCUAGCUUGGGCCUGCUCAUCCUAAGACUAAAUACAAGAGAGAGUUUGAGGACUGUUGUAGUACUAGCGAAGGUACCCGCGUGUUGCAGCAUGUAGAUUUCGCAAAAACAAAUAAGUAAAUAAAGUUGUAGAAAGAAAUCUAGAUAUUGAACUCCAUUUGUAGAUAGCACAAAAUAAAAUGAGUUGUCCCUAUACCAGAAAUAAAGUAAUUUCAAUUAUGUUUUCGGUUCAGCAAUCAUGUAUACUAGUUUAGUAACUCGUGCGAUACGACUGGUAGAUAAUUGGAAAAAAAAAUAGAAAAAACGGCGUCAAUGAAAAAGGAAACGAUAAUGGAAGAAUCGAUGAUAAGGGGUGGGAUUUAUCUUGCCGAUGAACGAAGGUAACGGCCGAAGGAAGAGGAAGAGGAACAGUUCGGCCUAAUGCAGAGGUGUGAUCCGAUUCGAUUCAAGCAAAAAAAAAAAAAAGGAAAUCCUGUUUGGUUCAAGCAAAGAAAGAGAAAAACUUGAGCCGGUUCAGGAUUGAACCCACACUAUACAGUGAUCAGUUUGGUUUAAGCAAGAAAAUAGAAUAAUUCGGUUCAAAGAUGGAAAUACGUGGAGCAGUUGAGCCAGCUCAACCCAAUGCAAUAGGUUGACCCGAUUCCGUUCAAGUAGAGAAAGAGAGAAACCAGGGUCGGCUCAAGUAAAGAAAGAGAAAAAUAUGCGGAAGACUUGAGCCGAUUCAGGAGAGCCCAUACUCAACAAUGAUCAGUUCAGUUCAAGCAAAAAAAGAGAAAAAUCUAGUUCGGUUCAAGCAAAGAAAUAGAAAAACAUGUGGAGGACUUGAGUCGGUUCGGGGUGGAACUCAACAAUAAAGGAAAAAUUGCCAUGUGGCAAAGUUAGGAGGAAUAAUAUAUAGGUAUAGAUUUGCUUGAGAGUAGAAAUGUUACAAUUGAUUUCCUAAGGAGUGGGGGUGCAGGUCACAACUAUAUAUAGACUACUCGCUACCAAGAAGUCAAAUGGAAAGACACCAAGUAGCGCAAAACUACAAGCCAAAGCGAGAGGCUACAAGCUCCCAAGAGACUACUUUUUACCCUCCUAGAAACUUUAACAGACUCUUGACUCUUUGGCAUCCGCACCCAGUCCUGAUACUCGUAGAUAUGCUUAUAGAAGGCCCCAGCAAAACUUCAGGCAGUGAUCUCCUUUGGAGUUGGGUGAUUGCAAAGAAGAAAUCAGGGGAAAAUAUUAUGUCCAUGACAACCUCCCCUAUCUAACGUGUAGACGCCUUUGUCGUGGGCCAAGCCAACCCUGGUCCGUGUUGCCUUACUUGUAGUUCGUUGUGCCUUCGCCCCUAUACCGCCUCAAACCUUGCUACCGUAAUUUGCCUUCAUUUCCACGCCAGCCCCCAGUGCCUUGCCCCUCUGAGCAUGAACACUAGCCAGCUCACUGUCUGGAGAAUUCCGUUGUUGAGUCUGAACUGCCGGGUGCGCUUGUCAUCCGUGACACGUACGCGCAUGCCGCCAAGCUGUGGAUGCUCCCUAGUCCCCUUAGGCUUUUUCUUGGCUUUGUGCUUGACGGAAUGACUUGCACCUUGAUUCAGCUAGCUGCUUCAGCACCUCUCAAGAGUUGACAGCCUCGUCCUCGCUUAGGUUCUCCUCAAGGUUAUCAGCCCACUCACACUUCACCUCCUUGUAAAGCUACAAGGCGGUGAGGGUUUCGUUCUUCGUUGGCUCCCUCCGACACAUUGGAACCAUCCAGGGGGCUAAUUCAUCCAUGAAGCUCAGCACCCACAAGUGUGGCAUGGGCGUCGCUUUCGACGAAACUAAGAAGUCCAUCCCGAGGAUUACUCUAAAUUCAUCAAGCGGCCCAACAGUGAGGUUGGUUGUGCCUUUCCACGGGUUGAUGGCUAUUUCCACACUUUUGCAACCCCUGCGAUUGGUCGCGCUCCGGAGUUGGUCGUCUUGAUGUGGUUUGCAUUCUUUUUAGGCGUGAAGCCCAACCGCUUGGCCUUUGCCUCCGCGAUGAAGUUUUGUGUUAGCAUCUAUCAUUGCCCACGUGGCCCUCCCAUUUAGGGUCACAUCGACGAACAUUAGUUCCCUCCUGCAGAGCUUGCCACUGGUUGGCUACCCACGAACCUCAUUGACGAGCCUUAGUGCGCCCAUCCUUAACAGUUCCCCUUCGUCUUCACCCUCCACUUGGACAGCAGCCACGUGUUUUCCCUUUUUGUUGCUUCGGUUUCAAGUCCCUUGGCUAAUUGUUCUCGCUGCAUGCAUAGCACAUGAUCUUCGUAGGUGGCGGGGCAGGAUUCUGCCUGUGCCCCUUCACGUCCUCUGGACACAGUGCCCUCCCCCACCUUUGGCCUUGCUCACCUUUGAUGGGUUACCACGAUCGCCCUUGCUCCAUUCACGGUUAGGCAAUUUCUUCGCCAAAGCGAUAACAGAGUUCAGGUCUUUCACAUUUCGCCCCACGAGCUCCUUGUUUGCCCAUAGUUGAAGUCCAUCUAAGAAAAAGAAUAACCGAUCCUCAUCGGCUUUGUUGGAGAUCGCCAACAUCAAAUUAAAAUACUCCUAGAUGUAUUCCUUGAGGGUCCCAUCGUGUUUGAGCCAUCAAAGUUGCCUCUGCGCAAGAUAUUCAACGUGCUCAGGGUAGAACUGCGCCUUGAGCUCGUGCACACAACCCUCUUACGUAUUCAGCUCGCAUUUCCACUUCUCGGCCUCCGCUAACCGUCGAUCCCACAGCAUAGCAUCGUUAGAGAGGUACAUGAUUGUGAUUUGGACUUUAUCUUCGUUGUCCAACGCCUUGAGAUAGCGUUCUAUGUGCCAUGAGAAGUUGUCAAUUUAAUUCUCAUUGCGCGUGCCCUACAAGCAUUGGGGCACAGGACGCAGAAUUUCGGGGUGUGCUCUUUUUGUGCCUCAACAUCGCAAGCCACCACUUUCUUGAGGAUCGUCACCCACAUCUUGAGGUCCUUGACCUCAUUGACCUUGGUGACAAGGUCCUCCACCAACACCUUUCGCUCGUCCUCGCAACAGGUGAGGUCGUUGCGAAACUGCUCGAGCGGUUGGCAGAAGGUCACCAUGGCAGCCGCGACGCUAUCCUCCAGGCAUGAAGUCCCUCCUCCAUCAUCCCCACAUGCUAGGAUAGGAUAGAGUAGUGCUCCUCCACUCUCGGAACAACAUCCUCCAACGAGCCCACGCGGUCCUUGAGCAAAGCAGACUCCCUCGCAUCAGUCCGUGGUUCCUUGCUCUUGCCGCGCUUGGACAGCCUGGGUCCAGGCACAACAUUGACGACGACAGCAUCCGACAAAGCCAUGGCUCCCAGUUCUCGAACUCGCUCAGAUACCAACUGUCACGGAUUUAAGCGAAAUAGCUUGUCAAGCCUAUGCGACGCUCGCCUUCUUUCACGAAGUGAGCAAGCUUGUCUCUCUACUUGCUAGCUUGGACGUACUUGCCCUAAACUAAGUACAAGGGAGAGAGUUUGGCGAAUGUUGUACUAUAUUGCUUGACAGUAGAAAUGUUACAAUUGAUUUCCUAAGGAGUAGGGGUGAAGGCCACAAUUAUAUAUAGGGCACUCGCCACUCAAGCUAUCACAUAGAAAAGCGCUAAGUGGCACAAAACUACAAGCCAAAGCAAGAGGCUACGAGCUCCCAAGAGACUACACUUAUUAUCUCCUAGAGACUCUUAAGGGACUCUUGACUUUUCCGCAUUCGCAUCUGUAGUCUCAAUACUUGUAGAGAUGCUUCUAGAGUACCCCGUAAAACCUCCGACAGUGAGCAAAACCUCUGACAGUGAUCUUCUUUGGAAUUUGAGUGAUUGCAAAGGAGAGAUUAGGGGAAAAUAUAAUGUCCGUGACGCUGCGUUCUUUACAGCUCCGAACAACUGUACCAACUGCAAUUCGAUGAGGUCAAAUUUUCUCUAGCUGAGGAGAAUUGAUGGAAAAUGGUUAGUUGGGCUUGAAUUCUAAGUCAAGUCAGAACUAACUACGACAAUCUUUAUCUAAUAUAGUCCGAUGGAUCAUAGAAUUUAAUUAUGAAUUUAUUUUUAUUGAUAUUUUGUUUAUUUUAUUUGAUCAGGAUUUUAUUUGUAAUCUGGUUAGAUUUGAUUUGAGAUUUGGUUAGGAUUUAGUAAAUCAGGAGAGUUUUAGUUCGAUUUAGUUUCUUCUUAUCAUACUAGGAAAUUUAGAAUUUUGAACUUUAUAAAUAAGUCUAAAGAACAAGAGGCAGCAAUGACAAGAACAAGAGGCAGCAAUGACAAGCUCAAACAAUCCAAAUUUACAAGUGUGUAAAUUGACUUCGAUACAAAUACACAAAUGACGAAAUCAAGGCCUCUGUUAUUAUUGCGACAAAAUAUGGAACCUUAAGCACAAAUGCAAGACACUUCAUUUAUGAAGACGGAGAAAUGAUGGAAAUACAAGAAAAAAUUGAUGAUAGCGGAGCAUCUGAACAAGAUUUCCUAAAAGUCCGCUAUUGUAUAUAUAUCGGAUUCUCUCCCGAUCCCAACUGAAAUUUGUCAAGACCCACACCUUGAGGUCAAGGUGUGUUUCAAGUGGGAAGGAGUUGUUACAAUUAGGUUGCAGUUGUUAUUAGAUUAGGAUAGCUGUUUAAAUUGUAAUUUCUACUUCUAGUAGAUUUCUUUUCCUUUUAAUAGAUUAGGGCAGGGUUUCCUACUUAAAUUAUGUUUUGAAUUAGGAUUAGGAUUUUUGAAGGCUUAUAAAUAAUAGGCCAAGCUCUCUUUGUAAUUAUUGUUUUUAUUUAAUAAUAAAGAGCUCUUCUCUUACCAACUGUUAGAUCAGGCUAAGUUAGAAAAGGAGGUCUCUCUUUCUCUUGGAAUGAGGAAGCGUUCGAUUGAAGCGUUAAUGUAUCAUAUGCACUCUUUUUUCUCUUUUCUUAGAAAAAUAGUAUGUGCUUUAUUGUUUUCUGGUUGAGCUGGAUCACAUAUAUAAUUGCUUUUAUCAUGCGUUGCUGUUGCUUGUAAUUAGACUAGAUCUUUAACUGCAUAAGUCAAUAUGAAGUAGCAAGAAGAAUACUCACACUAAUUUGCUCUUAUGAAACAGACUUGGUAUUCCAUGCACCUCAAAUACCUAUAUCCCUGUCAAUCGAUUUUCAUAAAGGCUCUGUCAUAUUUCUUAUUACGUCAGUCAAUAUGCAUAAUUGACUUCAACAAAGUACUCCUCACAGUCUUACCAAGUGGGUGCCGCCUCCAGUUAAAAUGACCGACAGCUAUGUUCGGGAAAAUAUCAACACCUCGAGGAAGAGGAUGGAUGUCGCUUGCUUGGACAUGUUGCAGUUUCACUGGUAAUUUUCCUCCUUUUUCUUUUCGGCCUAUAAUUGUCUCUUUUCCAGUGAGCAAUCGCAAGAUGUCAUACCUAUUGCCUCUUAUGUAGGUAUAUGUCUGGCCAUUGUGCUCACUUCUCUACUCUUUCAGGAAUGGACAAGUCGGCAGUUUUGAAAUAUGUUUAUGAGAAAGUAUUAUACUAAGGACAUACUCCAGUUGUUUGUGCAGUUAGUUAAUGCUUUUUAUAACUCUACUACUUUGUUUGCUUUACUGUUUAGAUUUCUGUUCUUGUUAUUGUUAUUUUUCACUAGGUUUUGAUGUUUUGGGUACUAUGCAUAUUAAGGUAAUGGAGAUGACCAAAUUUCAAAAUCAGUUAGUUGCUGAUGCUUGAAAACUGACAGUACGCAAGACAAACAAUUUUUUCAUGUUAGUCUGCUUGUUAUUGAUAAUUGCAAACAAAAUUUUCUCAUGCUACAUUUCAUAUUGCUUUCUACUUUUGUUUUUUGUUGUAUAUAAACCGAAGUUCUUUCAACUGAAUACAAAUUUGACGCCUGCUAAAUAAUAAAUAUACAAGUGGAAUAUAAUUUUUCUCACUCACAAGAAUAAGAAAUUUUUGUAUCAUGUUGAUGCUUUUAGUAUGCUUUUGUGCAUGCUAGCCAGAUUUUAUUAUUUUGACAAUUUCAUAUGAUUUGAUUCCUUACAUCAGGAAGGUCAACUUGACGGCAGUAUGGAAUAAGGGUGAGGAUCUUAUUCAUGGUUUCAAAUCAAUAUGAAACCAUUUUCUCAUAUGAGUUUUUGCUUUUUUUAAUCCUUGUUGAAAAAGUUGCUAUUUCUUAUGAGCAUGGGUCGUUGCUGAAACUUCAGGAAAUUUAAGUGCUGCUUACUCUUGAUAGCACAUCUCGUGACCGAUGUACAGUAGGGUAUAUUUUUCAUUACGACCCCAAAGUGGAAUUUUGGCUUUUGGCUGUUUCUCUAUCCCUUGUAUCACAAUGGAUGUCCUUGAUGGAGCCCUGAAAAAUAGAGGUUUUGAGGAUCUUAUUUGUGGUUUAUAAUCUUCAUAAGCCAUUUUUCCAAAGACAUUUUGGUUUUUGUGAAUCCUCACGGAAAGGGUGGUUGUUUUAUAUGAGCACGUCUGAUUGCUGAUCGGUUAGGUAAUCUAGGCUGUGUGAAAAGUAGAAGUUCGAAGAAAAGAAUGAGGACUUGCGGUGCAGCAAUCUUUUUUCUUAGGGAAUUUCGAAACUUUGAGGCUGUCAAAAUCAUCUUAUGGUGUGGAACUUUGUAUAUUUAUGGAGUUUAUGUCUUACAACGUUGAAGAUGUCUAAAUAACCUUUCCUGUUUUACGCUCUGAAACAGGUGGGAUUACUCAAAUCCUGGAUACCUUGAUGCCCUGAAACACCUGACUGACCUAAAAGAAGAAGGUUACACUAAAAGUGUCUUGUAUUGAUCUAUUACAGCUUUCCUUGAUAUUCUUGUUGUCUUACUGUUUUCUCGUACCGUGAUUUAUAUAUUCGUAUCUCAUCAGAUUCUUUUAUUAAAAAGAAUGCAGGUAAAAUUAAGACUCUGGCUUUGACAAACUUUGAUACCGAACAUUUGCAUAUAAUCCUGGAAAAUAAAAUCCCAAUCGUUAGCAACCAGGUACAAGUCCUACAUUAUGGAAUAGGCUUUCUUAUUAGUUAUCCUCUCCUCCUCAAAUUUAUGGUUCUUUGUUGCUCUAACAAAUGAUGCUUGCAGGUUCAACAUUCUGUUGUAGACAUGCGCCCACAGCAAAGAAUGGCCGAGCUUUGCCAGCUAACAGGAGUUAAACUUAUAACGUCUCUCUCUCUCUCUCUCUCUCUCUCUCUCUCUCUCUGUGUCACUCUGUAUGUGUGUGCACGCGCGCACAGUAUCGAGAUUAAUUAUGCAAUGCAGGUAUGGUACUGUAAUGGGAGGUCUGCUGUCCGAGAAGUUUCUAGAUACCAAUCUAUCAAUUCCCUUUGCUGGCCCUCCUCUAAAUACUCCCUCUCUGCAGAAGUAUAAGAGGGUAAGUUAGUUUGUACUUGACAAGAUUUGGCGACUUUGGCUUUUGUGCUAAUUUUCUGAUCUUGUUUUUCAUCUGUGAGUGUUUCAGAUGGUGGAUGCUUGGGGCGGAUGGAGCCUGUUCCAAAAUUUGCUUCAAACAAUGAAAAAGGUGGCUUCCAAACAUGGUGUGGCAAUCCCUACUGUUGCUGUCAGAUACAUAUUGGAUCAGGUACUCCUAAGUAUGCCACAAUUUACAUGAUAUUUAGACCUUUACAAGAACUUAUUAUGGUGACUGAUCUCUACUUUGGUUGGUUUGUGAGAGCAGUCGUCGGUUGCUGGGUCGAUGGUGGGUGUAAGGUUGGGUCUCGCCGAGCAUAUAAAGGACACAAAUGCUGUGUUUUCACUAAACUUGGACGAAGAGGACUUGAACAGCAUAACUGAAGCAUCGAAGAAAGGGAGGGAUCUGAUGAAAGUGAUCGGCGACUGUGGGGAUGAGUAUCGGGCAUAAAGUGUAUUGGUAUUUUACAUAGUUUUCGGGUGUAAUAUUACCAUAACAGAGUUAUUUGUCUGGAUACAUCCAGUUCAAAUGUUUUAAAUUUUGGGAGGUUCCAUAUCGCAUCGAGUUCUGUGAAACAUCUCUUCUUGCUGUUCUCAUUCAUACUCAAAAAGUGUUUUAUCUUUUAGUAUUAUAAUAAGGCCCCGUUUGGAUACUCUUGAAAACGUAGCAUAGUUAAACUAUGCUACGACGAUAGGAAAAAUAUCCUAUGAAGCGUUUGGAAGGAAAAAAAAGUAACGUAAUUUUUGGAGUAUAGUUAAACUAUACUCCAAAAAAUGGAGUAAAAGUAUAAUUCACUCUAACCAAAGGAAAAAAAUUCUACCAUUCUUGAGCUCCCUUAUUCAAAAAAAUGCAUCAAGUUCUAACUUUUAAAUUUCAACAUAGAUUUUAAUUUUCAACAUAGAUUUAAAAUUUAAAAUUUAAAAUUUGAAAUUUGAAUUUUAAAUUUUAAAUUUUAAAUUUUAACUUUUAAAAUUUAAAAUUUAAAAUUUAAAAUUUAUAUUUGAAAUUUUAUUUAAAAUAAAAAAUUUAAAAUUUAAAAUUUAAAAUUUGAAAUUUGAAAUAUCACAUUUAAAAUUUUAAAUUAAAAUUUUAAAUUUUAAAUUUUAAAUUUCAAACUUUAAAUUUCAAAUUUCAAAUUUCAAAUUUCAAAUUUAAAUUUCAAAUUUCAAAUUUUAAACUUUAAUUUUUAAAUUUAUUUUUUUUAAAUUUAAAAUUUAAAAUUUAAAAUUCUAAAUUUUAAAUUUAAAAUUCUAAAUUUUAAAUUUUAAAUUUUAAAUUUUAAAUUUCAAAUUUCAAAUUUCAAAUUUUAAAUUUCAAAUUUCAAAUUUUAAAUUUUAAAUUUUAAAUUUUAAAUUUUAAAUUUUAAAUUUUAAAUUUUAAAUUUUAAAUUUCAAACUUUAAAUUUUAAAUUUUAACUUUUAAAAUUUAAAAUUUAAAAUUUAAAUUUCAAAUUUCAAAUUUUAAAUUUGAAAUUUCAAAUCUCAAGUCUCAUAGUUCAAAUUUCAAAUUUUAAACUUUAAAUUUUAAAUUUAUUUUUUAAACUUUAAAUUUUAAAUUUAUUUUUUAAAUUUAAAAUUCUAAAUUUCAAAUUUCAAAUUUUAAAUUUUAAAUUUUUUAUUUUAAAAUUUUAAAUUUAAAAAUUUAAAAAUUUAAAAAUUAAAUUUAGAUUUUUAAAUUUUAAAUUUUAAAUUUGUAAAUUUCAAAUUUGAAAAUUUAAAAUUUAAAAUUCAAGAUUCAAAAUUUCACAUUUCACAUAUCAAAUUUUAAAUUUUAAAUUUUAACUUUUAAUCUUAAAAUUUAGAAAAAUCCUAUGAAAUUGUACAAUGCGUAUCCAAACAGUUUAAAAAUUGAAUCCGUGGAAUUUUUUAGAGUUACAGGAUUCUCUAUUUUAUCUAGACCGAAACCACAGUUUAUAAAUUCCGUGGAGAUAUUUUACUGUGUAUCCAAACAGGCCCUAAUAGGGAUGACAUAAAUAUAGGUUCACAGUCAAAAGAGAAAUCACCUUCUCUCUCUCUUUUUCUCUCUCUCUCUCUCUCUCUCUCUCUCUAAGGGAGGAGGAGGAGAAACAAAAGAGGUUCAGAUUACAGGGUAACAGAAAAGAGUAGAAGAA
rnacentral:lncRNA from 1 species